UAAUCUUUAUCAUGCAUUCUUAAAUAGCAUACUUUAUCAUGCGUCAAUAGUAAACAUACUACACUUUAGCAUGGAAAGCGACCUAAUCGCUUCGGUGAGCACAACCCACCUCAUUUCGCAUUCCGAUUGCUUGUCGACACUUGCAAUCGGCCUCCCGCGGCACCCGUAACCCGGUUUGGCCCGAUCUUUUGCGCGACUACCGAACGGCCUCCAAUUCACGAUCCGAAAAUUAAAGGUCUUCGGUUAUGUGCCACGAUGCUUCAAAUCAAUUUUCAUGACUUUACGAUAUCGCCUCGGCCCUCCCGGCGGACCCGAAGCCUAAACGUCCAUUUCUUUAAUAACUUUGUAACGCUCGUCGGAUCGCCGAACCGUCUUCGCCAACGCGUUCGUUUACCUAGCAAUUAGGUUUACGGAGGGUCAAAUUAGAUCAAACCCUUAUAUUUUACAAAAUCCCAUUCGGAGCCCUAAUAUGUUAUUAACCUCAAAAUAAUCCAAAAUUAAAUGGAUCAACAUGCUAACAAAGCUCAUUAGAGGCUAUUAGAAUACUUAAAGCUAAGGAUUAAGCCAAAUCCUAAAAGCUUACCUCAAUGUGAACGCCGCGACGACAACACACCGCUCCAACGGGCGCACGAAAGCUCAAUCCGUCGCCUCCAACGCGUUCGCAAGCAUAUUCUCCACCAACCCCGCGAAUUUGAGCGAGAGAUAUAGAGAAAUGAGAGAGAAAUCUAGAGAGAGGAAUGAAGGUUUCUCUCACUAGCACCAUGCGUGCGUGUGUGUGGGUGCUCGGGCUGAAGGAGAGGAAGAAAGAAGCUUCAGCUUCUUUAUAAUACACCCGACACUAUUCACUCCAGGCAACUUAAAAUCUGAUAUCUUUCGCCGGAGCUCCCUGAAUGUCCGUUUGAGCUCAAACUUGACAGUCAUGUUCGGUUUUACUUAACUUAACAAGCUGACGAUCACUGGUUCAGUUUCGACCCCGUUUGGUCACUGAAAACUGUACCGAACUGCAAUCUUUAUCAGAUAGCUUUCGGAUUUUAUUUCUCACUCUAUGGGUGUCAGAAAAAUAUGAAACCUUAAAUCUAGCCUCAUAAAAAUAUUUCUGACAUCUCCGCCAAUUUUCAUAAUUUUCUGAGACUGUGCAUUUUCUGCUUAUUUUUCUGUCCCGUCUCCAACAGAAAAUUCUAGAUCUUCUGUUUUAAUUCCGAUUUCAGCACAAGUCACCUCUGACUUAUGUUUUACCUCUAUAAAUCUAAUAAAAAUAGUUUCUCACACUAUUUUUAUUUAUUAUUAUUUUUAUACCAAAAUCUGGUAUAUUACAGAUUCGAUCUAUGGCACCCUCGUGGAAACAAAUGGGGAAAGGGAGCCAAAUAAUGAGGGGGGUGUACAGAGAGAAUCUUAUUUAUAUGUAUAUAUCUCUUUCAUAGGAGAAUUAGUCCGAGCAGAGAAGCUGAGAAUUGCUGUAGUGCCACUUGGAUGCAAUGGACUGUGCGAGCUUAGUCGGCGGAUGGGGCUGAUGAUUGCUUCCUUUUAGGAAAGGAGGGGUCGGCAUCAGCUUCACUAAUUAAUGUUGGGACGUGGGGUCGUUAGAAGACACUGAAUUUUAGGAUGACUUGAUUUUACUUGUGAAAGUCUUCUCUUCUGUUCAAACAAUGGCCUGCUCCACCAGGUUAGCAUAGGUUAAAUUGCACCCUUUGCCACAUAUUUUUUUGGUGUAAAUUUCAUUUUAAAUUCAAAAAACUUUGAAUUUAGUAUUUAUAUUUUUAAUUUCUAGGUUGCUUUAAGUCCCUUCCCUUACUAUUUUUAAUAUAUAUAUAUAUAUAUAUAGGAACUAGGCUGGAAUACUAUCAAUAACACUAAACUAUUAGUACUAUUAGGUUUUCGGUCAUCGGAUGAAAAAAAUGUAUGGUUAGGAUGAUGUGGGCCCUCUAGAGUUGAGUGAGUUAUUACUUGAAUAAUAUAAUCUAACGGCUGAAAAUAGUCAAAGAGUAUCUAACGGAGGAAAACUCGCUAGCGCCAAGCACUUGGUGCUAUCGAUAGUAUCCCAACCGAAGCCAAGCACUUGGUGCUAUCGAUAGUAUCCCAGCCGAACUCUCUCUCUCUCUCUCUCUCUCUCUCUCAUAUAUAUAUAUAUAUAUAUGGGGAAACUUCAAAUACCCCUUUGUGGUUUCACUUUUUUUCACUUUAUUAGCACCCUGUGGUUUAAAGUGUAUCAAGUUAGUACCCUGUGGUUUUGCACUUUUUUACUUUUGUACCCUAUGGUUUAAAGUGUAUCAAGUUAGUACCAUGUGGUUUCGCACUUUAUCCCCCCAAGUUAUUACUUUAUUAUGAAAUUUAGUUUUCAAAUACUUUCAAUAGUGUAAAUCAAGUCUAAUGGAGCCGAUUGUCGAUUUGGAAGCCACAUUAUUGAAAACAACUUGGUAGCACGGAGGCCUCCGUGCUACCGAUAGUAUAUCACCACCUACCACCACCUACCACCAUCAUCUCAACCCUACAUUUCUCCAUCCAAUGGCUAAAAACUCAAAAGCACCACCCUCAUGGUGCUUUUGAGAGUAUUCUAGCUCAACUCUCUAUAUAUAUAAAAUCUACAAUGCUCUGCUUGGUUCAGGGAUAAUGUGGGGAUAACAAAGUAUAUAUAUAUAUAUAUAUAGAGAGAGAGAGAGAGAGAGAGAGAGAGAGAGAGAGAAAGAGAGAGAGAGAGAGAGUCCAGCUACUAUACUCUUAUGAGUAUAGAGCCUAUUGUACUCAUAAGUUUUUGGCCGUUAGAUCUACCCUUUAAUCAUUUUCACCCGUUAGAUUAUACUAUUCAACCAACCACCCACUCAACCCUAGGGGGCCCACUAUCAACUUAACCAUAACCACUUUCAUCCUAACCGCAAAUUUUUUCAUCCGAACGAUAUAUAUAUCAACCUGACCCGAUGAUAAUCAUCGUUUUAAGAUAACAACGAUAGUCAAAAAAUUGGAAACCUAGUUAAGAAAAGUAAUAAAGAUUGGUAACCUAAUUUAUGAUAUUGGUUCACCCCUGGUGAGUUGGGAUUAGAUGGCAAACCAAGUCCCAAUUCCUUUUUGAUCAAUAUGGUUCCUAUCCCAAGUCAAAUCCCAAUUCCACCCCAAUCUCAUAAAAACACAAACCAACCCCUAACCUCAAUCAGGUCCUAUCACUUUUUAUCAUAAACCAAUCUCAUCCACCCUAUUCUUCUUAUCACCCAAUAAUACUUAUCUUUUAUCACAAACAAACCCCAAACCAACCCAAUCCACCCCAAUCGAUUGAGCCCUAUUGGUUAAACUCCACCCCAAUCGAUUGGGGUGCCAGGGGUGGGUAAAAAUCUUCAUAAACCUUUAUUUUAUCCCCAAUCCCCAAUAAGGUGGGGGAUUGGGGAUUGGUUUGUUAUCGCUGGUGAGUUGAGAUUGGCUGAUUAUAGUAGGACUGGGGUGUGUAGGGUAGUUGGUUGCCAAUUUUUGAACUACUCGUUUUUCUCUCAGAGAUGAUUAUUAUCAUAAGGUCGUAUUGGGGUAUGUAUAUAUAUAUAUCCGACACCGAUGAUAUGAGUAUACUCAUAUCUCGGGAAACAUGAGUAUUCAAAAGCUGNNNNNNNNNNNNNNNNNNNNNNNNNNNNNNNNNNNNNNNNNNNNNNNNNNNNNNNNNNNNNNNNNNNNNNNNNNNNNNNNNNNNNNNNNNNNNNNNNNNNAAGGGUUUGGUACUAUCAAUAGUAUAGUAGCGAGACUCAUCUCAUUCUAUAUGAUAUAGGCUUAAUAAGAUGAAGAGACCCUUUAAUAACCGUUGAGGGUCUCGGACCAAUGCAAACUAACUAUAACUGCCUCAACUACCACCAGUCUCAUGCACAUGCGCUGACGUGGCAGGCCUAGUCCACUAAAUAAUAAUCAGUACGUACCAAACUAUAUUAACUACCUAAUAUAACCACCUAUAUACAUAUAUAUAGAGUACAUAGAACCAUAGUUAGUUAAUUCGGAUUCGGCAAAAAUUUAGUACGGAUAUAAUACGCAUAAAAUUCGUUUUCUAAUUUUUAAAUUCGUUGAAAAAUUCGGCUUAAAAAACGGAUUCAGUAUAAAAUAUAAAAUAUAAUAUAUAAAAUAUAAGAUAAUCUAUAUUUAAAUAUAAAAAUUAUAUAUUUUUUAUUCAUAUUUUUAAUAAUUCAUAAAUAAUUUGCGAAUUAUUCGGCUGGCCCAAAAAUUCGCGAAUAAUUCUCUAUCUUUGAAAAAAAUUCGUAAACAGACCGUUUAAUUCGGAUUUUCAAUAAUUAAUUCGCGAAUAAUUCACGAAUUUACUAACAUAUAUAGCAUAGAACAAGAAUAAGAAUAAGGUGGGGAAUAACUACCCAAAAUAAUAAGAGACACUAUUCUUUUUUUUUUUUUGAGAGAUAAGUAGCACGCUACCCGCUUCGUUUAUUUCAUUUAGAAAUAAACUUAGCUGGAAAUAUGAAUUAACUAGGAUUCGAACUUGGGUCUCGGGUACCAACCACCAAGCUCUUUGCCACUUGCUUUAGGGAUGGUCGGUAUUAUAAGAGACACUAUUCAUGACAGUGAGCAAGAGGAGACAAUUAAGGCCAUCAUGUAGAACCAACUCACUCAAAUUAACUGCGCGUAAAAUUUAAACCAAUAAGUUUUUAACAAAACUCGUAUAUUUUGAAAGAAUUAGAAUUCUAAUUUUACAUUUAAAAUGAAAUAUAAUAUCCUAGAUGCACUUUAUUUUAUAGUACAUAUGCAAGAAAAGACUGUCAAACAGAUCCUAAAGCGUGGAAGAACACGAAUAGAAGCAAAAAAACUUUGCGUACAUAUGAUUACCUUGGAUUAAUGCUAACUACUUAACUGCCAUGCAUCAACUACCAAAAUUAACAUGCAAACACACGCACGUGCGCGCACAGAGAGAGAGAGAGAGAGAGAGAGAGAGAGAGAGAGAGAGAGAGAGAACAAAAAGAGUAAUAAGGGAACAUAGCAUAUAUGAUUACCUCAAUUAAACUGAUACUAACUCCCUAAUGCUAUGAAACCUAUGAUUGUUCUUUGAUACAAUUUCUACCAAAAACAAAAAACGAGAGAGAGAGAGAGAGAGAGCCCAACAAAGGAUAAUGAGGUGCUCCUCGUUCAAGUUUUUUACUUAUUGGGAGACAUCAAGAUCCUUAUAAAAGAAGCCAUGAAACAAUCUCAAAACUCAAAGAAGCUAAAGAAGAAGAAUAAACUGAUCCCAAUACCUAGAGACAAAUGAAGAAGAUCAGCAGCGUUGGCCUCUGAUAGAAUCUUCACAAUAAUUAUCAUCGCCCCUAUCGCCAACAUCACUACCAUCUUCUUCUUCUUGAUCCUCUCCUCCUCCUCGCCUCCUCCGCCUCCUUCUGCAACCCUACUACAUGUAUAUAUACCAAAUCACACCACCGUUGUAAUUACCAAGAAAUUGAAAAGAAGAUGCAUGCAUGUAUCUGCGUAAAGUUGGUGAUAAGUAGUAAGAAAAAACAUGGGGGGGAUUGAUUAAUUACGAAGAGUUCUCGACGGAGGAAGGAGGCCACAGCGGCAGCAACAGUGGCGGCCACUGCGUCUCCUUCCCCGUGCCGUUAUCUCACCUGGUGCUGUUGCGGGCCUCUCCCACAGGUGUCAAUCUUGGUAUAGCUUGUCGGGCGGGGAGGGCCUCUCCGACCAACUUGGGAAUGAGCGCUACGCCGAGGAAGGCCAGUGCUCCAAUAAGCCCCAACGUUGGCAUCGGCGUAGUCUUCUUCUCCCGUUGCUGGUCUCUGUUGGGUGGGGAUGCCAUGGUCAAGAAUUAGCAAGAGUCCUAUAUAUUCUCUGAUCCUUGGCUAUUCCUCGAUCGACUUACUCGUGUUACUCCUAUCCUUAUAUAUAGCUAACCUGUCGACGGAGGGAGGAGGCCGCAGCAGCAGCAAUGGUGGUCUCUGCUGUUGCGGAGGUAUAGGGUUUUUUAGUGCUUAAAGUAUUACACCAAGAGACGUCAAGUUUGGAACGCUCAACAGUGUUACCUCCAGCGUAGGAAACCCUAGAUUUUUAAAUAAGCUAUUGGGCUCCAGAGAUAUGGGCCUUAAUACGCUUUCACUUAUUGGGCUUGUAUGUGAACAUAUUAUUUGGAUUAUAUUAUAACAAAAUAUCCAAUAAUAAUAAUAUAUCCAACAAUCUUCUCCUAUGUUCACCAUACAGCACAAUCCAAUACAGUGGUCAGUGUAAUGUUCAAACAAUUAUGAAUCAUCCACAUUCAGUCCAAGACAAUCAACUCGGAUUAAAAACUCAAUCAUCAAUUGUAAUUCAAAUGAGUGAAUCAUUCUUAUCAUGAAUCUGUUCUAAGAUCGACAUAUCCAAAAUGAUUCUCAAAAUCAGUUCACAACCAACAUAUGCAUAACAGUCAAAUAUAAGUAGGCCAAUCAAAAUAAUCCAAGGCCUUACAAAUAAAAGAAAAAGACAUAAUAAUGUUCACAAAUAGAGAUAGCCAAAAACAAGUCUUAAGUAAAUGGACUCCAUCAAAACAGGUAAUAGUAGGUGAACUGUCAAGUUCCCGUACACUCUAAAUGAUAUAUAUAUAUUCAUUCAUCAAAUAGAUCAUCAUGAUCUGGAUCUCACUUAUUAAGCUCUCCUCCAUCCCUGCCAUCCUCUGUAGAAUAUCAAAUAUAAAUUUCAUAUUAUCAUGAAUUUAAUCAUUUGAAUAAUCCACUAAAAAUGUCUAGUUUUACUAAAAGAACUUAGCAUCAUGACAUCAGGCAGAGAAGAAUAUAUAUUAAUGUCAUAAAGAAUCAUAAUAUCAUGUUCACAAGUAUCAAGCCAGUUUCAUAAAUUAUGAAUAAAGCCUAAAUAGUUUGAUUUAUAAAGAGCCAUCAACUUAAGUUUGUUUGUAAGAGAAUAAUCAUUGUCUAGUUUCAAAGAACAUGAACAAAACCAACAGGCUUCUUAUGCAUAUAGCUAUUUCUAUGUUUCAAUUUGGAAUGUCACAGUUACUAAUUCUUUUAAGUCAAAUAAUCUAGCAUCAAGUUUGGAAUGAGAUCAUUUAACUAAGAAAAGAAUAGUCCAGCCUAGUUGGAUUGUAUCAUCAAGUUUGGAAUGACACAAGCGUUCCAGGUAGAACUUUGAACUAGGUUAAAGUCAUUUUCAUCAAGUUUGGAAUGAAACAACUCACCUUUUUUCAAAUUAGUCCGCAACCAUGAACAUCAAUGAAACAUAUAAAUUGUGCUUGACCACCAAAGGAAGGAAGAUUCGAUAAUUCAAAACAUACAAUUAGAAAGUAAGUAAAUGGUAAUUAAGACUAAUUUACAUAGUCUUUAACCCCAUUUCCCCCACUGUUUUGAAUAAUCGAUCUUUAGUCAUACCUUUUGUGAGAGUAUCGGCCAUGUUAUCCUUCGAUCUCACAUCGAUCAAGGUGAUAACCCCUUGUUCUCUCAGAUAAUUCAACAACGCACGUCUCAGUCUCACAUGUCUUCUCUUUGAAUUAAAGAAAGCAUUUUUUACAACUUGAACAGUUGCUUGAUUAUCACAGAACAGGCUUAAAGAAUUAAUCUGUAGCCGAGUCAAAGGAAUAUCCAAAAUCAGAUUCUUUAUCCAUUCUGCUUCUUCGCCAGCGGAAGCUAAAGCAAAAAGUUCCGAUUCCAUAGACGACAAGGCAAUACAAGUCUGUCUUUUGGAUUUCCAAGUAAUAGCAGCUCCACCCAAAGUGAAUACAUAUCCACUUGUGGACUUACUAUUUCCAAUUUCUGAGCACCAUGAGGCAUCAGAAUAUCCAUCCACAGUUGGAGGAUAACCAGAAUAACAUAGAGCAUAAUCUUUCGUACCUUUAAGAUAUCUCAUCAGCCUACUAAGGGCAUCCCAAUGCUCUUUACUAGGAUUACUAGUGAAACGACUCAGCAUGCCAACUGUAAAGGCGAUGUCGGGUCUAGUGCAACUCAUAGCAUACAUGAGACUACCAAUCAGUUUUGAGUACUUUAAUUGAUCCACACUGGUCCCUUCAUUAGGACUCAGUCUUUUAUUAUAAUCACAUGGUGUCUCACUCGGUUUACAAUCACUGUAUCCCCAGGUAGAAAGUAGUUGCUCAAUAUAAUGAGUCUGGCUAAGGGAGAUGACUUGCCUUUCAAAUCUAACUUUCAUACCAAGAAUGGUAUUAGCAACACCAAGAUCUUUCACGUCAAAUUCUUUAGCUAAAGUAGCUUUCGCGUCACUCACUACAGAAUGAUUGGAGCCAAGAAUUAACAUGUCAUCAACAUAUAAGCAAAUGAUGACUAUUUUAUUUGACAUAGAACGAUGACAAAGACAUUUAUCUGAAUAGCUAGAUUGAAAGCCAUAACUCUUUACCACUUUGUCAAAUUUAAGAUGCCACAUCUUAGGUGCUUGUUUAAGACUGUACAAAGAUUUAUUCAAUUUACAAACUUUGUCCUCAAGAUCUUUCAUGACAAACCCUUCCGGUUAUUCCAUGUAGAUUUCUUCAUUUAACUCUCCAUUUAGGAAAGCUGUCUUUACAUCCAUUUGAUGCACUACAAAGUGUUCAAUAGAUGCCAAAGCAAGAAGAAUUCUCAUAGUUGAUAGAUGACACACAGGUGAAUAGACAUCAAAAUAGUCUAUUCCACUCUGCUGUUUAUUCUGUCACGCCCCGGGACCCAGCGGAAGCCCGCCCGGCGCGAGCCCAGACCCGCCAUAUGUCUAAAACAUACAAGGCGUCUAAAACAAAACGAUAAAUAAGGCAAGAAGAACGAGAACAUCUAGCUGUAUCAGAGCAAAGUGUAUUUAGAGGCUACAAUAAAAGAAAUAAACAUAAAGUCGAAAGUCCACUAAAUAAAAGCAUGAAGUAGUACAAAAAAAAUCCCAAAUACAAAUGCUAAACAUAAAAACAUGGGUGGUCUCUAUAUAUGGUAACAAAACUCUCUCUCUCACAAAAACCAAAAAGAAGAGAGUGACCACCUAGGAGCAACAGCAAGCUCCGCUAUCCAGCUACGCGACUCCCUUGCCGCGAUCCCGUGCCUCCGCUAGUGCCGAAGGCUCUGAAAUAAAACCACGAAACAGGGGUCGUGAGAACUAUUGAAUAAUAGUUCCCAGUGGGUAAUUACUGACUUUAGUGAAAUGCGCCACUAGGCCCAAAAGAUACAAAAAGGGGUCAGUGUAUAAGUAUAACAAAAGCGAUAAGUACAACUAGUAAAUAAACAUGAAUACCUGCUACCACAAGAUAUUUCUACUUAGCAUGAUUUUGCUUAAGUAAUAAAAAGGCUACACUAGCAUGAAUGUACCAAAUCAUCACUAGUAUGAUGUCCAUAAGCUAAAUAGUAAAGAUGUCCUUGUUUACUAUUAUAGUCAAUGUCCACAUGGCAUGAUGAAUGCUCAAAGUCAAAUCUGAAGAGACCCGCCCGAAGGCUGUCUGGCCCUGAGACCCACCCGUAGGCUGUUUGGCCGAUGCCGAGCCUAAUGGCCCCGUAGUAGUCAACAUCCCCACUUUAGGAAUGAGCCUUUCCCACGGCAAUCCACUUCGGCGCCCAAUCCCGCACGGCGAAUAUGUAUCGCGAUGGCCAUCUCCGGAGUGCCGGCUUGUAGGGAGCGACCCUCACAAGCAUAUGCGAAUGAGCACAAUGGCAAGUAACGUAAGAUCCGUCUCAAGUACCAAGUCCUCAUGUCUAACAACAUGGAAUGUCACAUAUCUCAAUGGCCUAUAUCUAAGUCAUCAUGUCUAAAACAUGAAAGUAAUAGAUAUCAAAGGCCUAUCACUAUGUCUCAUUAUAGCAGUUUCAUAGUUUGCUAGUCCAAGUGCCCCUUUAUGACACUUUUGGUCACUAAGUCCAAUUAUAGUGUAGUGUUUACAAUUACACAAUUAUGAGUUAACAUAAGGGACAUGAUUCCCAUUGCUAUCUCGAACACUUCUCACAUGCAUAAAAAUUACCCAGUAUGCUCUACUAUAUAGAGUGAAAUUUAUCUUACACAUAGCACAUGCAUUUUAAGUGUUCUAAAAUUCACAUAAAUCCUAUCUAGUAUGGAUUUGCAUUCAAAUUGACGUUACGACAAGUAUAGAAUACAUAGGGGCUAUUUCGCCCCGAUUUUAUGAAGUCAAACCUACCCCAACUCUUGCGCUCCUUCGUUUGCUCCAACGAAGGUGUCCACUAGUCUCCUAGCACCCUAAAGAUGUAGGAACAAGAGUUAAACGAACCUUACGAACAACCAUAAGGUUGAUCAUUAACCAUCUCAAGCUAAGGUGGAGAAAAACUCACCAAGUGUGAAGGAAGCUCUCUCGAUCUCCAAAUGGGAGUUAGAGCCCUUCCAAUCCAACCUAAACCAAGGUUCUAAACCCAUCAAUUAGGUCUCAAAGCCCUCAAAUCGGAAAUCCCCAAAAUAAACCCUAAAAUCCAAAUCUAGGGUUUCAUUUAGUAAAAAGCUCCAAAACUAGGAUCUAGAGGAGAGAAACUAGCCACAUACCUCUAGGAUGCUCCAAACCAAGCUCAAAACCCUCAAGGAUGGGAGUUUGAUCCUCCACAAAGCUCCAAGUCCAAGCUCCAAGCCUCAUAUGAGAGAAAGGGUUGAUGCUCCAAGCUCCCUCAAGCAAGCUCUUUCUCUUCUCCUUCUUCAUCUUCUUCUUCUUCUCUUUCUAGAGGUAUGAGAGAGUGAGAAGUGAGGGAAAGAUAGAGGGAAAAUGGCUCUAAAAGCCCUCUCGUGUAACAAAAUCCAUUUAGGUCCCUCAACAAUCCAAUCUGUGCAUCAGCUCGAACUGGGCAAUUUUCGCCCAGAGGGACUGGUCUCUCCCAGCUGGGACCGGUCCCUCAGGACCCUCCCGCAAAACAAGCUCUCGGGAACCGGUCUUUCCCUGCCAGGGACCGAUUGCCUCAAGAUCUGCCGCACCACUGUUCCGGGGGGACCGGUCUCUCCCUGCCAAGGACCAAUCCCCGAGAGUAAAAACUCUCAGGACUUAACCAAAAUUCAGAAUUCGAACUUUUAGGUCAGAAUACCAUCUACGACCCUCCACCAAGUGUGGAAAAGCUCGGAAUCCAAGUCAAGCACUCGAACCUCGCAAUUUGCAAUGGUCCAAUGUGUUACAUUCACCCCUCCUAAAAAGAAGUUUCGUCCACGAAACUCAAAAGCAACAACAUACCUCAAAGUUCCAUCUGAAAAAGAUAGGGAUAGCGCUCCUGCAAAACGCUCUCCAGCUCCCACGUGGCCUCCCGCUCCCCGUGGUUGCUCCAAAGAACCUUCACAUACGGAAUAUCCUGAUUCCGCAGUUUUCGCACCUCGCGAGCCAAGAUCCUCACUGGUAGCUCCUCGAAGGUCAGAUCAUCCUGCAACUCCACAAGUGUAGCAUCCAACACAUGAGUCGGGUCGAAGAUAUAUUUUCGAAGGACCGAUACAUGAAAGACGUUGUGCACGCCCGAUAGGUUCGGUAGUAGAGCAAGUUUAUACGCUACCGGACCUACACGCUCCAAAAUCUCAUACGGUCCAAUGAAACGGGGGCUCAACUUACCCCGAAUCCCGAAUCUCCUGAUCCCUCUAGCCGGCGAGACCUUCAAGAAUACAUGGUCUCCAACUUGGAACUCCAAGUCUCGCUACUGUCGAUCGGCGUAGCUCCUCUGUGUACUCUGCGCCGUCAAAAGUCGCUCCCGAGCAAUUCGAACCUUGUCUUCAGCUUCCUGGAGCACGUCAGGGCCUAAAGCCAAUCUCUCGCCUACUUCACUCCAAUGGAGUGGCGAUCUACACUUCCGUCCAUAAAGUGCUUCGAACGACGCCAUCUUGAUGCUUGCUUGAUAAUUGUUGUUAUAAGCAAACUCCGCCAUAGGUAGGUGCUGCGACCAUCCGCCCUAAAAGCCUAUCACACAUGCUUGGAGCAUAUCCUCUAAAGUCUGUAUGGUGCGCUCCGACUGCCCGUCACUCUGAGGGUGGAAAGCAGUGCUGAAGUCCAGUCGAGUGCCCAGAGCGUCUUGUAGACUCCUCCAAAAAUAAGACACAAACCAAGUGUCUCGAUCCGAUACGGUCGAUGUAGGUACUCCAUGAAGUCGCACAAUCUCAUCAAGGUACACUUGUGCGAGCUUCUUCCCGGUCCAAGUAGUAUGAAUAGGUGUGAAGUGCGCCGACUUCGUCAACCUAUCUACGAUCACCCAAAUGGUAUCAUGCCCGGCCUGAAAGCGAGGCAAUCCUGUCACAAAAUCCAUGGUGAUCUCUCCCACUUCCACACGGGAAUAGGUAAACUCUGAAGUUUUCCUGCAAGUAAUCGGUGCUUAGCAUUUACUUGUUGGCAAGUUAGACAACGAGCUACAAACUCGUCAACAUCAUUUUUCAUCCCGGACCACCAGUAGAGUAACUUUAAAUCCUUGUACAUCUUGGUGCCUCCCGGAUGUAUAGCAUACGGUGCUCGGUGCGCUUCCUGCAAAAUAUCCUCUUUAAUUCCCGGAUCCGCCGGUACACAAAUCCGUCCGCGGAAACGCAUCAAUCCUUAGUCAUCCACAAGGAAGUCACCGGUGUAACCAUCAACCAUUUUAUCCCGAAUCUUUUGCAACUCCACAUCGGAAGCUUUCUUUUCUUUAAUUCGAUCCAAAAGAGUAGGUUGCACCACCAAAGUCAUCAAUCUCAAAGGUGUAUCUGGAGUCACCACUUCCAACUCCAACCGCUUUAUCUGCUCGAUCAACUGCGGUUGAGUAACCACGUGCAUCGCUAAGUUUUCCGUCGAUUUCCUACUUAGCACAUCCGCCACCACGUUAGCUUUGCCCGGGUGGUAAAGGAUUGUAAGAUCAUAGUCCUUGAGCAGCUCCAACCAUCUGCGCUGCCUCAAGUUCAACUCCUUCUGAGUGAACACAUACUUUAAGCUCUUGUGAUCCGUAUAUACUUCGCACUGCUCGCCAUAUAAGUAGUGGCGCCAUAACUUCAAUGCGAAGACCACGGCCGCCAACUCUAAAUCAUGCGUAGGAUAGUUCUUUUCAUAUUCCUUCAGUUGGCAAGAAGCAUAAGCGAUCACCUUGCCAUCCUGCAUCAAAACGCAGCCCAAUCCAGUAAGAGAUGCAUCACUGUAAACCACAUACCCUACUCCAGCAACUGAUAGGGUUAGGAUCGGGACGGUCGUCAGUCGUUGCUUCAACUCUUGGAAGCUUCUCUCGCACGCGUCAUUCCAGAUGAACUUGACACCUUUAUGCGUGAGCCUCGUGAGGGGAGUAGAUAGCUUAGCAAACCCCUCGACAAAUCUCCGGUUAUAACCGGCCAAUCUAAGAAAACUGCGAAUCUCCGUGACGCUCGUCGGUCUCGACCAAUCCUUGAUAGCCUCAAUCUUCUUAGGAUCCACGACUAUACCCGAUCCCAAUAUUAAAUAUCCAAGGAAGGCUACCUCUCGAAGCCAAAAUUCACACUUUCUCAGCUUAGCAUAAAGCUCCUUUUUCCGAAGUAUUUGAAGUACAAGCCUCAAAUGUUCCUCAUGAUCUGCAUCACUUCGGGAAUAAACCAAAAUCUCGUCGAUAAACACCACAACGAACCUGUCCAAAUAAGGCUUGAAAACACGGUUCAUCAGAUCCAUAAAAGCUGCCGGGGCAUUAGUAAGCCCGAACGGCAUAACUGUGAACUCAUAAUGUCCAUACCGUGUUCUAAAAGCCGUCUUCGAUACAUCCUCAGGUUUGAUCUUCAACUGGUGGUAUCCCGACUGCAAGUCUAUCUUGGAAUACACACACGAUCCUUGAAGCUGAUCAAACAAGUCGUCGAUCCUCGGCAAUGAAUACUUAUUCUUGAUCGUGACUUUAUUAAGUUCACGAUAGUCCACACAUAGGAGAAGUGAUCCGUCCUUUUUCUUGACGAACAAAACUGGCGCUCCCCAUGGCGAAACACUCGGUCGAAUGAAACCCUUGUCCAGUAGAUCCUGUAGGUAUGCCCUCAGCUCUUUUAGCUCCGCCGGGACCUUGCCAUCCUAUAGGUGCCUUCGAGAUUGGAGUAGUCCCAGGGACGAGAUCUACCACAAACUCGAUCUCCCUAUCGGGAGGCAUACCAGGUAGCUCAGCUGGAAACACGUCCUGAAACUCUCGUACCAUCGGGAUAUCCUCAAUCCUAGGGGUAUCAUCCUCGCUCCUCAGCACAACACUAGCCAAAUAGGCUACACAUCCUCGGCUGAUCAGCUACCUAGCACGAGACGAGCUAAUCGACAUCACAAAAAGUGAACUCUGGCAUCCUCUAAACAUCACCUUAGUCUGCCCCGGUUCUCUAAAAGUAACCGUGCGAUUCAUUACAAUCGAUCGUGGCAUAGUACUUGGUUAGCCAAUCUAUACCCAAGACCAUAUCGAAAAUCUCCCUAACUUGCGCAAAGCUAGCAAGUCCACGGGCAUGAAUCGAAUCUCCUACCCGAACAGGGCAACUAGGGGCUAAUACUCUCUAAUAUCCAAAGAUGUGGUUGGGGACAACCAACACGUCCCGGAUGCAACAACAGAAACCAUACGGGAUGCCAUGCAACUCGGCAAACAGCCGAUCUAUAAAUGAAUGCGAUCCACCGGUAUCAAAUAAACCACGAACUCUAAUGCCAUCAAGUAAAAUGAUACCUGCAACCACAUCCUCGGCUGCUGCCGCCUCCUCGGUCUGAGCGGCAUACAUAGCGCCCACUUGGGGCCUGUCGAAAUCCCUCGCUCUGGCGCUGGACGGGUGGCCGCCCAGGCUUGGUACUGUGUCCGACAGGAGUCCCGUGGCUAGCGGCUGGUAGAGCCGGUGCCGAUGCAGUCGACGGUGCUGGUGAAAGAACCUCUCGGGCACUCAGGUCCGAACGUGGCCCUCCUGGCCACACUGGAAGCACCUGCCCGCCCGCUGUGGACACUGCGGUGGGUAGUGAGGGACCACCGCAGAUCACACACGGGAAAGGCCGGGGACCGGUCAGGAACCUCCUCGAGGUGCUGCUGAGCCGCGUCCACGCUGCUGGCUCCUAGGAAGCUUUGGCGGCCUCCUAGAGUGCGUCUGGCUCGCACCCUCAGCCGCAGGCCUCUUGGCCUUACCCUUGUCCAUAGCCUCUUGCCGCUCCUGGACAUCCGUCGCGCCGCUCUCCCCAAUGAGUGCGCGAUCCACUACCUCCCGGUAGGUUUGGAGGUUAGAGGAUUGCACGAAACCGGAAAAUAGACGGUCGCAACCCUUGCUCGAAGAUGCGGGCCUUAUCCUCGUCGUCCCGCACGACGAAAGGGCACGCAGUGUAGAAGCCGAGAAAACUCCCUCUCAUACUCGGCUACAGGUCCGGUCUCCUUGGCGCAAGUUGCGCAAGUCCUGCUCCAUCUUCCUUUUGACGCUGGUCGGAAAGUAGUGCGCCAGAAGAAGCUCCUUGAACCUCGUUCCAAGAUAUAGAUGCCAAGUCAGUGCUGGGGUGCUCCUGAAAAUCCAACCACCAGCGGUAGGCCUCGCCGUCCAAGGUGGUGAGUGGCGAGCCAAACUCUGUCCCUCUUCCUCCACGAAGGUGUCGCGAAAGAGCUUCUCCAUAUGCAUCAACCACUUCUCCACGAUCCAGUGGUCGACCUUCUCGCCAUCGAAAAAUCCGGGGACUGCACCUCCUGAACUCAUUGAGGCGCUCCAUCAGUCUGGUCUCCGCUCCGCCCCCUCCACCAAAGGUAGGGAAUGCAGCUCCAAUCGGGGGCCUCUGCACAGGUGGUGCCGCCAAAACCUCCUCCUGGGGUGCGGCCGCAGGCGCCGGCACGCGAAGAACUAGGGCGCGGGGGACGGCGCUCUCGGUGCAACGUCCACAACUGGUGCUGGCGGUGUAGGGGCCUGAGUCUCCCUAGGAAGCUGCCGCCUGCUGCAAUAGUAAGGUCCUCCAGACGCUUCAUCCGCGCCUCCUGUCGGCGCGCCGCCUCGGUCUGCUGUCGGGCCGCCUCCGCCUGCUGAGUGACCAAAUGAGUGAGGGCCGCAAGCUGGCCCCUCAACUCACGGACCUCGCUGGAAUCCGGAGGUAGCGGAGGUCUCGACCUCCUCGAAGUUUGCCGCAUUGUCCGCCCCGGCAGAUUGGGAGCGAGUAAUCGGCCAUCGUCACUACAACAUCAUAAAAGCGUAAGUUAGUAACCUCACGCUAUCGCAUCCCAACUCAAAAGACAAACCCAAAUCAUGUGAAAGUAAGGAAGUGUGCUAUCCACAACUAACUCCCGAUGUUACGUUGUCGGCCGCCAACGUAACCCUCCGCGAAGUUAGAAGUCCAAACACUCCGAUCAACUCUAACUUUUUAGAGUUAUCAUAAUACCCAAUCAUGAUACUUUCGCUCACAAGUCGAAAUAGACCUCGUCUCUCACGAGCCUAUUUCCCUAUAGUCCAACCGGCCUAAGGUUUGCUAGGUCCCCUAAGACUCAACCCUAGGCUCUGAUACCAAAUUAAUCUUGUCACGCCCCGGAACCUAGCGGAAGCCCGCCCGGCACGUGCCCAGCCCCGCCAUACGUCUAAAACGUAUAAGGCGUCUAGAAACAAAACGAUAAAUAAGGCAAUAAUAAACGAGACAUCUAGGAGUAUCAGAGCAUAAUAAAUGUCUAAAUGGCUACAACAAGGGAAAUGAACAUAAAGCUAUAAAUCCACUAGAUAAAACAUAAAGUGUACAAGAAGAAUUCCAGAAUACAAGUGCUAUAACAUAGAUAACAUAGGGUGGUCUCUAUACAUGGUAACAAAACUCUCUCUCACAAAAAUCAAAAAGAAGAGAGUGAACCACCUAGGAGCAACAGUAACCGCUCCUCGCUAGCUAGCUAAGCGACUCCCUUGCCGCGAUCCCGUGCCUCCGCCGGUGCCGAAGGCUCUGAAAAGGAAACCAUAAAACAGGGGGCGUGAGAACUAUUAAUAAUAGUUCCCAGUGGGCAAUUACUGACUUCAGUGAAUGCACCACAAGGCCCAAAGCUACAAAAGAUGGUCAGUGUAUAAGUAUAACAAAAGCGAAAGGUACAACUAGUAAAUAAACAUAAAUACCUACUACCACAUGAUAUUUCUACUUAGCAUGAUUUUGCAUUAAGUAUAAAAAGCAACUAUGCAUGAAGUACCAAAGUCUCCAACUAGUCAUAAUGUUCCACAAUGCGAAAUAGUAAAGUUCCGUUGUUUACUAUUCUAGUCAAUGUCCACAUGGUCAUGAUCUGUCCAAUGCUCAAAGUCAAAUCUGAAGAAGACCCACCUGAAGGCUGUCUAUGGCCCUGAGACCCACCCGUAGGCUGUCUGGCCGAUGCCGAGCCUAAUGGCCCCGUGGUAGUCAACAUCCCCACUCUAGGAAUGAGCCUUUCCCACGGCAAUCCACUUCGGCGCCCAAUCCCGCACGGCGAAUAUGUAUCGCGAUGGCCAUCUCCGGAAUGCCGGCUUGUAGGGAGCGACCCUCACAAGCAUGUGCGAAUGAGCACAAUGGCAAGUAACGUAAACGAUCCGUCUCAAGUACCAAGUCCUCAUGUCUAACAAUAUGGAAUAUGCCACAUAUCUCAAUGGCCUAUCUCUAAGUAAUCAUGUCUAAAACAUGGAAGUAAUAGAUAUCAAAGGCCUAUCACUAUGUCUCAUUAUAGCAGUUUCAUAGUUUGCUAGUCCAAGUGCCCCUUUAUGACACUUUUGGUCACUAAGUCCAAUUAUAGUGUAGUGUUUACAAUUACACAAUUAUGAGUUAACUUAACAUAAGGGACAUGAUUCCCAUUGCUAUCUCGAACACUUCUCACAUGCAUGAAAAUUACCCAGUAUGCUCUACUAUAUAGAGUGAAAUUUAUCUUACACAUAGCACAUGAAUUUUAAGUGUUCUAAAAUUCACAUAAAUCCUAUCUAGCAUGGAUUUGCAUUCAAAUUGACGUUACGACAAGUAUAGAAUAUAUAGGGGCCAUUUCGCCCCGAUUUCAUGAAGUCAAACCCACCACAACUUUUGCGCUCCUUCGUUUGCUCCAACGAAGGUGUCCACUAGUCUCCUAGCAACCUAAAGAUGUAGGAACAAGAGUUAAACGAACCUUACGAACAACCAUAAGGUUGAUCAUUAACCAUCUCAAGCUAAAGUGGAGAAAAACUCACCAAGUGUGAAGGAAGCUCUCUCUAUCUCCAAAUGGGAGUUAGAACCUUUCCAAUCCAACCUAAACCAAGAUUCUAAACUCAUCAAUUAGGUCUCAAAGCCCUCAAAUCGAAAAUCCCCAAAAUAAACCCUAAAAUCCAAAUCUAGGGUUUCAUCUAGUAAAAAGCUCCAAAACUAGGAUCUAGAGGAGAGAAACUAGCCACAUACCUCUAGGAUGCUCCAAACUAAGCUCAAAACCCUCAAGGAUGGGAGUUUGAUCCUCCACAAAGCUCCAAGUCCAAACUCCAAGCCUCCAAUGGUGAAGAAAGAGAUAAAGGGUUGAUGCUCCAAGCUCCCUCAAGCAAGCUCUUCCUCUUCUCCUUCUUCUUUCUCUUCUUCUUCUUCUUCUCUUUCUAGAGGUGUGAGAGAGUGAGAGAGUAAGAAGUGAAGGAAAGAGAAGGGAAAUGGCUCUAAAAGCCCUCUCAUGUAACAAAAUCUAUUUAGGUCCCUCAACAAUCCAAUCUGUGCAUCAGCCCGAACUGGGCAAUUUUCGCCUAGAGGGACCGGUCUCUCCCAGCUGGGACCGGUCCUUCAGGACCCUCCCGCAAAACACGCUCUCGGGAACUAGUCUUUCCCUGCCAGGGACCGGUUGCCUCAAGUCCCGCCGCAACACUGUUUCGGGGGGAACCGGUCUCCCCCACCAGGGACCGAUCCCCGAGAGUAAAAACUCUCAGGACUUAGCCAAAUUUCAGAAAUCGAAUUUUUAGGUAGGAAUACAGUCUACGACCUUCCACCAAGUGUGGAAAAGCUCGGAAUCCAUAUAAAGCAUUCGAACCUCGCAAUUUGCACAGGUCCAGUGUGUUACAUAGCCUUUAGCUACUAAACGUGCUUUGUAUCUAGCUAUUGAUCCAUCACUAUUCAGUUUCUUUUUCAAUACCCACUUACAGCCUAUAGCCUUAGCCCCUUUUGGCAAAUUGACUAGCUGCCAAGUAUGGUUCUGCAACAGAGAGCUCAUGUCAUCAUCUAUGGCUUCUGUCCACAGUAGGGAUUCCCUAGAUCUCAUUGCUUCUUGAUAAGAAAAUGGAUCAUCCUCUAAAUGGUAAGUAACAAAGUUCUCACCAAAACUUUUGGGAACUCUCUCUCUUGUAGAUACUCUAAUUGGAACUGAUUCAACAGCCAGCUGUGUGGGAUUAGUGUCAGAAGGGCCUGCUUCAGAUUCUAUAAGAGAUUCCGAAAUCAUAUCUAUAGAUCUAGAAACAUUCAAGCCAUGAUCUCUGAGAAACUUAUUCUCGAAGAAUUCUGCAUCUCUAGAUUCUAUCACUGUGUUAGUAGAUAGAUCUAAAAACCUAUCUGCAGCACUAUCUUCUGCACUACCUAGAUAUACACAGGUAAUGGUUCUAGGUCCCACCUUAGGUCUCUUUGGAUUUUGUAUUCUUACAUAAGCAACACAACCCCAGGUCUUAAGAAUAUCAUAUCUACAAGGACGCUUAUGCCAUAUCUUAUAAGAUGUCAUAGACAACUUAGAGUGUGGCAACCUGUUCAGGAUGUGAUUAGCAGUUAGAACUGCUUCUCCACAAUAGGAAGAAGGCAUGCCAGUUGUAAGUAACAUAGAAUUUAACAUUUCAGUUAACGUUCUAUUCUUACGCUCGGCAACACCAUUUGAUUGGGGUAAGGAGCAGUUGUUUCAAGUAUUAUGCCCUCUGAAGCACAAAACCUUGAACCCUGUCAUUGUAUAUUCUCCUCCUCUAUCACUCCUAAACCUCUUAAUUUUCAAGUUGAGUUGAUUUUCUAUUCUAGACUUGAAAAUCUUAAACUUUUCAAAAGCCUCAUCUUUCAAUUUCAACAAAUAGACACCACAAUAUCUAGAAAAAUCGUCCAUGAAUGUUAUCAGAUACUUCCGACCACCUCUAGUGACGUAAUUUCUAAAAUCACAGAGGUCAGAAUGUAUUAGCUCAAGAAGUGUGCUUUUAGAAACCGAAUUAAAAGGUUUUCUACUGAUCUUAGCUUGUGCACACACUUCACAUUUGUCAAAUCGAAUAGAAGUAUAUAAUGGAAUGUUGUGAGUUUUAGCUAGAUGUUGCAUUUUCCUGUAGUUCACAUGUCCAAGUCUAUUGUGCAACAACUUUGGAUCAAUCAGAGUAGAACUCACAUGGUUUAUGCUAUCAGUAUCUAAACUCAACCUAUACAUACCAUUAACCAUGAAUGCACAACCGAAAUAACAUGAGUGAACAGAUAAGUUUACUCUACCAUUCAUAGUUGAAAAGGACAUACCAGCUUUAUCAAGUUCAUAGAUAUCAAAUUCCUUUUAAAUAAAGAUACUACUCUAACAUGUUUCAGAGUUAGUAAUCUACCUGAAGAAAGCACCAAAUUUGCAGUUCCAGCAUGAGUCACUUCUGCCUCACCACCAUUGCAAUUUUCCACGAUGUCUUUCACUUCUGUGACCUCUGUGAGUAGGUUCUUGUUAUUUGCAGCAUGAUAAGUAGUGCCACUAUCCAACCACCACUCAGAAGAAAUACUAGCCUUUCCAAUUUUCAUCGUUCCAAUGAAGGCUUGAGGCUCAGAUUCACUAAUUAGCAUAUUAGCCUCACUUUGUGGUCUGUUAUUCUUUGGCUUCUUUGGUAGUUUACACUCUGCUACCCAGUGACCCCACUUUCCACAGUUAUGGCACUUUCCCUUCUUCUUCCUUUUGGAGAUAGUCUUUUUGGCCUCUAACUGUGAAGAAGAUUCACCUUUUGGUGACUUGGACCUUUUCUGAGGUUUAUUGAAGUGUGAAACUAAGUUGGCAACUGACUUUUGUUGUCCUACUUGUUCUAAACUCUUUCUAGUGCUGUUUUGAUCCUCAAUAUGAAUAUCUCUUUAGUUCAUCCAGUCCCAUCUGUUCUUUCAAUCUGUGCAUUUCAGUCUUGAAAGAAUUCCAUUCAGCAGGUAGCUUACUCAAUACAAGACCGACAAAGAGAUUAUCGGACAUAUCAGAUUUAUCAUCUUUCAGCUUGUUCCUCAUAUUCUCAAGUUAAAUUAACUGAGAGGUGAUGCUUGAAUUCAUAUUGAACUUAAAGUCAAAGAAUUUCUCCGCUAGAAAAGUUUUAGAGAGCCCCUCUUGUUUUUGGAACUGAACGUUCAAGUGAUCCUAUAUCUCUUUCGCUGUCUUAUACUCACUGUAAGUCAUAGCUAGACGAGGAUUUAGAGAGUUCAACAAGUAAUCUCUACAAAAGUCUUCAUCCUUGUUCCAUUGAUAUUCAUCCACAUCUUCAAUGGUAGAUGCAAAAUCACUCAAAAUAGUGUAGAAUAUUUCACAUUCUUUCAUGCCAAAUUGAACAUGUAAUUUCCAACCAUGAAAUUCAAUGACAUCAAAUGAUUGCAGCUUUAUAAUAUCAUAAGAACUACGCUUUGCCAUUUAAUCAGAGCAAAGUGUUAGAAAGAGUGCACCUUGUAGUCCUCAGAGCUCACAAAGUCGAAUAAAGCCCCUGACCUGAAUCAAACUGCUCAGUAGAGGUGGAAUUUGCCAAAAACAGACCCAAAAAUGGAUCCGUAGUGCCCAAAAACCUUAAGGGGAAGUUUGGAUUGACGAAUCUGUAGAUCCAACAUAAGUCAAGUGUAGUGGUGUUUGAGUUUCCCUGAAGUGUGAUUAUUUUUUUGUUGUUUGUUUUGACGUAACCCGUACGGUCUGAAAGUUAAAUUCAAUUACUUCUUCUGUUUGUUUUGAUGUAACUUGGUGCUGGUAAAAUUAGUUUUUUGAGUUCCGUUGUUUGUUUUGAUGUAAGUGGAUCCUAUUAUCUCCUAAAUAUAGUAGUAAAUUUACCACUAUAAAAUUUAACCUAUUAUAUAAUUAAAUUUUUUAUUAUUAUUUAAAGGUAAUCCUAAUUUAUUAUAAAUAAGGUAAUUCUAACCCAUUAUAAAGGAAGUAGAGUUUAGGUUUUACUGUUUAAUUAAUUUUUUAGAGGAGGUUGAGUGUGGUGGAAGUCGAGUUCGGCACUUUAGAGGAGGAAGUCGAGAGUAGGUAAAGUGGAGCUCUAACGUAACUUGAGUUACAUUAUAUUUUUCACUUACACCAAAACAAAUAACGGAAGUGAUGGAACUUGAGUUCCAUCACUCCACUUACAUCAAAGCAAACGGGCCCUAAGAUGAACUGCCCUCGUUGCCGGAAACUGCUGAAAACUUUCGAUUGCCGUAACUGCGUCGUCCGACCUCCGUUCGAGACGAGUGACCACUCAAAACGUUCGUAUCGACGAGUAGAACAGAACCCAAGUGGUUUCACCCUCCGAAAUUGGCUAUAAUUUUUGGGUUUUUGAAUCAAAGAUUUCGGCCGCCUGACUUUCAAACUCAGAUCCCGGCCAAUCCGACUGUCGAAAUCGAAAGUAAAUUAUACCUGUGAGUUCACAUGUUGACGAGAUCUUCAAAUAGACACCUUACUCGCUCAGAUCCGACAUGCGAUCAUAAUACUUCAAGAUUGUUGGAGGUUAUGGGUUUUUGAGAAUAGAUGGCGUUUCAGGGUGCUUGAAGUAUUACAUCAAGAGACAUCAAGUUUGGAAUGCUCAACAGUGUUACCUCCAGCUUAGGAGAACCCUAGGAUUAAUAAGUAAGCUAUUGGGCUCCAGUUGAUAUGGGCCCUAAUACGCUUUCACCUAUUGGGCUUGUAUGUGAACAUAUUAUUUGGAUUAUAUAACAAUAUAUCCAACAGGAUUUGGGCCUUAAGACUUCAAUUCAGAGUCUGGAACACCCUCUAAUGAUUGAAGACCUUUGCAUGAUUGAGAAGCAAUGUGGGAUCCUUCUUCUGGAGGAUCUCAUUUCAAAAGCAGCAUUAACGCAAGGCUGCUCGCCAUUUGGCACUUGAUGGUUGUCCCAUAAGUAGUAGAGCAGUUGCUUAUCUUUUUUCAUGUGUGUACUAUAGCAUUUGUGAGCUUUUAUUUGAGGAUUUGAUGUGAGGUACGAGUUAAGUUUCAAGAAUGAAACUUUUUGUAAGGAGGAGGAUGUAGUCUUCUAAAAAAUUUAAUUGUCGGAACAACUACAGUAUCAGUAACAGGUCGACACUUUUGUAGAAUAUUGGGACGAGUUGCAAUCGUUUGGACAUAAAAUUGACGCUACAAACGAACCCGAAAUGUGAGUAAAAUUCAGCUGGAAUAUUUUAUGUUGUGUUGUACCUAGUGUGUGACUCACCUCCCUCCAACCACCCUUAAUUGGGGAUUUUGUAGGUUAGCGAAUCAACUGAAUUAUACCUAUCUUCUUCUCCUCUCUUCUUCUAAGUCUUCUUCUUCUUUUCCUCCUCCGGUCCUCCCUCUCUCCCAGCUGAACUUCAUGCGCAUUGCUGCUAGCAGCAGCAUUGCUGCCAGCUACUGCAGCAGCAAGGAAGCUACAAAAGCAGCAGCAGCAGGGAAAUUGCAGCAGCUGCAGGGGAGUUUCAGCCAUCUUCUUAUUCUUUUGCUUCUUCUCCUACACCAUUGGUAGCUGCAGCAGGAGAAGUAGCAGCAGGAGGUGCUGCCAGCAACUGCAGCAUGUGCUGCCAGCAGUGGCAACCUCAAUGUGGGUUGAAUUUGAGUGAUUGGUGACCUCAACUUCGAAAUUGUGAUUCUUGGGGAGAAUAAGGGAGUAGGGGAGCUCAGUUUGGACUCUUUUCCUAGCUGAAGUUAGAGAGGUAUGUAUGAAUGAGACUUGAGUGAACAUGAAGUUUGAGCUGAAAUUCCAGCAUUGUUGGAUUUUCUAGGGUUCUUUUGAUCCAAUUCUUGAAUCUAAAUUGUUGGCAGCAAAAUUGGGUUCUUGGUGAUGUUCUAGGGAGGGAGAGGAUCUAGUGGAUUUCUUUCUUCAUCUAAAUUUCAGGUAUAUUAGUAGUUAAUUGCUGAAGUUAGUAUGCUGAAAUUUGAUGUCUUGUGGAAAUUGAUGGAUUUCUUUGAUUUUUCGACUUCGAUUUCUUCUAGUGAAUUAAUUGGGGGAUUCUUUCUGGUCCUUGCUUCAAUUCCAGCUGUUUUGAGGUUGCACCCAACUGAACUUUAAGGUACAGUGAUCCAAUUGUUAAGUUAAUUCAGUUCCGAAGUUGAAGUUGCAUUUCGUUAAAUUUUUCUUGACUCCAAUCUUGAUUUCAGCAUAUCCCUGGUUGGAGAGAAAAAAAAGAACCCCUUUUUUCCCCUUGUUCUUUCUCACUUGAAUUGUCAACUAGGAGCUUGGAAUUGUAAUGAAUUCCAGCAUUGGAUAAGUGAAUUCAGAAAUUGAUGAAGUUUGACCAUUGAACUAAAUUAGCUCCUUCCCGCCUGCUUGUGAGGUCUUUUCCUUUGAAUUCUUGCCGAAUUUGAAGCUGAGGAAGAUACGUUGGUGAUUGAAUCCUUGCUGUGGUUGGAUUAGCACACAAGGCGGGUUUAAUUUUCCAAAAUUGAUGGAAUUUCCAUUAUGUUUACUAAACUUUCAGCAUGAAUGCUAUUGUUUGUUCAAAGUUAUUUAUUCUAGCUUAGAAUCACUAGAAUAUCGUUUGAAAUGCUGAAAUCUGAAUAUAGAACAUGUUAACCUGCAUGUAAUGAUUUUUUAUGCUGAAAUUAGAUGGAAACAGUAGUGAAAUCUGCACUUUUUAGCGUAGAGUUGUUCAGUUCUUAUGAGGUUUUCUCUUAUAGUUUGGUUUCAAUAGUUGCUUGAUUGUAUUAUUAUUAUUAUUAUUAGAUUCGUUUUUAGGUUCACCGCUCUGCUGACUUUGGCAUGGGGCGAUGAGUUUACAUUGUGGUCAUGUUUGGUUCACUCUUUAUUAACCGUAGAAUCGGAAUAUCCAUUCCGAUUCUAGACGUUUGGUAUAGUGUAAUCCCAUUGCGAUUCCAUUUCCGCUCCAGAAUGUGAAUCCACUAAUCCGGAUAAAAACCAAUCCAGCCUCGGAUCCCGGAUUAAAGCUUGACUCCAAUAUCAUACGAUAAAAAAUUAAAAAAAUAAUAAUAAAAAACUUCGUGGCGAAAAAACCUCUGCGCUCGCCCCGGCCAUCCCUCUUAACCCUCUCGUAAGCAACUUCUCCCCGGCCAAUCUCUCUUUCUCUCUCUCUCUCUCUGUCUCCGACCGUCGUCUCUCAAAUCAUCGUCAUCUCUCUCUCUUCUUUACUAUUCUUUCUCGCUUCUCUACUAUUUUUAUUCUCAAAAGUAAAUCAAUUUCUUUCUCUAUUGUCCGAAAAUUGAAUCUUUUUCUUUGAGGUCAACAUCACAUAGAGCAUUGGUACUUUCUUGUCAAAAGAAGAAGACAAUGAACUUUGGAUUUUGAUAAUAAAAAAGAAACAAUAAUUUUAGGGCUUGUUUACUUCCCUUAUUUUAGACUCGUUGAUUCCGACAGUUGUUGUUUGUUUUAUAGGAAUAGGAUUUCGAUUCCCAUUCCACUCUGGAACAGAAAUGGCCCAAUCCGGCUUUGAAUCCUGGAAAUACCUCUCCAAAGUAAACCACUUAAAAUCUACUCUCACAGAAACCUUCCCAUCCUCUCCCCUCAUCAUUCUCCUCUCCCUUAACCAAAACCUCUCUCAAAGUACUAGAUGUCCCUAUUGUUCAUUUUGAUUUCCAUUCCAAUAAUGAAACAAAAUUUUUGGAUGAUUCGUCAUUCUAUUUCCCAUUUCAAUACAAUUCAAUUCAAUUUUCUAUUCUCAUUCCACUCAUAAACCAAACAUACCCUUUUAUUAGGGAAAAAAAACUUAUCCUAUAAUUUGGAAAAAGAAAAAAAUUGCAAGUAAUUUUAUCUGAUACCAACUUAAUCUAUCACACGCCGGGUUAUACCGGAACUUGGGUUAAGAUUCUCCCCAAUCAAAUGAAAGCUCAACUCCAAGAGAAAAAUCCAAAGAAAAUCCAUUAAAAUCUCAACUUGCUCAAAAACUGGGAACUUUUACUAAAACUUAAAAAGAAAAAAAUCCAAAAAUACUUGGAGAUUUGAUGAAGUGAAGCUUUCCACAAACUUUGAACUUUAACUAGCUGUGCAUACACCUCUCCUACAAUCUUAAACUUCGAAACAUCACCAAAAUCCAAAGAAAAGUCGAACUCCUCAAGCUGCCAAGCUGCUGCUAUUCUGGGAAUGCUCCAAUGGUGAGUAGAAGAGGAAGAAAGGCAAUGAGAGGAGGAGAAUGUGAGGAAGAAGGAAAUGAGAGUGGAAGAGAGAUGAUCUCAGCUAGCACUAUACUCUAAACUCCUAAUUAAAAGUAGUUGGAGGUGUAAGUUGAGCCUAAACCUCAACAUAACUCUUUAUAAUAUUCCAGCUAAAAUCAAUAGUACUUCGGAAUUAUUUGUUUUACCAAUUUCGCGUCCACAUCAAUUUCGACUCAUCCUAACACUUUUCGAAUGUGUCGCUUAAUCCACAGACUGUAAUCAUUACAAGAAAUAAUAUUCUAAUAUAUAUUUUUUUUCAAAACACUGCAUCUCCACUUCUACAAAAAGUUUUGUUCUUGAAACUUAAACCAUACCUCAAAGAAGAACUCUCAAACAAGUAGGGAUAGGUCUCCAACAUCAUAGCCUCCGGCUCCCAAGUCGCUUCACGCUCCUCGUGAUUACUCCACACAACUUUUACAUAGGGAAUGACUCGGUUGCACAAUUCUUUCACCUCCCAAGCAAAAAUUCAUACUGGUCUCUCCUCGUAUCUCAAAGUCUCACUCAGCUCCAGUACAGUGAAAUCAAUUAUGUGCGAGGGAUCAAAAAUAUAUUUUCUCAAAGCCGAGACAUGAAAAACAUCGUAGAUACUAGCUAACUAGGGGUGGCAAUUCAGCUUGCCAUUUGCGAGCCAGCUCGUGUUCGGCUCGAAAUGAGCUCGGGAUCAAAUCGCUCAUUUAGUAAACGAGCCGAGCGCGAGCUGAAAUUUUCAGCUAGUUUAAUAAACAAGCCGAACAUGAGCUGGGGUCAGUUCGCUCGUGUUCGGCUCGAUAGCAACUCGAAUACAUAUAUUUUAUAUUUUUCUAUAUAAAUUAAUAAUUAUAUAUGUAUAUAAUAUAAAUUUUUAUUAUUUGAUUUUCUGCCCAAUAUAAAUAUAAAGCCCAAUUCAAUUAUAAAAUGAUUCAUUUAUAUGUAAAAUUUUAAUUAUUAGAUCAAAGUAUAACAGGUAAGAUCUUAUAAAUUUAUUCCUUAUAUAUAUUCUUUCUAAUCCUUCUAAAUUCUUAUUUAUAAGCCAGCUCGCAUUCAGCUCGAUACUUUAACGAGCUAGCCCGUGCUCGGCUCGUUUAUGAAACGAGCCAAACACGAGCCGACCACAGCUCGCUCAUGUUCGGCUCGUUGAUGCCCCUAUAUAUAUAUAUAUAUAUAUAGAGAGGGAGAGAGAGAGAGAGAGAGAGAGAGAGUAGGGCUACUACACUCUUAUGAGUAUUGGGCCCUUCGUACUCAUAAGUUGUUUUCAAUGAUGGAGCUUCCGAAUCAACGAUCCACUCCGUUAAAUAUGAUCUAGAGUAUUUCAAACUUCUAGAAAAUAAAUUUCGUAAUUUUUCGAAAUCAUAAUAAUGUUGUAGUAUAUUGAACUUUAGCAAAUCGCGCAGUUCAAGUAAGGAGAAGGGUACUUGGAACCAUCCUACGUGUUUUAAAGAGCAUAAAGAUGUUUUCGGACAAGUUUGAGAGUCAUUGGACCCUUGGAAGUGAGAAAGUGCAUUGUAAUUUCGAAUUUGGCAUUUUCUGCAUUGGUGUACCGGUACAAGCAUAAUGCUGUACCGGUACAGCAAGCAGCAGCAGCAGCAGGUGCGUGGUAGCAGGGAUCUUUUGGUCUUUUGGGCUUCUUGAUCUUAUCUUUAAGAGGUAGCUCGACCCCUGCAGCUGUAGAAGGGUUGCAGGAGCCUUGAGAAAGAGGUUGAAUAGAUUUUCUUCUCCUCUCUCUAGAGUUUUUCUCUCUACCAUGGGAAAUAAUGGUUUAAGUUGAAUUUCUUUCAUUAUUCGAUUUCAGCUGAUUGGGAGUACUUUGGAGUUGCUACGGAAGGAAGGAACAGCAGCCUUGCAGAGCACUUCGCAGCUUCGAACCUAGCUGUAACUCGGUUGAAGCUUUGGAGAGGUAAACUAGUAGUUAUUCCUUAGUUUGAAGCAUAAUGAUGAAUUAGUGUAAUAUUGGGGUUUAGGUGUUACUAGCAGUGUAAAGAGAGAGAGAGAAGAACAUUCUGCAGCUUGGGAAGGAGACUUGGACUGUGGAGCUUCAAAUUGAAGCUAGAGAAAGGUACUAUUCAAUCUGCGAAGGUGUAUUAUUUAGUAAUCCCCUUAGCUGAAGGGUUUGGUGUAAAGUAAAAUAGUAUUAACACUUGACUUCGCAGCAGGUUUACUUACUCUUUGGAGCGGAGUUGAUGAGUUUUGAGACUGAAUUUGAGUACUUAUAUCUUCGGCAAAGUAGAAAUAUUCCGUGGGGAAUUUAAACAAGUAAGACUUCAGCUUAUAAUACAUGGUUUUCUAAGAAUAGCAGGACUGUUUUGAGGCUAAUUUGCAGCAGGCUUGCGACAGGGUAUUAGAUAGUUCUCGACUGAAUUUUGGGAGCUUGUGACGGUGAAUCUAGUGUCUUCACUUGAACCAAAACAGGAGAUUAGAGCUGCAGCCUGACACAAGGCUAUGUUGCACAGAUACGGAUACGGGGAUACGGAUACGACACGAUACGGAUACGGCGAUACGGCAAUUCCUAAAACUUCUAGGAUAUGAUACGCGGGAUAUACUUGAGUAAAAUAUUAUUUUAAAUAUAUUUAAAUAUAUGUUGAUUAUAUGUAAUGAUAUAUUGAGAACAAUCAGAAUAUCUGGACUAUAUUAAGGAAUAUAUUCUAAUAUGCAUUAACUUGUAUAAUUGUUUUACAUAUGUUCAUAAAAAAAGAUAAUCAAUCAUAUAAAAUAAUAAUUCAAAAAGUAUCAAACCAACUGUCAUCCAACUUGAUCAAAUGAUAACAAUAGAUAUGUAGUUGCACAAACUAGAUAAUUAGUCAUUCAAUAUACAUGUCUGUUUUGUUAGUUCUAUUAUUAAAAUAGUAAUAAAAAAAUAUGGUAGCAAUGUAAUAGAGAAGUAAAAAAAAUCAUAUUUUCUAUAGCCUUUGUUGCUUAAUGCUAGGUUGACAAAUUAGAUGAAAGAGAGUAUAUAUUGUGUGAAGAUAGAACGAGAGGGAGCGCCUUCUACCAUUCAAGAGCAAAAAGAUAGAUGAAAUGACAAAUUGAACAGAGAUUGGCGUUUUUCUCACUCUUUUCCUUCUUUCUAAUAGGUUUGGACUUGAGUUUUUUAAAAAAAUUUUAAGUUUCGAUCAUUUUAGAUCAAAAAAGAAUCUGGCCGUGUCCCCCCCGUAUCCCCCCGUAUCCUUCACGUAUCCGAGCCGUAUCCGAUAUUUUUUUAUUUUUUAAAAAUGUCCGAUACUUCAUUCCCGUAUCGGACACGUAUCGGGCACGUAUCGGGCGCGUAUCGUUAUCCGAUACAUAUCCGAUACGGGUACGGCAUGAAAUUUGAAGUAUCCGUGCUUCAUAGACACAAGGUAAAAGUUGCUGAAAGUUGACAUUCGAUACUAGUUUCAAUGUAGUUUGGUAAAGUGAUUCACAGCUGUGGUCCAGCAGGUUGAGUGAUCAUUUGAAGAUGGUUAGUAUAACCUGGAAGCUGAAGUUGUGCUGAUCUAAGGGGGGGGGCCAACUUGAAUUAAAGCAAGGUUUAGUUUAGACUAAACCUAGGUGAGAAUUUAGCCUUAACAUGGGAUUAUGUGAAGUUUUACCUUUGACAUGUAAAUUCAGCUUUUAACUGACUUUGACCCGAUAUUAGGGAGAUCGAAGACUCCAGGUUACGCAUACAAGAGUGUGUUUCACAAAUCGGCAACUAAUAGGUGGGUUUGACCUACCCAGAGCAAGUGGAAAUCCCCUAUGUUCUAUAUGAUACUAUAUGUUGAUAGUAUGUGCGAGUACUAAUGGGCAUUAGUUACAGAGUGUUGAAUACUAUAACUUACUUGCCAUUGAAUUGACUGAAUCUUCCUAAUGUAUUAGAAUCAUAAGUAAUGAACUUGAUAUUGGACUCAAUGCACAUUUAGUAUAUGACUUUAUCCUACUUUGAUGAAGUAUAGAAUAAAGAGGUUCAUUUAGUAUAUGGACAGGUCAUUCAUUUGUAUUGAUAAAUUCUCAAGAUCUUGGACUUAUGUAUUUUUUGUAAUAUUUUUCUAUAAUUGCUGAAACUAGUGAAUACUAGCAUUUCCUUUAUAUUAAGAUUCCGACCUAGAGGUCGUAAGCAAGAAUUUUACAUGUUAAGACAUGAUGACUGGGAACUGUUGAACUAUGGAUCGUGCUUGCUUGCCAUUGUGCUCAUUCGCACAUGCUUGUGAGGGUCGCUCCCCACAAGCCGGCACUCCGGAGUUGGCCUACGCGACAGAUUGCUCGCCCGUGCGGGAUUGGGUGCCGAAAUGGAUUGCCGUGGGGAGUGUUUACUACCACGGGGCCAUUAGGCGCGGCGCAAGCUGGACUACCUUGUGUAGGUUCUUAUGAAUUAAACUAAAGUUCCAAAGGAUAGUAAUCGAUGAUUACCUUAUUUAAUGUAUAGUUACACAAUCCCAGAAUUUGUCCAUGUGCAUAGUAACUACUUUAUUUGCUUUGGCUUAAUUAACAUGUCUGAUAGUAUGAUACAUAUUCAUUAUUAAUUAUCAUUGAUUUAUCUAUCAUGCAGUAAAUGUUGUUUACAUUUCUAAUAGUACAUUAUGAGCCUAGUGGUGUAAUUCGCCGAGGCUGGCGGCUUACCCACUGGGAACUAUUGUUUAAUAGUUCUCACGCCCUUUUUAUUGUUGUUUUUACAAAGCCACCUACAGGAGAGACUAGGGAUCGUGGCAAGGGAGUCUCGUCUAGCUAGAUCUAGCUUGGAGCGUGACUAGAUGAUCACCUUGCUACUCGGGCUACGGCCGAGGGUGAUGUCCCCAUGUAUAGAGAGACUACCGUUGUACUUAUAUUGUAUAUAUACUUGGGAUGUAUAUGUGGUUUUGACUAGAGUUUUCAGUUUUGAUGUUUUUCUGUGAUGUUUGAGAUUUUGGGGUAUUUACUUACUGUCUUCUGAUAAUCUUAUUAUUGACUUAUACUUUGCUCUGAUAUCAGGUUAGAAUUCUUCGAUGUUUUCCUCCUUUCAACAUGGUUUUCUUGUAGACGCCUUAUAUACUGCAGGUAUAUGGCGGGUUUGUGCAUGUAUCGGGUAUACUUCCGCUGAUACCCGGGCGUGACAAAUGUCCAUCAAGCAGGCAUAAAAUGAACGGUCAAAAUCGAACGACGUCUUAAAAAUGAAUGAUCGGAUCCUUCAAUUUAAGAUUGGAGUUAUUGAUCUUUAUCUAGGGAGUGAAUAGAAUUUUCUAUCAAAAAUUCAACCUAUUCGGAUUCUUUUGCACCGUUAAACUAGCAAGUAUUCCAUACCGGCCGUUAAAAAUUGUCAAAUUUGUGAGCUUUUGAUCGUAAGAUAAUGAUGUCGAAAAAUUAUGAAGUUUGAUUUCUAGAAGUUUUAAAUGCUCUAGAAAAUGUUUAAUGGUAUGGAUCGUCGAUUCGGAAGCUCUAUCAUCGAAAACGACUUAUGAGUACGAAGGCGAUCGUACUCAUAAGAGUAUAGUAGCCGGACUCUAUAUAUAUAUAUAUAUAUAUUUAUAUAUAUAGAGCUAGUCUCCUAUACUAUCUAUAAUACGGUGUAUAGUCUCGUUUUCGAUCUUAGAGUGUUCAAAUCAACGAUCCACACCGUUACAACUGAUCUAGGAUAUUUAAAAUUUUUAAAAAUAAAAUUUUAUAUUUUUUUGACAUAGUUUACUUUAUGAUCAAACCAUUUCAAAAUUGUCAAUUUUCAAAAGCUACUAUGGCGAGUUUGGAGUUUAACGGUGUAGAAAAAUCUAAAUUUCUUCAAAUUUUGAUAGAAAAUACUUUAAACUAUCUAGAUUAAGGUUAACAUUCUUGAUCUUGAAUUUAAAAGUCCUAUACUCAAAUUUUAAAGAUUAUUCAAUUUCCACCGUCCAUUUUGACAUAAUUUAUUUACUAAGUAAACGAUGUCGAAAAAAACUAAAAUUUUAUUCCUAAGAACUUCAUAAACCCUAGAUCAUAUUUAACGGUGUGGAUCGUUAAUUUGAGCACCCUAAGAUCGAAAACAAGACUAUAGUACCGGAGCUCCGAUACUAUAGAUAGUAUAGUAGCUAUUCAUAAAAUUAUAAUUUAUAAUAAUUUGGAACAGUACAUCCCUCCUUUAUAAAAAGUUUCGUUCUCGAAACUUAAACCAUACCUCAAGAAGACCUCUCAAAUAAGUAGGGGUAGGUCUCCAACAUCAUAGCCUCCGCUUCCUAAGUCGCCUUACGCUCCUCGUGAUUACUCCACACCACUUUUACAUAGGGAACGACCUGGUUGCACAAUUUUUUCACCUCCCGAGUAAGAAUUUGCAUCGGUCUCUCCACGUAUCUCAAAGUCUCACUUAGCUCCAGUGGGAUGAAGUCAAUCAUGUGCAAGGGAUCAAAAACAUAUUUUCUCAAAGCCAAGACAUGAAAAACGUCUUGGAUACCAGUUAACCGCGACGGUAAAGCAAUCCUGUAGGCCACCAGUCCAACCCACUCCAAUACCUCAAAGGGACCAAUAUAACACGGACUUAGCUUUCCACGAACUCUAAAUCUACGAAUCCUCCUAAACAACGAGACUUUCAAAAACACAUGGUCUCCAACCUGAAACUUCAAAUCUCGUCACCUAGUAUCAACAUAGCUCCUCUGCCGACUCUGAGCUGCUCAAGAUGUGCCGUGCAAUUCUGACCUUUUCUUCUAUCUUCAACAGAAUGUCUGGACCAAAAUCUUUCUUUCACCCACUUCAUUCCAAUAUAGGGGUGAUCGAUACUUGCGUCCAUACAACGCUUCAAACGGAACCAUCUAAAUGCUCGCUUGAUAGCUGUUGUUGUACGCAAACUCAGCCAGUCUCAAGUGCCGAUGCCACCUUUUUCCAAACUUCAAGACGCAGACUCUCAACAUAUCUUCAAGAAUCUGAAUAAUCCGCUCUGAUUGUCCAUCGGUCUGUAGGUGAAAUAUUGUACUGAAAUGAAGCUGUGUACCUAAGGCAGUCGGUAGACUCCUCCAAAAAUGCGAGUUGAAUCUCGAGUCUCAAUCUGAUACAAUCAAAAUAGGUACUCCAUGAACCUAUUCCCUCUAAAUACAACUGAGACAAGUCAGAUCUAGACCACAAGUUGAAGCAGACUUGCAGAUGUCGGCUCAGACGCAUCAAAUCACUGAGCUCCAGAUAAUCCGACGACAAAAUCCGUCGUGAUCUGGUCUCACUCCCACUCUGGAAUCGGAAGGGUCUGAAGCUUGCCAGCAGGUACACGAUACUCGGACUUCACUUGUUGAUAAGUCAAACACUGAGAUACAUAUCUCCCAAUAUCCCUUCGAGGUAUUGGAGCGGGUUGGACUGGUGGCCUACAGGAUUGCUCUACCGUCGCGGUUAACUGGUAUCCAAGACGUUUUCAAUGUCUUGGCUUUGAGAAAAUAUGUUUUUGAUCCCUUGCACAUGAUUGACUUCAUCCCACUGGAGCUAAGUGAGACUUUGAGAUACGUGGAGAGACCGAUGCAAAUUCUUACUCGGGAGGUGAAAAAAUUGUGCAACCAGGUCGUUCCCUAUGUAAAAGUGGUGUGGAGUAAUCACGAGGAGCGUAAGGCGACUUAGGAAGCGGAGGCUAUGAUGUUGGAGACCUACCCCUACUUAUUUGAGAGGUCUUCUUGAGGUAUGGUUUAAGUUUCGAGAACGAAACUUUUUAUAAAGGAGGGAUGUACUGUUCCAAAUAUAUAUAUAUAUAUAUAUAUAGUUAACUAGAGCUAGAAUAUUAUCGAUAGCAAACCGGCACUUUUGCCACCCAUUUGUUUUUUAUGAUGGAGCUUCCAAAUCGACGAUCGGCAUCGUUGAACAUGAUCUAUACCACUUGAAGUGUUUAGAAAUCAAAUUUUAAAUCUUUUUUACAUCAUUUGCCUAAUGAUCAAAGGGUUUCAAAAUUUAUAGUUUUAAUGGUCGAUAUGAGGCGUUUUUUCGUUUAACGGCGUAAAGAUAUCCAAAUCAAUUAAAUUUUUGUUAGAAAAUUCUUAAAACUAUUUAAAAUAAGAUCUAUACUCUUGAUCUUGAUUACAAGACUCCUAGCAUCAUUUUUUAAAGAAUAUUCAAUUUCAGCCGUUCAUUUUUGUGUCCACUCGAUGGAUUAGAGAACAAUAUCGAAAAUGUAUGAAAUUUGAUUUCUAAAUACUUCAAAUAGUAUAGAUCAUGUUCAAUGGUGUCGAUCAUCAAUUUGGAGGCUCUAUCAUCGAAAACAAAUGGGUGGCAAAAGUGCCGGUUUGCUACCAAUAGUAUUCUAGCUCAACUAUAUAUAUAUAUAUAAUAAUAUUAAGAAUAUUAUUUCGGAUGAUACAGUCCGUGAAUUAAGGUGCACAUCGGAAAGUAUUGGGAUGAGUCAGAAUUGUUUUGAACGCGGAAUUGGUACCACAAAUAAUUUCAAAAUACUUUUGAUUUCAACUGGAAUACUAUUAUGUGUUAAGUUGGGGUUUAGGCUCAACUUACACCUCCAAUUCCUCCUAAUUGGGGAGUUUGGGGUGCAGUGCUAGCUGAGAUUAGUUCUCUCCCACUCUCAUUUCCUUCUCCCUCACAUUCUACUCCUUUCUUUACCCUUCUUCCUGUUCUACUCACCAUUUGAGCACUCUCACAGCAGCAACAACCUGGCAGCAUGAGGAGUUCGACUUCCCCUUCGAUUUUGGUGAUGUUUGGAAGCUUGGAAUUAUAGGAGAGAUGCACGCAUAGCUAGUUCUUGAAGUUAAGAGUUUGGGGAAUGCUUCAUUUCAUCAAAUCUCCGGGUAUUUUCGGAUUAUUAAAGUUUUGGUAAAAGCUGUCAGUUUUUUUAGCAAGCUGAGAUUUUGAUGGAUUUUCUUUGGAUUUUUCUCUUGAAUCUUGGUUUUCUUUUCGUUGGGGAGAAUCUUUACUUCAUCUAGAGCAAGUGGGAACUUUGUUUGAGCUGAAUCAAAGGUUGGUUUUUAGUGAAUUUCAGUUUUCAUUGAGUCCAUCAACCAAAAAUCAGCAUUUGGUGGUGUUUUUUAUCACUUUUGCAUGGUGAUUUCGUGGUAACUAUGGGGUUCUUUUGAUGGAUUAGGGGCUUGGGAACACAUUUGGGAGUGUUGUGGUCUUCCUCAUUGCCUUGCUUCCCUCGUGGACUUGCUGGAAUAGCCGCAAGAGCUGCCGGAACUCAGCUACAGUGCAGUGGUAGCAGCAGCCUAGUGCAGGGACAGCAAUGAUGUAUUUUCAAAAUUCCUUUCGAUUGGGACUUUGUUGCUACGAUUUGAAGAUUUCUGGGUGUUCCUAAGGUUGAGAGGAACCUAGUAUUUAAGUUUGAGCCGCUGAUUUGAGGUGAGCAUAGCUGAAUUUCAGUUUUUCGUACUGUAUCGCCGUUUUGUUGGAAUUUAGCUUGAUUUAUUAUUCGGCUCAAUCCGAUAGGAAUACUUACGAUUUUUUUUGCUUUGUUUGGUGAUUUUGGAUCUGAGACACGUGCCCGCUGAGUUUCAUCCUGAUCCGUAGUUGGAUUUGCACUCUAGGUGGGUCUGAACUAAUACAUCAAAAACCGCAAACUGCACUCUACAUCUAGUGUAAUUUCAGCAUGUUGUAGUUAAGACAUAUGUUGUUUUUUCUACUUAAUUCUAGAUAUGGUUGAUAUGAAUCUUGUACUGAGUUUAUCUUAUUUCUAUACUUCCUUGCAUAUGAUUGCUUAGUCAUUUGGUUAGGAUCCACCUUAUAUACACUACCUAUAUAAUGCAUAUGAACUUAGAAUAAGAAACUCCAUUCCUAUGUUUGAUUAGUUCAUUAAUACUCAUGAUGUUGAGUAUGGGUUAGAGGUAGUGUGGUUAUCAUUGAGUUGGGGCUGGACAUUAUCGAAUUAUUGACUCGUUGAUUUCACAGUAACCGUGGGAUUUUGGACGGUUGUACUGAGUUUUCAAUUAUGCAUCGGAUUAGGACGAGAUUAUUUAUUUAGUGGUUUUGUUGAUUCACCUUGGUCAUGAGCAUUGAUUUUAACCUGUGACAUACUUGACCUAGUUACUUUAUCCUUGAGUCGGUCGCUCUCCUCAAGUGCCACUCCGGAGUUAGAUGUUUGAGUACUUUUGGGUAUGUUCCACGUUAACGAUCCGCAGAUUGUUAGUGAGAUAAGAUGUGAUGCUAGUGCAGGCGGGACUGGGCUUUCGAGCCAAUCGAUUGAUUGGGUUAUUCUCGUCGGAUUAUUAUAGUUGAUGCAUAUCAUUCCAUUUAUACUUACUCAUUCCAUACUAGUGUAGAGGCAUAGUACGUAGUUUUCCUUUCAGCAGCUAUUAUAUAUUCUUUACCACUUUGCCCUUGUCGCCUCUGGUAGACCUAGUGGGUGGGUUGUACUUGUCGAUGACGUACUAUUGAGGACUACUGGUUUUUAGUAGUUCUCGCACCCUCUGUUAAUCCUUUUUUGCAGAGACCUCUACAGCGAUAGCGGCAACUGCGGACCGAGGUAAGAGGAUCGCUAGCUAGAUAGCUCUCCUUCCUAUUUUGUGGGUUAGUUUUGGACCCGAAUAUUAUUUUUGUUAGACUAUUGUACACAAGGAUUUAAGUGCUGUGGCAAAGGAUCUUGCCGAAAAUUUGCCGGCACAAUACGACACGGUGCUUGCCGAACCGUACCGAUGUGUCCCGGUCACAAAAAAAAUGUGUGCCAACACAUAAUGAUAUGAAAUAUUUAUUUUCUUUAACAAUAAAAUUUUCUAAUUGCUUAUUAUGUAUCUUUAACAAAUCUUUUAAACUUUAUUGAGAAAAUUACUUACUAAUUUAAAGAAAAAAGGGUUUUGAGCUGUGUCAUCGUCACGGAGGCUGUAUCGUGCCUGUAUCUUGUUGGCACGAUAUGGUAUGGUAGAUACAGUCCAUACCGAUGGACACUUAAAUCCUUGGUUGUACAUUUUGAAUCUGGCUUUUGCCAACUGGCUGUAUUUAUUUUUAUAUAUGGGAGAUGGAUCUUGUAUUCGAAUGAUAUUUUUAUACAGUUCAAUCUUUAGCUAGUUUAAUACUUCAGCUCUGUUUUGCUCUUCUGUAUUGCUUUAUUAUACUUUAAGCAGGUACUAGCGCUUCGUGGGCACGGGGCUUCCCGUGUACACGGCACCACGGCGGAUCUGUUGGCUAGCCCAAAUUUCGGAAUAACCCGGAGCGUGACAAAUUAAGUUGGCACCUAUUUUUAUAACAAAAUAUAUAUUUCUCUAUUUAUAUUUUCUCUAUUUAUAUUUUGAAUAUAGUAUUCAAAAUGAUUAAAAGUAAUUAAAAUACUAUAAGAAUAAAAUUGGUAUACUUUUUUAUUCCAUUUCUAAUGUCUAAAUCAACCAAACGGUUCAUUCCGACCCGAUUCAGGUGGCGAACCAAACAAACUGAUGUAAUAAGUCAUUCGUAUUCCGAUUCCAAUUCCGACUUCGAACCAAACACGACCUGUGUAUUUUUUUUCUUAUCCCUUUAAUUGGGCUGCAAAUGGAAUCGCCCUAUGUUCUUCUACAGUCGAAAAAUGAAAAGAAAAACAAUGGAAAAGAACUCCAAGAGCAAAAGCAGAAGAUAAAUAGAUUACAGAGACACACACAGUAAAUGAGCUAAGUUGACAUUCUCAAUACCUCAUUAAAAGCAUCUUGAUUCCAAAACCAUUCAUCCUGCUCAAUCUCUUCAUCCAGCAACUUAGUCAUUCUACCAAUGCCACAAAAUUAAAGACUCAUCAAAUUAAACCACAAAUAAGCAAAUUGUACUAGCUCAGAUUACUACAUCCAAACAAACAUCACCCGAAAAUGAUGAUUAAAUCACAAAAAACACAAAACAUGAAACACAACUAUGCUUCUAUGUUGAAACCUAUAUCGGAACAAAUCGAACCACAUAGAAAAGAUCAGAGACCUGUUGGGGGGGGAGAGAGAGGUACCUCUUGCCUCUGGUGGCUCGAGCGGAGCGCUCGAGGAGAAGGAGAGGAUCCUCGUCGGGAUCCGCCAUGGAUGAGAGCUUCGUUGGAGCUCGGCGAUGGUGAGGGAGGAGGAGGAGAAGAGGGGAGAGGCGAAGUGUUCGCUUUUGCCCUCGUCGACCAGAAGGAAAAACCUUUGGUUAGGUUACUGGUGAGUUUAAUCACUUAUUAAUAAAUCGGCGGGCAUGAGAACUCGGCGCUUUUAUUUCGCAUUGCCGAAUUAUGCACUAAACUCGGUGUUUAAACAUCCCUGUUGCCGACUUACGAGUAAUCGCUGUGAACUGGGUAAAAAUUAGUGGGUGUUUGGCCUAGCUAGGGGUGGAAACGAGCCGAGCUUGAGCGAGCUUAUCUCAGCUCAAGCUUGGCUUGAAAUUAAUUUCGAGCCUAAAUUUAGGCUCAAGCUCGGCUUGAAAUUAAUUCGAGCCGAGCUCGAACGAGCCUAAUUUCGAGUCGAGCGAGCUCGAGCCCUAAACGAGCUGUUUGAAAUUCUUAACACCGUGCAAUCUAUAGUUUAAUUUUUAUAAAAUAUUAUCUAAAAUUCGAUACAAAAAUAUCUAAUAGCUCAACAUACAAAAUGAAUGCAUGAAAUACAAUAUUAUAAGAUUAAAAAAAAUAGGAAAAGCGAUUCUAUGAGGAGUGAAAAAGAGAGAGAGAGAAAUUGCUGGUUUGAUUUUGUGGGCCCAAUAAUCUAAAUUCUAUAUACAUAUAAUUAAAAUACAUAAUAUAUAUUAUUUUAUUAUAUUAUUGGGUAUUGUAUAUAUUAUAUAGCGGAGAUUGCUACUUCUGCUUUGUAGGACCUUUAUACUCAUAAGUUUUCGAUCGUUAGAUCUAUGCUUUUUACUAUUUCCAUCCGUAAAUCAUACUGUUCAACCAAUCAUCCACCCAAUCCUAAGGGACCACUAUCAUCCUAAUUGCACAUUCAACGGCCAAAAAUUUAUAAGUAUAAAAAAGUCUAUACUCAAAAGAGUAUAGUAGCCCUAGCUUAUAUAUAUAUAGAAUUAAGUACUAUACUAUUAAUAGUACCAACCGCUUGUUAUUAAGUUUUCGGCCCUUAGAUGAAAGGAUGUGUGGUCAGGAUAAUUGUAGCCCCUUAGGGUUGAGGAGGUGGGUAGUUGAAUAGUAUGAUCUAAUGGAUGAAAAUGGCUUAAGGGGUAGAUCUAACGGUAGAAAACUCGAUAGCACCAAACGCUUGGUACUAUUGAUAGUAUAGUAAUCGGACUCUACAUAUAUAGAUAGAUCUAACGGCAGAUAACUCGAUAGCACAAAACGAUUGGUACUAUAAAUUGUAUAAUAGUCGGACUAUAUACAUAUAGAGAGAGAGUCCGGCUAUUAUAUUAUCGAUAGUACCAAAUGCUUAGUACUGUCGAAUUUUGUACCGUUAGAUCUACCCCUUUGACCAUUUUCACCCGAUAGAUCAUAUUAUUCAACUAAUCACCCACUCAACUCUAGGAAAUCACUAUCAUCAUAACUGCAUAUCCCUUCAUCCAAAGGCUAAAAACCUAAUAGCAAGUGAUUAGUACUAUUAAUAGUAUAGUAGACUAAUUCUAUAUAAAUAUACAUAUAUAUAUUUCGAGCUUUUAAAGCCUAAUUCGACCGAGUCCGGUAAUACUCAAGCUUGACUUGAAAUUAAUUUCGAGCCUAAAUUUAGGCUCAAGCUCGACUUGAAAUUAAUUCGAGUCGAGCUCGAGCAAGCCGAAUAUCGAGCCGAACGCGAGUCGAACACGAGCCGGCUCGCUCAUUUGCCAGCCCUAGGCUCAUUUGCCAGCCCUAGGCCUAGCAUUUGAAAAGUGAUUUUGGGUUCAAAAGUAAAUUUUUGAUUCAAUAGAAUGUUUGGCAAUCACCUAUUUAAAAUCUGAUUUUAAUUUUUAGAUUGAAUGUUCUAAUUUUUUAGGCUCAAAAUCAGAAAUAGCAAAAACCUGCUUCUUGAAAUCUGAUUAUGCUUUUAGACUCAAAUUUUAAAUUUUAUUUUUAUUUUAGAUUCUAAUUUUAAAUUUAAAUUCAAAUUUAAAUUUUAAAUUUUAAAUUUUAAAUUUUAAAUUUUAAAUUUUAAAUUUUAAAUUUUAAAUUUUAAAUUUAAAAAUUUUAAACUUUCAAUUUAAUAUAAAAUUUACUAUUAAAUUUAAAUUUUAAAAUUUUAGAAUUUAAAAUGUAAAUUAUAGAUUUUAUUUUUCAAAUUACAAAUUUAAAUUUUAAAUUUAAAUUUUAAAUUAAAUUUUAAGUUUUAAAUUUUAAAUAUUAAAAUUUUAAUUAUAAAUUUUGAAAUUCAAAUUUAUUUUUUGAAUUUGAAAUUGAAAAUUUAAAUUUUCAUUUUUUAAAUUUAAAAUUUUUAAUUUUUAAAUUUUCAAAUUUACACAAAAAUUUUGCUUUAAAUUUUUGUGCAAAUUUAAUAUUUAAAACUUUAAUUCAAAUUUAAAUUUUUAACUAAAAUUUAAAUUUUAAAUUAUUUUAAAAUAAAAUUUAGUAAAAAAUUUAUUUUAUGAAACAUUUAAAAAAUUUUACCAAAUAGUUUUACAAAUUCACUUCAGAAAAAUACUUUCUAUAUAUUUAAAUUUAGUCAAACACACUGCAGCUUUUAAUCAAAAUCUUCAAACCAAAACCUAUUCUGCAAAAAGCAUUUUUCUAGAAUUUAGGCCAAACGAGUAAUUUCUUCAUGAGGUAGUCCUUUUCUUCACUAUAAACAUCUACUUAAAUACACAUGCAGUUAAUUGAUUUCUUCGGCUGGGUUAAGACUAAUUAUAGGUAGUUAAUCUGUGUAAUAUUAAAAUUUGGUCUCUAAACUUUUUUACUUAAACACUUAAAUUAUGAACUGUCAUAUAUAUUGCAAUUUAGUUUGAGUCUUACAGAAAAAAAAAAAGAGCUAUUUUUAAUGAAACGACCUUCUAUCACUAUUUGUAAGCUAAUAAUUAAACUGAGUUAUACGAAUAAUUUUUUUAAUAUAUAAGCCACUUUAUAGGUGAGAUUAAAGUUGUCAUUUUCUAAGAAAGAUUAGAUUAGUUUUUAAAGGUCAAGGAGUGAAUUGCAAUAAUAUACGCAGAAGUUUGGGGAUUAAAAUAUUUAUUUGAAAUGUAUAUAGCGACAAGUUGCAAUAUAGGAAUAGCAGCGAAUAUUUAAUUUCUAUCGAAGAGUAUUAUUAUUGGAGCCACCAACUUUCUUACACGUGCUGAAAUUAUACUGAAUAAGAGAAAACAAUUUUAAGGCCCUCCACAACAACCCCAAAUCCUUUCCUUGAAUUGAUUAGCUCUCACUAGAGAACACUGAUCUUCGUACACAUUUAGGACUAAUUCAACCUUCAUUACACAGUCGGCCGCCGCAUAUUUUAUUAUUUUUCGUACUCUGAUAAGGUCACCGUACUGAUAUUUAAUUACUUUUUUAGUUACACAACGACCACAUCAAAACAAGGACCGAUUAAUUCUUACUAAAGCUUUUCAAACUAGGCUUCUUUUUGUAGGAAAAAUUAAGUAUGACCUUUUCAAGGCUCUAUCAUAUGAUGAUCUUUUCGAAGCCUUAUCAUAAAACCAAGUCCCCACAUCCUCUUCUUCUAUAUGUACUCAUAACACCCCAGCCACUUUUCCAUCAUCAAAAACUAGCUACAACAUUCAAGUUUCAUUAGUUUCUUCUGCAGUGACCUACAAGCUUCAGGAAACAUAAAAUGGCAGCUAAAAUCCUCCUCUUUGCUCUUCUUUUAGUCGCCUCUCCUUCUGCAUUCGCUUCCGAUCCUAGUCCUCUCCAAGACUUUUGUGUCGCCGAUGAGAUGUCUCAUGGUAAGCAAUUUAAUACAUUGCUCUUCUCUGUCAUUUGAGUUACUAGGGUUAAGUAGUUGCAAUUGGGUCCCUAGCUACGUACAAAGCUAGUUGUACAUAUGUAGUAGUAUCACUAAUUAACUAUGUGUUUAUGUUCCUGCAGUGUUUGUUAAUGGGUUCGUGUGCAAAGAUCCAAAACUAGCGAAACCUGAGGAUUUCCUCUUCUCCGGCCUAGACAAGCCCGGAAACACAUCCAACAAGUUCGGAUCGAAAGUGACCUUAAUCGAUGCAAGUAAGAUCCCCGGUCUCAACACCCUAGGUGUCUCGAUGGCUCGUCUUGAUGUUGCACCUCAUGGUCUCAACCCACCACACAUUCACCCACGUGCGACCGAGAUCUUGACUGUGAUAGAAGGCUCCCUUUAUGUUGGAUUCGUGACGUCGAACCCUGAGAACAAGCUCUUCUCUAAGGUCCUUAACAAGGGCGAUGUGUUCGUGUUUCCCGCGGGUUUGAUUCACUUUGAAUUUAACUUUGGUCCGACCAGGGCAGUCGGCCUUGCUUCCCUGGGUAGCCAGAAUCCGGGUCUCAAUAGGAUUGGCGAAUCGGUCUUCGGAUCAAACCCUUCCAUUUCUGAUGAUAUUCUUGCUAAAGCCUUUCAGGUGGACAAGAAAACCAUAGAUUGGAUUCAGGCUCAGUUCACGUCGACCAAUCAAAACUAAGAUAUAUACUAGAUGUAAUUUACUUUUGAUGUUUUGUUUUUCCAAUUAUCGCAUGUAAUCUGCUUUUGUUAUUCAUGUCUGUGGAUUUAUUCAUUUGAUUGUAUCAAUUGGAUUGAAUAAGCAAACAAUAUGGUACUGUUUGCAUGUGAGUUAGCAAUAACAAAACUACAAAUUUAUUUAUUAAUGACUGGCACUAGUUCCACGAUUAAUUACCCGUGGCCUCCGCUUCUCUCUCGAAAAAAAAAAAAAAAGAAGAAGAGGGCAACUUUAUUUCCCUUUUAUUUAAAAAAGUUUGCAUUUAGCUUGACAUACGAGGGCAAAUUUUAGAUAUAAUUUUGCUUGACAUAUGAGGGCAAAGUUUAGUUAUAACUUUUCAAAGUAGGUUUAUAUCAUACGUUUAGAGUGUCGGAUCGUUGGCGCUAAUCAUUAAUCCUAAAUGUUCAAAUUGUUAGAAAUAUAUAAUUAAUUCACUUAAAACAUAUAGACACAGCGCCAUGAGUCUCGAUUAUGACUCAACCAUGGCCAACUAAUCUCACGCCACUUUGAACAUGACUUGUCAUUGCGCCAUUUCAAACAUGACUCGGUCCAACCUGGUUUCCUGCCACAGGGCAGGAUGCUGACUUCUGUAAGCUAACAAUUUUUCCCUCCAGUACCUGCACAAAUUCACAACAUGCAGGAAUCGAACUCGUUCCCUCUGAAUCAGAUACCUCUUGUCGGAUCGUUAGAGCUAAGUAUUAAUCCCAAAAGCUCAACCUAUUAAAAAUAGGCAACCAAUUUACUUAAAAGCCAUAGUUAGUUAAUUCGAAUUCGACAAAAAUUCGGUACGGGUAUAAUAUGCAUAAAAUUCGUUUUCUAAGUUUUAAAUUCGUUGAAAAAUUCAGCUUAAAAAAAGGAUUUGGUAUAAAAUAUAAAAUAUAAGAUAUAAAAUAUGAGAUAAUCUAUAUUUAAACAUAAAAUUAUAAGAUUUUUAUUCAGAUUUUCAAUAAUUCGGGAAUAAUUCGCGAAUUAUUCAUGAAUUACAAACACAGGAUCCACGGGUCUCGAUUGUGACUCAGCCCAACCAACUUCACGCCACUUUGAACAUGACUCAUCCAACCCAGCCUCUCGCCAUUUCAAACAUGAUUUGGCCCAACCUGAUCUCUAGACACAUGGCAGGAUGCUAGCCCAUUUAAACCAACACGGAGUCUCUUGCCUUAACGCCGAGCUACUCAAAUUUAAUUAGUCUUCGAUUAGUGUAAUAAAUUUGUUAGAAAUAAUUUUUAUUAGAUAUGCCUCGAAAUUUGGUAAUCGAGUUCGAUUUUGUACCUCUAAUUUGCCGACAGCUUCACGGUGCGACAAAUUUUAAAAGGUAAUUUAUGAAGUAAAAAAUGGAUUUUGUGGUGAGUAUGGGCUCAAGACCAUUCUGAAGAAACCCCUAACGGAACUGCUGUCAGCCGAAUUCCGUAUUCCCUGACCCGGUCAAGGAUUUCCCUAGAAUAGGGAUGCGAAACGGCUACACGUGGUGACCCUCGAAGUUUGCGCCAUUCGACAGAUCAAGCGAUUCGGCUGAUGAGGGAUCCGAUCAGCCGAGUUUGUACCCUCUAUUAUAGAAUCGGUUCGGCUGAAUGAGCCGAAUGUACGGAUUGCACAGUAUUUUCAAGUCGGCUGAAGUGCCGAAUGCUUUUAUAUAUAUUAACUUGAAGUUCGAAACAAGUACAAAAGGUGAUGCCGGUACGGUGUACAGAAAAUCUAACUUAAAACUACUCUUAAGAAAAAACAGUAAAUGUAGGGAAGCCAUAAAAGAUUACAAGUAAACUAUUCCUUGAAAGCGAGGAAAAAAAUGCGUAGAAUUGAAAGUGGUCUUCUGUUCGUAGGGAAAAGACCCCUCUUCCAAGUGUCUUCUGUUUAUUUAUACUCUGCCCGUAGUUAUUCAAUUAUCUACAUUAUUGGUCACUUCUCCCUAAUUUCGUGGGCCACUACGAGCCGAUCUCAACCACAUGAAACCGUCUGCGGUUUGCUGCAACUUGCCUUUUGUUCUCGGUGCACCAAAUGUCGUUUAUCUCCAGUUUUAAAGUCCCUGGCUGUGUUGUGCACUUAUUCACCACGUGGCACUAUUUUACUGUCACCAACAUGAACUUUCUUUCUUUUUUUUCCUACAGGCGAUACAUUAUAUUGUACUUCCACAAUAUUUGUACUCCCGUUUUUAUAGUAAAGUUCUCUCCUUCUUCAUCCAUGAUUUUUUUCGUGCAAAAGAUUUUUCACGUAAAUCUUUCUGUUUUAUUUUAUUUUACUAUUUUGUGGUUUGUCAUUCUCCAUUAACAUAUAUAUCGCUCAUCAAAUGUUUCGAUUGCCAUUUUUCGUUUUUGUUUGUGCGCUCAUCAAACAAUUUUAUUCAUAUGUUAUGAGAAUUUGGAUUUGGUAUUUUGUGCAUGCCUGCAAGAGUAUUUGAACUUUUUCUAGCUAUCCAAUAUUGAUUUUAGUUAUUGAACUUAUGACCUAUGUGCAGUUUGAAAUUAAACUAUAAAUUCAAAAAUUUUCAUCACUUAUUAUUAAGCCAAAAACUAAAAAAAAGAAACAACUUAGCCAAUUCAUAAUUAUGUAAUUUCAUAUAUAUCCAUAUAUAUCGUUGAAGUUGUUUUGACUAAUUUAAGGGGUUGUUUGGUUGCAUGCAUUUCCAACUGUACUAAGUUGGAAAUGCAUGCAUCUAUUAAAUUUGUGUUUCGUUUGGUAUAGUUAGACCAAACUGCUGUAGUUGUAUAUGCACGAGAAGGCCCAAUUGUUGCAAUUGGUAUUGCAGCUAAUUGCUGUAGUACCAAUUGCAGCAAUUGGGCCGGAGUCUGCUCACCCAUUAAAAAAAUAAAUAAAGUGUUUUUUUUUUCACACGCUUCUUUUUUAACUUUUUUUUUUUCAAGAAUACCUAUUCAUAAAAUCUGCUAGGAUUUUAAUAAUGUCUGUUAGGGUUCAAUAAAAUUUUUUAUACGCUUUUUUUUAAACUUUUUUUUUCCAAGAAUAUCUAUUCAUGAAAUCUGUUAGGUUUAAUAAUGUCUGUUAGGGUUCAAUAAUUUUUUUUUCACACGCUUCAUUUUUUGCCAGUUUGCUAAUUCAAUAAUGCCUUAAUUUUUGUUUUGACCAAAUUUAUAGUACGUUUGCAUUUAAAAUUCAUUACAUUCAGGCUAAAUUACAGAAAACCUCCAUGUCAAAAUUCGAUUUUUCACUUUUCCUCCCUGUCAUUUAAAAACUUAUACUUUGCACCCUUGUAAAAUGAAAAAUGUGCACUUCACCCCCUACCGUUAGUAAUCUGUUAGAGUUCCGUUAUAAAAUAUUUUUUUAUGCCAAAAAUACCCCUCCGCCCUCUUCCCUGUUGCUUCGCCUUCCUUCGCCUCGCCGCCGCCUUGCCACCUCGCCACCUCGCCCUCCUCUAUUGCCUCGCCCUCGCCCACAUCUCCGCCCGCGCCCAUAAACACCCCUUCGCCCUUCUCCGUCCCGUCGCCUUCACCCUCUUGUCCUUGCCCACCUCUCCAUCCAUGCCCACCUCGAUCUCCUCCCUACUGUCGCCGAAAUCGAUGGGCGGUGAGGGUGCAGAAGGAGAAGGGGAGCAGGUGGAGAAGAAAAUGGAGAGAAACCGCGGCCGAUCGAGGCGUGAAUCGCAGCCGAUCGAGGCUGUGGUUGAGGAAGAUGAGGGAGGAGACGAAAAUGGUAAGGGGCAAAAUGGUCAUUUUAUCAUCACAGUACACGCCGUACCCCCCCUGUGAACAUUUUUCAUUUUACAAGGGGGCAAAGUGUAGGUUUUUAAAUGACAGGUGGGGAAAGUGAAAAAUCAGAUUUUGAUAGGGGAGUUUUAUAUAAUUUAGCCUUAAAUUUAUACAUAAUUUUGUAAUAUAGAAAUAAUAUAUAGAUAUAAAGUCUUAAUAAAUAACUAAAAGAUCUCAUGAUUAUGCUAUGUAUGUUUACAAGAGGUAAUCUUACAUUUUUAUCUAAAAAUUGAUAGGAUUUACAAAUACAAAUCUCAACUGCAGCCUACCAAACAGAAGAAAUGUAAUCGCAGCAGUUGCAACUGCAUAAAAUCAAACAGACUAGAUAUAGUUAUGGCUGCAGCAUUUACAGCUGCAGGUACUUCCAACUACACUGUCUUUAUAACUAUAUUCAACCAAACGGCCCUUAAUUGUUGUAAUAACAAAAUUGAAAAAUGAUAGUGAUUAUAUUAAGUGUAUCUAGCAAAUUAAUUAACGGAGAUUAUUAAUUAUAGAGUGGGUGACCACAUGACAAUGUGGUAUAUACAUCUCCUUGAUUAAAAACUAUGCUAAUUAAUUCUUAAAUAUAUAUUUGUUAAACUUAUCAAAAUAUCCCGAGGAUUGUAUCAUUUUUUUCCUUUUUUUUUUGUGUGCAUGAGCAUGCAUUAAUGAAUCAAAAAAUUUGACAAGAAAAGGAUGUUAUAUAUACUGAACUCUUAAUUUCAAAAGAAAAUGCUACUAAACAAUGUUGGAAGCGUGAUUAGCUCUGAUACAAUUGUUGGAAUCGGUACUUGUUCUGAUACCAAUUAUAUAAGAUGACGACGAAGUUCGAAUUCAGAAAUUUGACAAGACCAACAAUUUUGCAUUAUGGCAAGUCAAGAUGCGUGCUAUAUUGACACAGCAAGGAUUACAGAAAGUACUGUUGGGAAAAGAAAAAUGUCCGAUUCGUUGAUACCGGAGCAGAAAGAGGAGAUUGAUGACAAAGCUCUCACGGCAAUACAAUUAUAUAUAUCCGAUCAGGUAUUGCGCGAGGUCUUAGAUGAAAAGACUGCUGCAGGGCUUUGGCUUAAAUUGGAGUCUCUCGACAUAACAAAGGCUCUCACUAACAAAUUAUAUUUAAAGCAACGUCUCUUCAAGUUGCGUAUGGCGGAAGGUACCUCUAUUAAGUUGCAUUUAGAUAAAUUUAAUUCUAUUAUUAGGAUCUCCACUCGAUAGAUGUUAAAUCGUCAAGAAGAUGAAGCCUUUUUAUUAUUAUAUUCUCUACUGCCCUCUUAUAAGAAUUUUCGUGAGAUCUUCUUGUUCGGACGAGAUACUCUAUGUCUCAAUGAUAUUAAAUCCUCUUUACUUUCAAAAGAGAGAAUUGACAUGCAGAUAAGCAACGAGACAGGUGGAGCUUCAAGACAAGGUUUGGUCGCUAGAAGGAGGUCUCGGAAGAAGGGUUUCGAUAAUAGAGGUACAUGUAGAUCAAAGUCAAAGCACAAGAAUCUGAUUUAUGGUUAUUGUAAGAAGAAGGGUCACAUAAAAGCUAAUUGUUUCAAGUUGAAAAAUAAAGAACAACGGAAGAAUAACGGUGAUAAAAAUUAAGGUCAGAAAAAUACCAAUACUGAAACAGUAGCAAGUAUUGGAGCAGGAGAAUCAGAUAAAAAUGAUAUCGUCUUCACAGCUACGGAAAAGACACGUAGACAGGAUGAAUGGCUUAUGGACUCCGCACAUGUUCCUUCUAUAUCUGUACGCAUAUAGAAUGGUUCUCGGCGUACAAGCCUAUUCAAGGUAGAGAUGUAUUGAUGGGAAAUCACUUUAAGUGUACAAUUAUUAGAAUUGGCACUGUUCGGGUACGGAUGUUUGACGGAGUAGUGAGGGCUAUAUCUGAGGUUCAGCAUGUUCCGGAUAUGAGAAAAAAUCUGAUCUCAUUGGGUAUACUUGAUACUAAAGGCUUUAAGUGUUCAGCUGAUGGAUUGAUGAAGGUCGCUAAAGGGAAUCUGAGUGAUGAAGGCAGUCCGACAUUAUAUGUUCUACAGGGUUCCACUGUGACAGUUUCAGCAGCGGUGACUUCUUCCUCUAUUUCAGAUUCAAAUAGCACCGAAUUAUGGCAUAUGCAACCGGACCAUAUGAGUGAAUAUGGUAUGAUGAAGUUGGGCGAGAGAGGUUUACUUGGUAGUCAGAGUUUAGAAAAGUUGGACUUCCGCGAGCAUUGUGUUCUUGGCAAACAAAAAAGAGUCAGCUUUAAGGCCGCAGUUCACCGGACAAAAGGUACACUGGACUAUAUUCAUUCUGAUCUUUGGGGACCCUCUCGUACUCCUACUCAUGGUGGUGCUAGAUAUAUGUGACUUUUAUUGACGACUAUUCUUGUAAAGUGUGAGCAUUUUUUCUGAAAAGUAAGAAUGAGGUGUUCAAUUAUUUCAAGCAGUGGAAGGUCAUGAUUGAAAAGCAAACUGAAAAGAAGAUUAAGAAAUUAAGGACCGACAAUAGUUCGGAAUUUUGUUCGUCAGAGUUUGAAGAAUUUUGCAAGAAUGAAUGAAUCGUCAGACAUAAAACCAUUAGGCAUACUCCACAGCAGAACGGGGUGGCCGAACGGAUGAACAAAACUCUUUUGGAGAAAGCUCGUUGUAUACUCUCUAAUGCUGGCUUAGCUAAGAGUUUCUGGGCAGAGGCGAUCUCUAUGGCAUGCUAUUUGGUAAAUCGAUCUCCACAUUCAGUACUUGAUUGCAAAACUCAGGAGGAGGUUUGGUCUGGCAGCCCUUCUGAUUAUUAUAAUUUGCAAAUAUUUGGUUGUCCUACUUAUGCUCAUGUCAAUGAAGGCAAGUUAGAACCUAGGGCUAAAAAGUGCAUUGUUAUUGGUUAUGCAUUGGGGGUUAAAGGAUAUAGAUUGUGGUGUCCUGAAUCGUCUAAAUUAAUUAUUAGUAGGGAUGUCACAUUUGAUGAAUCUGGUAUGUUAUAUCCUAACCGAAUUCUUCUAAUGAGACCCCGAGUGCUAGCAAGCAGGUAGAGGUAGAGACCAAUGGUAUAGUUCAGUCGCAGGAUUUUUCUCAGUCAGAAUAAGUUCAGUCGGCAGACACCUUAGUAACUGAAACUCCAUAAGUUGAGAGGCAGAGUAUUGCUUUAUGCAGAGCGAGGAGAUAGAUCAAACCACCGCAGAGAUACGGUUAUGAAGUUGGUUGCUUACGCUCUUUCAGUGGCACAAGAUACAGAAGAAGAAGGCGGACCUUCCACAUAUAAUUAAACUAUUUCUAGUGCCAGUUCUGCAGAGGGUUGCUGGCGAUGAAUGAGGAGAUGGAGUCUCUCCAUAUGAAUCGCACAUGAGAUUUGGUAAAGCUGCCUACAGGCAAGAAAAUUGUUGGCUGCAAGUGGGUCUUCAAGAAAAUGGACGAAAUCCCCGGCGUGGAAGAUACAAGGUAUAAAGCUCGUUUAGUUGCUAAGGGCUACAGUCAGGUAGAAGGUGUUGACUUUAAUCAUAUUUUCUCACCCGUCGUGAAGCAUACUUCUAUUCGUGUUCUUUUAUCGUUAGUAGCCAUGAAUGAUCUGUAUCUUGAGUAGCUUGAUGUUAAGACAACUUUUCUACAUGGAGAAUUUGAGGAGCAAAUUUAUAUAAAACAGCCGGAGGGAUUCAUUGUUGAAGGAAAGGACGACCAUGUUUGUCUGUUAAAGAAAUCGUUUUAUGGCUUAAAGCAGUCUCCUCGACAAUGGUAUAAGCGGUUCGACUCUUUCAUGACAGGUCGCAGAUAUUCCAGAAGCAAGUAUGACAGUUGCGUAUACUUCAGAAAGCUUAAUGAGGAAUCUUUCAUAUCUUUGUUGCUCUAUGUUGAUGAUAUUUUAAUUGCUUCCAAUGACAUAGUUGAGAUAAAUAAAUUGAAGACUUUACUUAAGAGUGAGUUUGAGAUGAAAGAUCUAGGUGCUGCUAAGAAAUUCUUAGUAUGAAAAUUAAGAGGGACAACAAAUUAGGAUUACUACAUUUGACACAAAAGAAAUAUAUAGAGAAGAUUUUUAAAGCAUUUCAGGAUGACAGACGCAAAAUCGGUGGGCACUCCUUUUGCAGCACAUUUCAGACUUUCCGCCGAGUUAUCACCACAGUCCGAUGAUGAGCAGGAGUACAUGUCACAUGUUCCUUAUUCUAGUGCUGUCAGGAGCAUCAUAUAUGCCAUGGUUUGCACACGGCUGGACAUCUCUUACGCAGUGAGCAUGGUUAAUAGAUAUAUGACCAAUCCUGAUAACGCUCAUUGGUAGGCUGUUAAGUGGAUUCUGAGAUACUUACGAGAUACCAUUAGCACUUGCUUGGAGUUUGGAAGGUGUAAAGAUGGUGUGGUUGGAUAUGUUGAUUCAAAUUUUGUAGGUGAUUUAGAUAGGAGGAGAUCAUUUUCAGGUUAUGUAUUCUCUAUUGGUGGAUGUGUAGUUAGUUGGAAAACUUCAUUGCAACCUAUUGUUGCCUUGUCUACAACGGAGGCGGAAUAUAUUGCGAUGACAGAGGGUGUGAAGGAAGUUAUGUAGCUAAGAGGCUUAUUUGGAGAAUUUACUUCUUGUUGGGAUCCGACGAUUGUUUAUUCAAACAGUCAAAGUGCUAUUCAUUUGUCUAAAGACCAGGUGUUUUAUGAGAAGACAAAACACAUCGAUGUAAAGUUUCACUUUGUUCGGGAUGUGAUUGGGAGACGCACGGUGACUGUUAAGAAAAUUGGUACUGAGGACAAUCCAACGGAUAUGCUUACUAAGUCUUUUAUUAUUGCCAAGUUCAAUCAUUGUUUGAACUUGGUGGCAGGUGGCAGCACUUGAGGCCCUAUGGGGCGUUUGGAGAUGACGAAGCACGGAGCGUUAAGGAACAUUGAGGCGAAUUAAAUUAAAGGUGGUGUUUUGUGGUGAUCUCGAUAUAGCGGUUAAAUUACAAAUUAAACAAAGGUGAAGAUUGUUAAAUUUGGUUUAGAUUUGUAGUUAUCUAAAUUGAGGUUAAAUCCUAAUCUAAUUGAGAUUAGAUAUAAUUUAGAUUUAAUCUGGCAUAUAUGAAUUAUGAGCCGGAAUGUAAUUCAAAUUGAAUUAGAUUAGACUUGCGUUUAGAAAUCCAUUUAGAUUGGAGUACCAAUUAGGCUCUAAUUUGAAGCCACAUCUUUUAUAUAUAUAUAUAUAUAUAUAUGCCGGCUAAGUUAAUGAAGCCGCUGCGCCCAAAUUAGGAAGCCAUGCACUAAUUAAGUCUAGCUUGCUGCGUGGUUCGUACGGCUAAAAGGAGGGAGGCCGAAGCUCUAAUUAAACGUUGCAUAUUAGAGAGAGCCAAGCCGCCGCAAUCCUAAUUAGACCCAUGCCAAUUCCGUACGGCCUUGGGUCUUGAGAGGAGCCCUGUGCGCUAAGUAGCCCUAUGCGCUAAUUAAGGCCAAUUUGUGGUCCAUACAUAUUGGAGAGAGAAGUCAUUUUGGAGUUGCUCGUAGGAGGGUUGCGGCAUUUUCGAUCUAAUUAAACUUUGGUAUUUUGAGAAAUCUUCUUUGUACUCCGUCUUUCGACAUUAAUAAAAUAUUUUCUCUGUCUUCGCCCGUAGACGUAGGCCGUUGGCCCAUUGGCCAAACCACAUAAAAUAUCGAUGUGCUCUUUCUUCUUUUUUUUUUCUUUUCCUGCAUUAAGUUAUUUUCUGGAUCUAUUUUUCGCUAUUAUAAUUUUAACACAUAUAAUCUAUGAGAAUAUAAUAUAAAUAAUAGACUAAUGAUUCUCGAUCAAUCAACAAAAAAAAUCUAUAUAUAUUUGCAGGCCAUAGUAUAUAUAGUUAGUCAAGGGAGCUAAUGAAGGAUACGAGUGUAACAUGCAUGCAAUAAUAGAAUAACGUUGAUAGUACAAUAUAAAUAUAUAUUAGAAGCCACAUGUAUCAUGCGAAUCAAAAACACAUAAAUUUAUUAUUGAAAUACAUAUAGACGAAUACGAAGUGUUUGCUUAUUCAAAACAAGUACAGACUACCAAUUAAUUAACUAUUAAGAUUAUGUAUAAAAUAAUGAGUGUCCUUCAAGCUAGCUAGUAUUUGUUGUUAAUUGCUCUUUAUCACUUAGAACUGAGUUUGGAGCCAAUCUACAAUCUUCUUAUCCAAUUGAAAUGCCUUGGCAAGAAUAUCAUCGGAGAUGGGAGGGUUCGACUUGAAGACUGCGUUAGCUAUAGUGAUCAGGCCAGGGUUCUGACUGCUGAGACCUGAAAUGCCAAAGCCACUUGUCUUUCCGAUAUUGAAUUGAAAGUGAAUAAGCCCUUCGGGGAACACGAACACAUCGCCCUUGUUCAAAACUUUAGAGAAGAGUUUGUUAUCGGGGUUAGAUGUAACAAAACCGACAUAGAAUGUGCCUUCCACUACCGUGAAGACCUCAGUCGCUCGCGGGUGAGUGUGAGGUGGGUUGAGACCAUAGGGUGCAAAGUCCAAUCGUGCUAAGGAAAUGCCGAGCGUGUUGAGUCCGGGAAGUGCCAUUGCGUUAACUAGAUUCGCAUUGAACCCGAGUUUAUUCAUUGUGUUACCAGGCUGGUCGAGCCCCUCGAAGAAGAAAUCUUCGGGCGUGGUAAAGUUCGGAUUCUUGCAAACAAGUCCAUUCACAAACACUGCAAGAACAAAAACAUAAUCCAACACAAAUUCACUAAAUAAUCAUGUUAAAAUGUUCUAGAGAAGAAAAAAUAUAAUAAAAUAAGAAGAGGGCGAGGACACAUGCACACCUGGAGAGUUCUUAUCGGCAACGCAAAAGUCUUGGAGAGGACUUGGAUCGGAGGCAAUGGCUUGAGAAAACACAAGGGCAAAGAGAGCAAGGAGGAGAAAGCGAGAAGCCAUUUCUAUAAUAUAUCUCUUCUUAAUUAGCUAGUAGGCACGUAGAAGAUGCAAAUGAUUGAAUGUGCUGUGGUGCUAAUGGGUUAGACGAGAUGGGUAUAUAUAGAGGAUAAGGCUACGAAAGAGUCGUUGUACGUAGCUACAUUGUUAGAGGAAUAGUUCGUAUUACAACGUUAAUUAGGUAUAGUAAUUAAUUGAACAUGUCAAUGCCAAGUAAGAUUUUCUCUUUUGUACACGUUUCUUUGGCUAAUUAUUUCUUAUUAAUUUCUUAGUUAAUUAAGAUAUAUAGUUUUUCCUUCACCGUCUCUCUCUCGCUCUCUCUCUCUUUAGACACCGAAUAAAUUUAAGAUAGUUGAAGAAUUAAAGUUAAAAAGACUACUAAUGCAUGACUCGUCCUAGGUAUGCGAAUUGCAAUUUUCUUUUUUUGUAUGAAAACUUCAAAGGCUACUUUUCUUUCCAAACAAGACUUGAUUAAUUUAACAGCUUAUCUCUAGAAGCUAUGUAUAAACACAAUCUUACAUUGAUUUCUAGUUAAUUAAUUUUGUGAUAAAUUUAGAAACUUUUUUUUCCUAGUUCUAAUCAACUGAGUCAAAAAAAGGGACACCGGGUUCAUAUUAAAAAACUCAUCUUAUAAACUAGGUAGUUUAUAAUUAAUUUAUUCAACUGCUCCCUUGAACAGGUGCUCCGAAAUUAGAUUGCUUAGCUACUCCUCAAAAUGAUGUCAUGAGUUCAAAAAAUUAAUCGCAGCAUGUUUUUUUUUUUAUCUCCGUAAUUAGAUGAUGAAAGAAGCAUAAAAGGUACCAAUAGUUCCGUCACAACUUGGUCCUUAUUUUUUAUCCUAACUUAAACAUUUUAGUUUGUAAACUUUUGUGUACACUAUAUUUAUAGUGUAGUCUCAAGCCUUGAGUUUGUUUUCAUAAUAUGUUGAUUUUACCUCUCUUUUUCUUUGCAAAAUUACUAGCUUAUGGCCAAAAAACAGCUUUAAUCUUUAGAACGUCGACUCAUCCAAUUCACCUAGGAAAGAACAGAAUUUUAAAAGAAAUUAGGUUGAAAAUAUGAAGAACUAUUUUCUAGCUUAUAGUAAUAAUAAUCAUAGAAACCUUUCUUUAACUUAGAGAGAGAGUGAGAAAAAAAAAGGAAAAAAAAAGAGCUUAUAUCCAAGAGGGCGCAUGACUUAUAUAAGUCACACGAAUCUAACAACACAUAAAUUUUAGGAUUUGGUGGACUAAUAUAUAAAAUGAUUAAUUUCAUAUAGUUUCCGGCAAAUAUAGUGAAUUGUAAAUAUAUUUAUAGAAAGUUCAACUUUCAUAUGUUGUCCAUACAAAAAUCCUGAUGUUUUCAAAUAUGUCCUUAACGUUAGAAUCUGUUCUAAAAAUUUAGUUAAUAAUAAAUAAAAUACUUUAUUCUAAUCUAUACCCUACUAUGAAUCCCUCUAAUUUUAUCCACAUGGCAGGUUUUGCUUAAUUUGUGUAUGUGGGGACCCACCUCGUCCAGUUAUAGUAUUUUGGCUUAAUUAAGUGCAUGUGGCCGACCCCACCCUGCUGUUUUAGGCGUUUAAGAAAAAUCUUAGUGGACCUCUAAUUUUAUCGACGCGGGAAAGCGUUUGCUUGUUGAACAAAUACGCUGUAUCGCGGCCCACCUGUCAGUUAUAGUAUUUUGGCUGGCCGGUUCGGUUUAGAGAAAAAUAAUUAAGUGCAUUUUUAUUAUAUGGCUGUGGGACCCAUCGCUUUCGGGUUGAUGAGGUAACUUUUUGAGCCAUCCGUCUUCCAUUGCUCUGGGUUCGCUUCGUCGCCUCGGGCCGGUUCGGUUCGUCGCUUCUGGAAGCCAUCGUUGCCUGGUUCGGCUUCGUCCGCUGUCGGCCAUCGAUGCCGCGUUCGCGUUCAUCGCUUCCGAAGCCAUCAAAUUUUCUUCCUAUGAACAGAAAAAUAGGGGCCAAAGUGCACGCGACAUCGAUUUGGCCUGGCCCUCCCUGCCAGUUCCAUUGGCGCCGCUUCAUUCCCCGUCGGAAAUGGUUCCCCUCUCGACCUCUAAAAAUGGAUCUCGAUUUCUAUUAUCGCUUCGUCUUCCAACGCCGCAUCGGCACGUUCGCCGGUCCGUUCCUUUCUUUGACGUACGCUUCGAAAACCGUCGAAUUCCUUCGCACUGUUUCCAGUAGCGCCGAAGAGUGGUCUGCCUUUUCCCAUACCUCUCAGUGCCUAUUAUAAUGGUCAUCUGCCUCCUCCUUUCCUUCGCAGUCCUGGCGACAUCUCUUCUUCUGAGAAGAACUUUUCACAUUUCUUCUCAGAGCCAAGAAUAUUAAGAAGGGUAUUGAACGUUUGAGUAAAUUUUGUCAAUUGAGUUAUUAUUAUUAUUUAUUAUUUUGCUAAUUUGGAUUGCCUUAACUGAGUAUUUAUUUAUUUGUUUUCAGGAAGCCUAACAAAAUCUGGCCUGAAAAUUGUUCAGGAUCUGCAAUCAUGUAAGUUUUCAGCUACAUCGAUUUUUUAAUUUUUUUUUUUUUUUUUGGUUAAUUUGGGAAUUGCUUUACUAUUUAAUUUUAGAAGUUUUAAAUACUAAGUAUUUAUUAAUUUGAUUCCAGGAAUCUAACAAUAUCACACCAGAAAAUUGUUCAGAUCUGAAUCUGAUAAGCUUCUCAGUUCAUCUAUUUUUUAGAUAUAUCUAUGCUUAUUGUAUACAUCGUGUCUGAUAUAAAUGUUUUAAAAAAAAAAAAUCACUAGAAACUAAUUGUGUGAGACAAUACUUAUACAUAUUAACAAUAAUAUGACAAUAAAGUUUACCUUCUUCCGAAAAAUUUGUUUAUCUAAAGAAAAAUAAUUUGGCCAUUAUAGUUUAAUUUUCAGUAUUUUCAAAAUUUUAAUUUGAUGAACAAAUAUAUUGAUUUUUCGUUUAGAGAAAUAUAAUCUUAGCAUGUGGGGACAUGCCUGACAAUUUUUUCUUUCCUCUUUAAAUAUUAUAUAUAGAGGCAUGUGGGUUGCAUAAAGAUGUGUUUUCAGAAUUGAAUGGAAAUUUACAUGUUUGUAAAAUAGACUUAUGUUGUAUGGCAAUUAAAAAUGUGAGAAGCUUUUUGUGUCUUGAUAUGAUUUAGAUUUCUUUACAUUGAAUGCAAAGUUUAUUUUAUUUUCAAUUAUCACAUAUUGCUAUUAUCUGCUUACAUAGAAGUGAAACUUUGUGAAAAAAUUUUACUAAUACUCUAUGGCAGUUGAAAUGAAAGGAUUUAUUGUGUCUUGAUUGUUACUUAAUUUUCUACACCAUGAGUGCCACAAAGUUUAUUUAUUUGUUUAAACUUGUGUUCGCAGAACUAUUUUACACAAUAUCGUUUUUUCUUUAGUUUUUCGCUAUACACAACUUAUGAAAAAAAAUGAUGUUUUAGGUGGAAUUUGUUGUGCCUCUUCACAUAUAUGGUUCUUGGAAUAGUAAUUUUUCUUUCUUGAAAUAAUUCGAAGUAUGGCAUUAUUUAUUAUGACUUGCAUGUGUAAAGAAAUUAGUAAGUGUGACCGUAAUGAACUAACUGUGAUAUUAUUUUUAGUCAUUAUAAAGCGAAAAAAAUUAGGCAUAUUAUCCUAAACAAUGUGAAUUAUAAAUUCGGCAAGGUCGGAUGUCAUAAAAUACCAUUGGAACUAGCCAUCAGUACACGAUGGCAUCCAUCUAUCUAGCUUUCGGACUCAGCUUCCGCCCGUUUUUGUUGACGUAGUGUUUGUUCAAAAUUUUUCCCCUUCCUCUUCCGAAGUAUGGAAUCACUUUAGGUUCGCUGGUGGUCAAUUAUGAUUCAUUUGUGGGAUGUGGCGGUCCCUAGAUGGUAGUCGAUUUAUGGGAGGUUAUUACCGUGUUUGGGGUUCCGCCUUCUACAGAUUCUAAUGAGACCGAGCGAGGAUGCGCUUAGGGUUGCAGUCGAAACACUACGCAAAGAGCUUGAUUUCGAAAUUUAGCGGAUGCUAAUGUAUAAACUGAGAUAUUUCAUUUAUUGACUUAAACCCUUUUGUUUGACGAAAUGUUUUUUGUGUUAAUUAUAAUUAUAGUUAUUCGUCAAAUUUCAGGAGAAACGAGUGUUAAAAACGGAGAAGUUACAGUGACCCGGAAGUUCGAUCAAGUGAAUAGCUAACUCCGGUUUUCCGGAGAGCCCGAGUAGAGUGGACUUUGACGCGCGUAUCGGACUCCGAUAUAGCUUCCAAUAGUCGUUUUCAACUGCGUCGACUAUCCUGGACCAAUGCACUGCACGGAAUUGCAAUUGGCUGCCACGAUUUCGAAGAAAAAGGGGUUAAUUGGUUUUUACAUAUGAUUAUACCUGAUAUGUGGUUUAUGGGUGGAAGAUUUGAGUCGAGGGCAGGUAUCGUCGCUGAUCGGAGACCAAAUCAGACGAAAAUAUAAAUGCUAUCAUUCGCAUGCCCAGUCGUGCUGAACACGCCUGGCGCAAUCGUCGGAAAUCCGACGGACGGAUCUUCGGCGGAAUCGUGAAAAGUCCGCUAAGAGGUCAGUAGCAAAAUCGAUUAAUCGCGAAAAGGUCAAUAUUUUAUGCGCGGUUCGUGCGCAAUUUCGAUUGUAGAGGGACUAUACGGAAUAAUCCACAUGUUGGCAGGGGGCUUGUAAAAAGGGUAUUGCGAUAGGGAGGGGUUUUCACACAUUCAGUUUAUAGUAUAAAGGUGAGGUUUUAGGGUUCAGCCAGGGAAACCCUAACCCUAAUCAUUCUCCAGGCUGCUGCCUAACCGCCCCAUAACCACCCUGCCCCAACUUGUGCGCACGCCCCGGCGCCGUGCGCUGCAACUCCGGCCGCCGGAAAAGUCACCUCGGCCACCUCUCAGCGUCUCCCCUAGCCGACUGCCACCCCCUUUUUCGAUGUUGUGCUCGGGAAAGCUUCAAAGCCGAGCUUCCCCCUCCCUUUGCCGGUUCUCCGGCCGUCCUCCCCCUCGCCCGGCCACCCGAACUGCCGCACGGAGCACCCCGGCUCCCUGCAGCCAGCCGGCUGCAGCCAGACCGAGCCGGCCUCGAGUGACUGCGUCCUCGCCUUGCUUCGCCGCGCCGCCUCAGUCGGCUUUCGGUGAGCUCCGGCCAACCCGUCGCAGCGCGCGUCCCCCGCCGUGCCGCGCUGUCGGCGUCGGCGCCGCUGAGAAAUUCCUGGGGCGCCAGGCACGUGCGGGCGGCCAGAGGUCGGGCCCGCCAGCUUCUUGGCGCUGCGCAGCCCACCGUAGAGGUGACGACCUCCCCUUCGACCACCGGCGCGACCGUCGCCCCCGCCUCCUCCGGCGCCGCCGGACGCCGCGGGAGCAUCAAACCCGCAGAUGAGAAAGUGGUGAAGGGUCGAUCAUCGGCCCGCCGCACCACCGUGCGCCCGCCGCCGGCCAGCACCUCCCCGACCUCCUGGACGACAUGCUCCCUCCUCGCCGGACGCCGCUCCCGGCGCCGGCGCCACCCUAGCUCUCCUCGGGUCCGGUAAGGGCAUUUUACGUUCCAGCACUGUUUUUUGAGGUUCCGGUCUCCUUUUCGGUGAUCCGAAAAGCCUCCUAAGCUUCGGGAAGUGAGCACGAUGAUCUACAACUCGUGCUGAACAUCGUGCUCACCUCCAAUAGCAGCAAUGAUGCCCUGGUUUGCGAGUUAGUCGCGAUCUUCGCGCUGUGCGCGCAGUUUAUCUGAUUUUCACAUCGCUCGUGCGCGCACCGCAGUGGCCGGCAGUGCUCCGAAAGGUGAGCACGGCCUCCGACAUGCUGAAACCUGUCAGCGAGUACGACGGUCGGAUUAAUCGGCCCCUGGUUUGUGCGCACGGUCCAGAAAAGUCUAGAAAUCACAUGAAAUGAUGCAAUUCAUGUAUCGGUAUCGGCUUUUAGGCUUUCUGCUUCGUUGUAGAUGCUGUGGACAGCGUGUAAAUGCUGAGGGUAACCUCUGGACUGAUCGUCCAAGGCCCCAAGCCUUUGCGGAAAUCGUAAAGUGACUUCCGGAGCGUUUUUCGGCGAAAUCCGCCGAUAGAACGCGGUUUCGGUUCGGAAUUCUUCCGAUGGUUCUUGGGGAUCAUUUGUUUCGUCGCUGAGCCUUGUUGGCUGGUCACCUGCAUCGUUUCGUGGGCUUGGAAACGACAGGUGAGCGACAGCGAAGUUCCAGUGCGGUUUUCGGGACUUCCGGUUUGUACGGUAAGCGGUUUUGGGAAACUAUUUUUGUGGGGCUAUGAGCGGGGGUUGUGAGUUAGCUUUUCAUGUCAGUGGGUUAGACCUUAACCCGUUGGACCUUUCGUAGGUUCGGUUGCACCGUCUUCACAGUCGAGAGACCUUCGUCAAAUACAUACAGGUGGGUACUUCGACCCGUAGUCGGUACAGUGGUGCACGCUCGGUGACGUUUCUUCACCCCUACUGUUUACUCUAUCUUAUAGUUAUAUUGAGCCUUGCAUCUGCAUUUAUAUCUACAUUUCUCUACUCAGUUAUUUCCAUAUUGAUAUCAUGCUUAGGAGUAGAGUUGAUUUAUCUAUUCACUAUCAGUGAUUUGGUUGGGGCGGUUCCCCCUAUUGUGAUACCUAUGACCUGUUCGGUCGAGUUGCUACAGUUCCAUCUUGACUUACGUAGCCGAUUAGUUGCUGAUGGCCUAUACGGCCGGUGUGCCCUGAGGGGCCUGGAUUGUCGGCUAGUUGCCGACGGAUGAUCUUUGAGCAUACUACAUUGAUCGCCACUACAGGUACGCAUUUCACGAACACCAGCGGUCUGAUCCACCGCAAGAGGGUGUUCUUUUUCGGAAAAGUGGUUGGAUUGCCAACCCGUGAGCCCAGGGGCUUCAUUGCGAGGGUAUAUGCUUCUGACCCAGGGGCUUCAUUGCGAGGGUCAGGUACAGGUUGCAGUGUGGCAUGAGCCUGAGGUCUUCGGACCAAUAGGGCAGCGAGAUUGGGUACUUUUGAGCUUUUCGUCAGUUGACGCAUGCAUACAGUAGCUGUAGUGUUUAUUUCCAGUACAUCCUUAUCUGUUUAUUGUAGCUACUGUUUUACUUACCUGCAUCUAUACUUGUCAGCUCCUUACUUAUCAGCAUAUUUACUUAUCAACACUUAUAUCUAUCUAGUUUUCCGUGACUAGUGAGUACCCUCGCCCUCUACGGCUUGCGGUACCCACUGGGAGGGGAGACAUGUUUACAUGUUCUCACCCCCCGCCCCCAUUACAGGUGACGUAGCAGGUCCGAGUGGGACAGCUGGUGAGGAGCGUGUCUAGCGUGCGAUAGAGCUCCUUCCCGAGUCGGUUAUCCCUUUUACCCUUCAUGCUCGAAUAAAUACUUAGACAUAUUAUGGUUCAGUUUCUAUUUUAUUAUCUGACUAUCUGAGUUUUCAAUUGGUUUUGAAAUGUACUAAAGGAUUGGAGUUAUCUUAAAAUAAAACAGUUUUCUACCCCUCGUGGUAGCUGGUUUUGAAAAAGAAUGGUUCCCGUGUAGGGAUCAGUUUUCAAAUUGAUUUCUCUGUGGAUUUAUGGAUUUAGUAUUUCAAAAUCAGUUUCCAGGUAGGAAACAUUUUUAACUGAUAGAUGUGGAAUGUUAUGCAUAUUCAAGUUUCAUAUCUGUGUGUGUGAAUGGAAUGGAUGAAUGUUAUCUAUCUUGUUGUUCAUCUGGUUGUGGUUGUGAUUAUGUGUGUACUUAUACUCUGUUGUACUUGUGCGACGCCGUGCAAAUAUAGGGGAGACUCUGUCCGUGUGAACAGUGGAACUCCUGUAUUUGUGGCGGAUCUGGCACACUCUGGGGGCAGGUUUUCAAAAAAAAAAUUUCAGACGCUUUUCCGCUACCUUUUAAACAAAAAGGGACCCCGGGGCGUGACAGAUUAAAGUGGUAUCAGAGCCAAGUUACAACCACAACUCCAUUCACAGACUGUUUUUGAAAAUAAAAAUAAACUGAACCAUUGGUUAGGUUGACCCUAGGAAGACCCACGAUGUAUAGGCACGUGAGUGCGGGGUUUGGGCUCGAGUUCUGGUUGUUAGUAGUCGAGUUGAUUUUUCGAUUGACGGUGUUUCUGUUACAGAUGGCUCGUGGCAGACCUCCUCUUCGUGGACGUGGUGGUGGACGCGCCGCAGAGGGCUCUAUCAAUAGCCCUGGAGAGCAGGCCCCGAGAGGCAGAGGCAGGGGCAGGGGCAGAGGGGAGCAGAUCAGCCCAGAUCCGCAGGGCGAUACUCGUGCCCAGCAGCUCGAGGCUGAGGUAGCAGUGAUGAGGGGUCAGAUGACAGCCCUCACUGGGUCGGUUCAGCAGCUCCAGCAGCUUUUACAGCAGCACGCUGCAGCUGCUGUUCCCCCGGUACCACCCCCGACGCCGCCGGUUCCUGAGGCAGCUGCCCCUCAGGUGGCGCCUGCACAGGCGGUCCCUCCGACCGUCCCGAGGACGACGACGACCACCACGACGGUUCCCACUGGGGGUGCUGAUGCCCCAGCAGCUGAGGGCGCCCGUAUGCGUGCGAAGCUGAUCGAGUUCAGGAAGUUCGACCCGCCGAAAUACGCGGGGAAGAAGGAAGAGAAUGGAGUUCUCGAGCGCUGGCUGACCGACAUGGAGAAACUACUCGAGGACUUAUUCAUCGAUGAGCACGAUCCCGUCCCCUUGGCCGCCCACUUGUGGACGGGACGCAAGCUCUUGGUGGCGUCGAAUCUAUCGCUCCAAGCUGGCAAUGUUUUCUCCUCUCUGGGGGGAGUCCGGUGAGACUCACUCACGAGCAAUUCUUUCGGGACAACUCAAAAUUAGAGCUGGAGGCGCGAGCUAGAACGUCCACCGGGCAGGUCCGUAGCUGAGUACGAGCCGACUUUCUCUCGCAUUGUCGGAGCCUGAUUCCCUUCGUAUCCGAGACAUCCGCCAACAAGGCCAGAGAGUCUUCGGAGGGCUUGAGACCAAAUCAGGAUGGUGCUGGGCCUUCAUAGCACGAUGACAUUAUAGUGUUGUACCGCAGCCCCUCAUCCAGAGCGAGUCUACAGUUCCUGCUGCAAAAGGAGGCUGGAGCGAUCGGGGGGACAGAAGCGUUCCCAUUCUAGACUGGGUGGCGGUCCUCUUCCAACAAGCAAGAAGCCACCAAAUGCCCUCGCACUCAGCAGUUCGCGAGGAGUGCACCCUCUGGCAUCAAGCGACGAGGCAGUCGACCCGUGUGAUUUGUGCAGGCAAGCACACCGGGUGACCGAAUGUCCGCAGAUGAGGGACCACUGCUUCCAUUGUGGCCAGCCGGGCCAUCUACAGGCUCGAUGCCCUAUGAGAAAUGGGGCCACGCAGAGCGCCGCUUCCUCCCCAGCAGCAUUCCGACAGGACCGCGGAGCUUCCAGCGCAGCUGCACCGUCUGGGCGUCCCUCUUCCUCACGUCAAAAUGAGGGGGCGCGCAAGGCAUCUGGUGGACGGGUCUUCGCCCUGACUCAGCAUGAGGGCAACACUGGUGGCGACGUCCUUGUAGGUAUUGUCACCCUCUCCAUCACUCGUGCUAAAGCUAUAUUCGAUACUGGAGCAUUGCACUCAUUCAUUUCGCAUUCAUUUGCAUGUGAGCAUGGUAUUCCCUCGCGUCCACUAGAUAUGCCGCUCCGUGUUGACACGCCCGGGGGUGAUCUAUUAGCUGAUCGAUGCAUCCCAUCAUAUCCUGUCAUCUUGGAUAAUCAUAGUUUUCUGGCGAACCUGGUGGUACUUCCAAUGAAGAAGUUUGACGUAGUGCUUGGGAUGGACUGGUUCACCAGGCACCGCGCUACUAUCGACUGCGAGCGGAGGACGGUGACUUUUAUUGGGCCCGGUGAAGAAGUAUUCGUCUAUCGAGCGUGUAAGAGCUCUUACUUCGCCGCGUCUAUCUCUUCUGCUAGAGCUAAGAGGCUUAUAAAUGCCGGAUGUGUGGCCUUUUUGGCUUCCGUGGAUGUUACCCACCGGGCUGCACCAGCCUUGGAGGAGAUUCCAGUUGUCCGGGAUUUUCCGGAAGUGUUUCCAGCCGAACUUCCGGGAAUGCCCCCGGACCGAGAAAUCGAGUUCUUCAUCGAGCUAGUUCCGGGCACAGCACCGAUUUCGAAGGCCCCCUAUCGCAUGGCCUUCGCUGAGCUGAAAGAGCUGAAGGCUCAACUCGAGGAUCUCCUGGAGAGAGGAUUUAUCCGACCCAGUGUGUCUCCCUGGGGUGCCCCUGUUCUCUUCGUCAAAAAGAAGGAUUGUAGUCUUCGACUGUGCAUCGACUACCGAGAGCUCAACAAGGUCACAGUGAAGAACAAAUAUCCACUGCCCCAAAUUGACGAUCUAUUCGAUCAGCUUCAGGGAUCGUCGGUAUUUUCAAAGAUCGACCUUCAGUCAGGGUACCAUCAGCUUAAGAUCCGGGCAGAAGACGUGCCGAAGACCGCUUUUCGAACUCGUUACGGCCACUACGAGUUCACGGUGAUGCCUUUCGGGCUUACUAAUGCCCCGGCAGCCUUCAUGGAUAUGAUGAACAUGGUCUUUCGGGCGUACUUGGAUCAGUUUGUCGUGGUAUUUAUUGACGAUAUCCUGAUCUACUCGCGGAGUGAUGAGGAGCACGAGGAUCAUCUUCGGCGAGUACUGCAGAUACUCCGAGAGCACAAGUUAUAUGCUAAGCUCAAGAAGUGCGAAUUCUGGCUUCGUGAGGUAUCUUUCUUGGGGCAUAUUGUGACUCCAUCGGGCAUUACAGUGGAUCCGAAGAAAAUAGCCUCAGUGGUCGAGUGGCCUGAGCCGACUUCAGUGACAGAAGUCAGGAGUUUCCUGGGAUUGGCGGGUUAUUAUCGGCGAUUUGUCGAGGGCUUCUCCAAGAUCACCGCACCGCUGAACAAGCUUACCAGAAAAGGAGAACGAUUUCAGUGGACUGAGCAGUGCCAGCAGGGCUUCGACGAGCUGAAGGAUCGACUGACCCGAGCACCCGUUCUGACUCUGCCGCGGCCUGGUGAGGACUUUGUGGUCUAUUGUGAUGCCUCACGGGUCGGUUUGGGGUGCGUGCUUAUGCAGCAGGAUCGGGUCAUUGCUUACGCCUCUCGUCAGCUAAAGCCGUAUGAAAAGAAUUAUCCAACUCACGAUUUGGAGCUUGCAGCAGUGGUGUUUGCCCUUAAGCUGUGGAGACACUAUCUAUAUGGGGCACACUGCGAGGUGUUCACUGAUCAUCAGAGCCUGAAGUACCUCUUCACUCAGAAGGAGUUGAACCUCAGGCAGAGGCGUUGGCUCGAGCUCUUGAAGGACUAUGAUCUCACCAUACAUUAUCAUCCGGGAAAGGCGAAUACAGUAGCGGAUGCCUUGAGCCGGAAACAGCCUUCGGGAGAGUUGACCUUCAUGAUCACGAGCCAGGAUCGUCUGGUAGAAGAGUUUCGCCGUCUUGAGAUCGAGGUUGUUUCCACAGGAGUUAUGGCCCAGUUGAUGUCUCUGGUGGUACAGCCUACCCUGACAGAGCGGAUUACACUCGGACAGCAGAGUGACCCGUACUUACAGAAAGUGCGGGCGGAGAUCGAGCAGGGCAAGGACGGGGACUUUACUAUCCACACCGAUGGAUCCUUGCGUUUCAAAGGCAGGUGGUGCGUGCUUAGUGACUCGGAGCUGAGAAGCGACAUCCUAUCCGAGGCGCAUCAAUCCCCUUACACAGUUCAUCCAGGUGGAACCAAGAUGUACCGCGACCUGAAACAGAAUUUCUGGUGGCCUGGGAUGAAGCUAGAUGUGGCUCAGCACGUGGCUCGAUGCUUGAUUUGUCAGCAGAUAAAAGCCGAGCACCAGCGACCGGCAGGGAAGCUGCAACCACUUCCGAUCCCCGUUUGGAAGUGGGAGCAGAUUACUAUGGAUUUCGUCACUGGAUUGCCUCGAUCACAGCGAGGGCAUGAUGCGAUCUGGGUUAUAGUGGAUCGGCUGACGAAAUCGGCUCACUUCCUAUCGAUGCACACGACGUGGUCCCGUGAUCGACUGGCACAGUUGUAUAUUGACGAGAUUGUCCGGCUUCAUGGUGUGCUAGUGUCGAUUGUAUCUGAUCGAGACACUCGCUUCGUUUCCCACUUUUGGAGGAGUUUACAGCAGGCUAUGCGAACGAAGCUGAACUUUAGUACUGCAUUCCAUCCCCAGAGUGACGGGCAGUCAGAACGAGUCAUCCAGACUCUUGAGGACAUGCUUCGCGCCUGUGUCCUGGAUUACGGCGAUGGAUGGUUUCGAUAUCUACCACUGGUGGAGUUCGCCUAUAAUAACAGCUAUCAGGCGAGCAUCGGGAUGGCACCGUACGAGGCUUUAUAUGGGCGUCGAUGUCGAUCUCCUAUCUGUUGGGAUGACGUCGGGGAACGCCGGUUGAUCGGGCCAGACUUAGUGGAGGAUGCGGAGGCAAAGAUCCGCAUUGCGAGAGAGCGGCUUCAAACUGCACAGAGUCGACAGAAGAGCUACGCGGAUCAGCGGAGGCGUGACCUGAAGUUUCAGGUCGGUGAGCAUGUGCUACUCAAGGUGUCGCCUUCCAGGGGGAUCAAGCGGUUUGGUUUGCGGAACAAGCUUAGUCCUCGGUUUGUGGGACCGUUUGAGAUCCUAGAGCGCGUUGGUCCAGUGGCGUACAGGUUGGCUCUUCCUCUAAGUCUUGCCCGUGUGCACAAUGUCUUUCACGUGUCCAUGCUUCGGAAGUACAUUCCAGAUCCGUCUCACGUCAUCAGUCCGACGUCUAUUCAGCUACGGGAGGAUCUGAGCUAUGUGGAGGCUCCGAUGAGGAUUUUGGCAUGUGAGGUGAAGCAACUACGGAAGAGGAGCAUUCCGUAUGUAAAGGUUCAGUGGGCAAAUCAUGAGGAGCGUGAGGCUACGUGGGAGCUUGAGUCUUCUAUGCGGGAGAGUUAUCCGCAGUUGUUUACAGGGGAUGUUUAAUUUAAGUUUCGGGGACGAAACUUUUUGUAAGGCGGGAAUAAUGUAAUAACUGAAAUUUUUGAAAAAAUAAAAUUAAACCCUUGGUUGACGAUGCUUUUGUGUGUAAUAUAAUUACUAAAGCACUCGUCAAAUUUCAGGAGAAAAUGAGCUAAAAUGGAGAAGUUACGCGACCCGAACCGAUGACUUAAGUGAAUAGUAACUCCAGUUUUCCGGAUGAACCAAUGAAUAGAGAAGGGUUCUGGUGCACGCUCGGUGACGUUCCUUCCACCCUUCCUGUUUACAUUGCUUAUCAUAUACAUUGCUUAUCAUAUUAUCCUCGUAUUACUCUACUCGGUUGUUUCCAUGCUCAGUAUCUUGUGUAGGAGUAGAGUAGAUUUCUUCAGCAUAUGAUAUCUGUGAUCUGGUUGGUUGAUUUUCCUUUGUUGUAUCUAUGACCUGGUUGGUCGAGUUUCAUACUCCAUACUUGUGACCUGGUUGGUCGAGUUUCAUACUCCGUACUUGUGACCUGGUUGGUCGAGUUUCAUACUCCCUAUUUGUGACCUGGUUGGUCGAUUCGGUUACAUGAUGACCCAUGCGGUCGAUGGGUCCUGGGGGGGGGGGGGCAGGAUUGUCGGCUAGUUGCCGAUGGUUGAUCGUUGAGCAGAUUGCAUUGAUCGCCCGAUACUCGUCGCAUUUCACGAACACUGGCAGUCUGAUCCACCGCAAGGAGUGUUCUUUUCCGGAAAAGUGGUUGAAUGGUGACAACCCGUGAGCCCUAGAGGGGUUAUAUGCACUGGAGAGUAGUAGUGGCAUUGGCUUGAGGUCUGCGGUGCUGACCAAGAGAGCAUUGGGUUCAGAUUGGGUACUUUUGGACUGAUUGUCCCGUUGAUGCAUACAUAUAGUAGCUGUAGUUGUUCAUUUAUAUACACUUCAGUAUUUGUUUAUUUUAGCUACUGUACUACGAUUAUCCAUAUAUUUGUUUAUCUCCGUGACUAGUGAGUACCCCUUGCCUUCUUCGGCUUGCGGUACCCACUAGGAGGGGAGACAUGUUUACAUGUUCUCACCCCCCGCCCCCAUUACAGGUGACGUAGCCGGUCCGAGUGGGACAGCUGGUGAGGAACGGGUCUAGCAUACGAUAGAGCUUUCCGUCCCGUGGUUUGGUUUAUCUACUCUUACUCUUCAUAAUUAAAUAAAUAACUAACUUAGACAUAUUAUGGUUCAGUUUUAUUUUACUAUUUGGAUAUCUGAGUUUUCAGUUUGUUUUGGAAUGUAAUAAAGGAAUUUGUGUUUUCUUGAAAUGGAAAUGGUUUUCUACCCCUCGUGGUAGCGUUUUGAAAAGUUAAAAGUUCCUGUGUAGGGAACAGUUUUCAAAAGAUUUUCUGUGGAUUUUGUAUCUUAGUAUUUCAAAACCUGUUUCUGUGGUUGCAAACAUUUUAACUGAUAGAUGUGGAUUUAUAUUUAAAUAGCGAAUGUAAAUUUGUGAAUCUGUGGUGAAUGGUGUAUGAAUGUAUAUCUGUGGUUGUUUGUAUAUUCAUCUGGUUGUGGUUGUUGUAUGAUUGAACUCUUGUACUUGUGCGACGCCGUGCAAAUACAGGGGAGACUCUGUCCGUGUGAACAGUGGAACUCCUAUGUUUGUGGCGGAUCUGGCACACUCUGGUGUCAGAUUUUUAAAAAAAAUUUUCAGACGCUUUUCCGCUACCCUUUUAAACUAAAAGGGACCCCGGGACGUGACAGAUGACACCCCAAUUCCCACAUCGAAUGGGAAUGGGGUUGUCAUUGGGUUUAUAUGAGACUUAGACACUAGUAAUAAUAACUGGGCUUAAGCAUUUUGGGCCAGUGGUUGGGCCCAACGAGUUAUUGUUGCUAGUGGGCUGGGUUGUUACAUUUGGUAUCAGAGCCUGUUCACCAGCUGACAUGUGUGGCGAGUCUCGGCUGAGCCAGGGUCUGGAUAACGGGCUAGCGAGACGAGUCUCACAUAGCCUGGUGAUCUUGGGCUGUGUGUGUGAGGACUGACGAGGACGUCAGGGCCUUAAUGUGGGGAGUCUGUGACACCCCAAUUCCCACAUCGGAUGGGAAUGGAGUUGUCAUUGGGUUUAUAUGAGACUUAGACACUAGUAAUAAUAACUGGGCUUAAGCAUUUUGGGCCAGUGGUUGGGCCCAACGAGUUAUUGUUACUAGUGGGCUGGGUUGUUACAAGUAUUGAGAGGACGAAUUGGAAGGUGGAUGUUAGCACUAUCCGAAUUCUCUCUCAAGUAUGUUCCGGCAAAAGCUGUUAAAGGACAAGCGAUAGCCAACUUUUUGGCUGAUCAUCCAUGUGUUGAAAUUAAAGAGCUGAAACAAAAUUUAGUCGGUUGUCAACCUUGGAUACUUUACUUUGACGGUUCAAGAAUAGCCGAGUCAGCAGGAGCUGGAAUAGUUGUACAGUCUCCUGAGGGGUAUAGCUGUCGGUUUACUUUUGAAUUAGAUUUCGGCUGUUCUAACAAUCAAGCCGAAUAUGAGGGUUUAAUAACUGGACUUGAAAUUUUACAAGAAUUAAAAGUUAAGUUACUCAAGGUCAUCAGUGAUUCACAAUUGGUGAUCAAACAAGUUAGUGGAGAAUACCGAUGCGAAAAUCAGAAUUUACAAAAUUAUUUAAGAAAAAACAGUGGAAUUGCUUUGCAGCUUCGGAGAAGUUGAAUUUGAGCAUUUGACGAGAGAGAAAAAUAAGGAAGCAAAUGAAUUACCCCAAUCGGCUUCAGGGUAUAGAGAGCCGAAACGAGGUUUAAUAGAAAUAGAAAAAAGACUACUGCCUUCGGUUCAUGUCCGAGAACCGAUUAUUGCUCCCAUAGAGGUGAAAGAUGAUUGGAGAAAAUCCAUAAUCGAAUACUUAGAAGACCCCAACAAAAAGGUCGACUAUAAUAUUCGAAGAAGAGCACUCGGCUACUGUCUAUUAGAUGGACAACUCUACAAGAGAACAGCCGAAGAAAUAUUAUUAAAAUAUUUAGGGCCUGAAGAAGCUAUAUUGGUGAUGGGAGAAACACAUGAGGGUUUAUGUGGAGCCCAUUUAGCAGGAAAAAGAUUAAGACGGACAAUUCGGCACUUAGGAUAUUAUUGGCCGACUAUGCAUCAAGAUUGUAUAGAAUAUGCUAAGGGUUGCCAAGAUUGUCAAUUUCAUAGAUUGGUACAGAGAAUUCCUGCUUCUGAGAUGUAUGCUAUAAUUAAACAUUGGCCUUUUUGAGGUUGAGCCAUGAGUUUGAUCGGAGAAAUUCAGCCGAACUCUUCGGCUGGUCAUAAAUUUUUAAUAGUGGCUGUCGACUAUUUUACUAAGUGAGUAGAAGUAAAACCCGCUCGGUUGGUCACUCAAAAAGAGAUCAUUGAUUUGUCGAAGAUUACAUAAUUCAUCGUUUCGGGAUUCCCGAGACAAUUAUAACCGAUCAAGGAACAAUGUUCGCAGGAGGACAGUUCAUUCUGUUCAUCGAGUCUCGAAAGAUAAUGUUACUUCAUCCGUCUCCUUAUUAUGCUCAAGCAAAUGGAUAGGCUGAGGCAGCAAAUAAGGUGAUUAUAAAUCUUAUGAAGCGACAUAUCGGAAAGUAUCCAAGAAAAUGAAAUGAAAAACUUUCUGAAGUAUUAUGGGCAUGCCAAACUUCAGUAAAAACAUCAACAGGAAUGACUCCAUUACAGCUAGUAUAUGGCCAUGAGGCCGUGUUACCAGCCGAAAUAACAGUUCCUUCUUUAAAAGUGGAAAAACAAAAGGAAUUGUCGGCUGAUGAAUAUAACGAUUUGAUGAAGAAAGAAAUGGAAGAAGUACAUGAAACUCGGUUAAUAGCAUUGAAUCAUUUACAAGCUUAUCAGAGCCGAGUACGCAAUGCAUACAAUACAAAAGUUGAAGCUAAAACUUUUGCAGUUGGAGACUUGGUUCUCAGGUUGAUAUUACCAAUCGGUCAAAAAGACCGAGUAUAUGGGAAAUGGUCUCCAGGAUGGGAAGGACCAUUUCAAAUUAGUAGAGUUACAAGGGGCAAUGCAUAUUAUCUAAAAAACAUAGAUGGGUCAGAAAACAAAAAACCAAUUAAUGGAAAAUAUUUGAAAAAGUAUUACCCAUCCAUGUGGGAGAAUAAUCAAAGUCAGAGUUAAAGGAUUACAAGCCGAAUCAAGAUAGCAAAUCCUUGAGUUGGUUCCAUUCGGCUAUCAAGUUAGCUUGGGCAGUCUCGGCUGCUUUUCUCCUACACUUUAUUAAAGGAUUCAUUUUGUAAAGUUGGAUAAGCUUGUCUUGAAGCUUUACCCAUUCAUCCUGCUUCGUCUUCAACUGAUCCUGUAGGAGGAGCCGACACUCAGAGGUACGAGCUAGAGUUGAUUCGGCUGCAGCUAAUUCUUUCUUGAGAGUUGAAAUUCGCUGCUGCAAAGCCAACUCCUGACCUGCUAAAGUUUGGUCUUCACGACUUACUUUAGUAAUAGGAGCCGCUACCUCAGGUAUAGUUUUCUUAGAAUGAUCAACUUGGUGAAAAUGUUGAUCAAGGGAUAAAAGCUCGGCACUUAAAGAUUGUUGCCGAGACAAAAAAGAAGAAAGUUGAGAUGAUAAGAUUUCCACAAAGCAUUUGCGAGCAGAAGAAAUAUCGGGUUAACCGGAUAAGUCAAGCAAGAGAGCGUAUAACCGAUCAAAUUGCUCUGGAUUCUGAGCCAAAGAAGGGAGACCAUUACUAUAUAAUUUGAGACACUCAUUAAAUUUAUGUUGAGUGUCUGAUGAUAUGAUAAUGGUUGAUGAAUCAUCUCCCUUAUUAGAAUUUGGGCUCGAAACAAGAAGAGAGUGGAGAGUUGCAGACAGGGGGUCUUCUGGAAUAGCCGAUGAAGCUUCAAGAGUCAAGUCCGGCUCUGUUUGUGCUCUUUCAGCGCUUUCUUCCAAAGGUGUGUUUGCAUUUUCUCCUUCUGUUGUUGGCAUUGGAAUUGAAAGAGGUGAUACUGCACCUCUUGUUGGCAACUCUUGGUUCUUUUCCUGAGUUGCCCUCUUCUUCUCUGCUUCCUGCUUCUUUUUUAGGCGAGCUUCACGGCGGAGUUGUCUAUCCAUCUGCGUCUUCAAAGAAGGCGCAAAAUGGACUCUUUCAGGAGAGGAUUGUUUUAUUAGGAGAAAAGAAUAAAUAAAUGAAGAAACAAAAGGAUUGAGUACGGAUAACUAAAUUGGUUUACCUCAAUCUCAAUCGGCUCGUUCGAAACAAAGCUUUGUUCAGCAGCCGAAGAAGAUUCUUCAGUUCUUUCUUUUGGAACAUCAGUCGAAGGUGUUUCUUCGGUUCUUCUUUCUCGAAUUGCAACCGAAGGUACAUCUUCGGCCCCUUUCUUUAAAACGUCAGCUAAAGAAGCACCUUCGGUUUGUUGGGAAUAUGAAUGUGGUCUCUUGACAACCGACUUACGCCGCUUUAGAGGCGGCGGAAGGGUGGAUUGUGUGGUUUCAAUCGACUUUUUCUCUGAAGCGGGGGCCGAUGGAGAAAUUGGAAUUGACUGCGGAUAAAGGCAAAAUAAGCAUUGGGCAUAAUGAGAAAAGAAAAGUCCAAAGAAAAGCAUAGUGUAUUACAGAAAAAUGAUGUGGGAUUUCAGAAAUUUCUUCUAGUUCUUCUUUUGGCAGAAAUGAAGCAGCGGGAUCAAUUGGGAUAGGUACUGCUGUAUCUGAGAGAUAAGUCAGCAAAGAAUUAAUAGAUUUUAAAAUGAAAGAAAAAUGACUAUGAGCAAAGAGGUGUACCAAACGGGAGAAUAGUUUGGCGGAACGCCUGUAAUACUGAUCAAUUGAAAGUACGAUCGGCAAAGUGAUGCCAGGUGACAGUAUAACGAAAACCUACCACCCCUGUGUAAUUCGGCCUGAAGCUUACUAAUUUGAAGAACCGCCGAAGGCGAUUCUCCAUAGCCGAGAUCCGAUCAGCAUCGGCUAUACUCUUAGUAGGGGGUCGGUUAACGGCAGUAUUGGCCAAGAAGAACUUGGCUGGAGCAGGGAUUGCUUGAGUGAACCCAAAUUGAUGCGCCACGAAUUAAGGAGAAUAAACCUCAGUGCUAAGCAACAGUUUCGAGCGCGAUUUCAUGCCGACAUGCAAAUCCCUUGCCGCCAAAAAUUAAUACCAAACACCUGCUACCCGCCGGCGCGAGAAGAAGCAAGUUCGCCUUGAAGAGCUUCGUAUCUUGCUAGGAACCAAGACGGGCCGGUGACACGGUCAGCAAAUGAAAACCAAUGGAUAGAGAAGUGAGGACAAGAUUCAUAAAACAUUUUAAAAUAAAAAAGAAAAUCAGAAGGGCGGCCUAAUGUUAGCGACGGAGGACAGCCAAGAGCCAGCCCGUAAGAAUCAAAAUGAGCAGCCGAAUCCUUAUCUAAAGGAGUUCGGCACAAGUUAGGGAAGUAAAUCUGUAAAAAUCUCUGCAAAAAUCAAAAAGCACCACAACCUUAACUGAUUGUUACACUAUUUCCAGAGGGUAGUAGUUUGAUAGAAUCAAAAUUUUUCUAUAAACAAAGGCAAGAAAAUAAGGCCCGAGAGCUAGCUUGUUGCCGUUAGUCAAACCAACGGCGAUUGGGACGAAGUCCCGAUUAAUUUUCUGCAAACAAGUAUAGAAGAGAUUAUGACAUAACCAAUAUAAAAGGAACGCUGUGUGUUCCUUCCUGGUAACAGGAGCAGGGGAUUCCCCUGUGAAUUUACGAAGAAACUUGGAAUAAGCAAGGUCAGAGAGGUCAAGGUGAGCCUCAAAGUCGGAUACGCCAUCAGAAUUGUAGGCCAUAGAGAGGGUAACACCAUGUGGCCUUAGACCAAGAAUGGCAGCUACGUUCAAGAGAGUCAGAGUAAGAGGUCAUCCUUUAAAAAGAAAAACAUUAGAAACAGGGGACUCGAAAAAGAGAGCAGAAGCCAAAAGAAGAUUGUUGGCUACAGGAGGUUUCCGAGAUAGCUGAAUGGUUUCAUAAAUCCCAACUUCUCGCAAGAAAUCACCAUAAGCAGCUUCCACCCGGUCUAACCAAGCCAAGUAAGCGUCCAAAACACUAGGCCAAGUUCGAAGACUUUUUCCUGUUGAAGCCGAAGGGUACCAGGAAUGGAGAUGUAUGGAUUUGGCCACUAAUAGAAGACCGUCGCUAGAAUAAGGGAAGUCAUCAGCAGGCGGGUCUUCAGUAAAGGAGGGACUCAGGAUUAAUCUAGUAGGGUCUGUCUCAAGAUACUAUUUGAGCAGGGUAUAGUCCAGUGAAGGACGAGUAGAUAAAGGCGGAAGCGGCACCAUUACUCGAAGAGAAAAGAAGCCGGGAACAAAGAUGGAGAUUAAAAGAAAUCGGAGAAGACGGAGAAGAAGUAAAGAGAAGCGAAGGAGGGGUUUCAUCGGAGAAAACAAGGAAGAAACAAAAAAGGAACAGAAAUGACAAAAGGAAUGCGAAGCUUGGUGAAGAAGAAAAGGCCGUCGAAUCGUCGCAUUGAAGCGAGUUUCAAGGUCGGCUAUAAUGAUGAAUAGACGGCGGUAAUUAAGAUGACCUAAUUAAUGCCGCAGAAGUGACAAAAAUAGAGGGCGAGAUCGGAGCCGUAGAAAAGAAAUUGAAGGCCAAGAUUGAACCGUACAGAGGAUCACGCCUCGGAUUACGUCAGUCACUCGUACAGAGAAUUUGAAUUUGAUUGGAUCGAGAACCACGCCUCGGAUUGUGCUUGUUAUUGAAGCGAUGGCAGGAUUUUCGGUAGUAGAAAAAGUGGACGGUUGAGGCGAAACCGUACCGAGAGAUUGAGGAGUGAUCGCGCCUCGAAUUACACCAGCUACCGAAGCGUUACUUCGAAAGCUGCCGAGGGGGCAAUUGUUGAGCCAAUAAGGCGCGAACAUAUAGUACACCAGUACUCCAUUUAGUUGUAUUGAUUUGUAGUACACUAGGAGCAACGGAAAAAUAUUAAACUGCACGACUUGAGAGAAGUUACAGUAACCGCAAGAAGUUGCAAGCUGUUUCGAUCGGCUGGAGGUGAUCCAAAAUAUUAGGAGAUAGUGGCCGAUCGUGUAAAAACAAUAACUGAUCAAGAGGCGAUCUAUAAAUAGGUCAAUAACGCCCUAAAAAGAGGUCUUUCCCCUGUGAACAAAAGACCACCCUUAAUUCCUCGCAAUUUUUUGUAUUCUUUAGGAGUAGUCUACUUGUAAUUUCUCUUUCCCACAUUUACUAUUCUUCCUAGGAGUAGUUUUAAGUAGAUCAACCGAGUCUGCAUGUCAUCCGGCACACUUGAACCCUGCACUUCUUAUCAGUGAAUAUAAAGGCAUUCGGCUUUUCAAGCCGAUCCAUUCCUUUGCUCUAUAGUCAUUUGGCUCCUCGGCCGACUUCAGUUCUUGCUUUGCCCGUACAUUCGGCUCAUCUAGCCGAACCGAAUUUAGUGUAGAGUUCCGAACCCGGCUGAUCGGAUCCCUCAUCAGCCGAAUCGCUUGAUCGAUUGAAGGGUGCAAACUUCGAGAGUCAGUAUCAAGAGCCGCUUCCAUCCCGACACGCUCCUUGAGAAGGACCUUUGACCUGGUCAAGGAUCGGAGAUUUUCGGCUCCAACAGGCUUUUUUCAAUAUUGAUGCUUUUAAAUGGGUAUCAAUGUAAUUCAAGAUUGCAGGAGGGCUGGGUAUGAAAAUCAAUAUAAUUCAAGAUUGCAGGAAGGCUGGGUAUGAAAUUAAUCCUACAAUAAAUUAUUAUUAUUCAGUAAAAUAAUUGGUAGUUUAAUUUUUUUCUUCCAAAGUUUUGAUGUUCAUGAUUUGGUAUAUGAUAGAUAAAUUCAUCUAUGAGAUAAUUCAUUUUAUUUUAAACAAAAGUAACUUAAAAGCCAUUUAUGGUAUUCCAUUUAGAUAUUUUACCAACCAUCUAGCUUUAGGCCAUAAUAAAAAAAAUACCAACUAUCUAGCUUCCAUCCUAGUACUCUUAAACUUUCUUAACCUUUUGUACCUAUUCAUCACCCAAAAUACUAUAAUUAGAUUAAGAAUUUUAGCCCUAUUAUCUCUUAUUCGAUAUAUUUUCAUGAUUUAUUUGAGAAAUUUAUAUAUUAUUAGAUAUUGAAAGUGAUCAAAUAUUUAGAAUUGAAAAUUGUAUCCGACCUUCAAAUUGAUCAUUUUCUGGAAUAAACAAAUUAUAUAGUUAAAAUAUAUUAUUCUACUAAAUCAUAAAUAUCGAAACCUAUCAAAAAUAUAUAUAUAUAAUUAAAUAUUUUUUUUUACUAUCAUGCUUGAAUAUUUUUUUACUGAAAUUCUGACUUUUAAAUAUGGCCUAAAGAUUUGGCUACCGUUAGUGGCUUGAAAUGAUGAAAUAUGACUCAAGAUGAUUAAUUAAUUGCCAAGAUGGAAAGUCUAAGCAGCAUACAUUAAAUUAACUUUUUGAAGUUUAGUUGGCUAUCUUUAAAAUGAGCGAAAUUUCGUGUGAUUUUGAUGUAAUUUUUAACUUAUAAAUAUAACGUAAGGCUUUUUCUCAACUCCCGACGACUUGUAUUCUAUUCUCAUGUUUAAAAAUAAAUGCAAUUUCUCGGCACUCUCCCUCCGCUUCCUCAGAGCUCGAAAGGCCCUCCGUUUCUCCUACCACUCAUCAGCUCCUUCAUCUACAAUUCCACCUCCCCCACCCCAAACCCUAGAAACCCGCUUCUUCCCCAUCUCUCUCGAUCCCCGAUCCUUCGUCUCCGCCCUCGUGCAAUGUCGCACCGUCGCACAUGUCGAACAAGUCCACGCCUUGGCGGUCUCCGCCGCCAUGAUCGAAAACCUCGGCGUCGCGAACAAAUUGGUUUACAUAUAUGCCCAGCACAAAGCUGUAUCCGAGGCCCACGCGCUCUUCUCCUGCAUGGCCGAGCGAGACAAUGUGUCGUGGAGCGUGAUGAUCGGUGGGUUUGCGAAGAUCGGAGAUCUCGGUAGCUGUUUGGGGAUUUUCAAGGAGUUUCUUCGAUCCGGCUCUCGGAUCGACAACUUCACUCUGCCCUUUGCUUUGCGGGCAUGUCGGGAUUUGAAGUCGAUUCGGUGGGGCAUGGAAAUCCACCAUCUUGUUUACAAGUCCGGGCUUCAUUCCGAUGUGUUUGUAUCUGCGGCGGUAGUCGAUAUGUAUGCGAAGUGUGGGUGCAUCGAAGAUGCUCGGAAGGUGUUUGAUAGAAUGCCGCUGAGGGACAUGGUGGCUUGGACGGUCAUGAUUGCUGGGUAUGCGGAGUGUGGGAAUCCCGAAGAGUCGUUGAUCUUGUUUGAUAAGAUGGAGGAGGAAGGAAUUGUACCCGAUAAGGUCACCAUGGUCGCAGCUGUGUUCGCAUGUGCGAAGCUGGGCGCUAUGCAUAAGGCGAGGUUAAUCCGUGAUUAUAUAUCAAGAAUGAAAUUUUCAUUGAAUGUGUUCUUGGGUACAGCGAUGAUUGAUAUGUAUGCGAAGUGCGGAAGUGUCGAUGAUGCCCGUGAAAUAUUCGAUGAAAUGCGUGAGAGAAAUGUCAUUACAUGGAGCUCAAUGAUAUCAGCGUAUGGAAUUCACGGCCGUGGCAAGGAGGCUCUUGAUCUGUUCACUAAGAUGUUGCAAUCUAGGGUUCAGCCUAACGAAAUUACCUUCGUGUCCUUAUUAUCAGCUUGCAGUCAUGCAGGGUUAGUCGAUGAGGGCCGGAAAUAUUUUCAUAUGAUGAAGAGGGAUUAUUUGAUCCAACCUGAUGUCAAACACUACACUUGCAUGCUCGAUCUUCUUGGCCGAGCUGGUAAACUUGAUGAGGCAUUGGAAUUGACCCACAAAAUGGAAGUCGAGAAAGACGAAGGAAUUUGGGGCGCAUUACUGGGUGCUUGUAGGAUCCAUGGGAAUAUAGAAUUAGCAGAAAAAGCUGCCCAAAACCUUCUUCAGCUUGGCCCAAGAAAUCCGGGGUAUUAUGUUUUGCUUUCAAAUAUAUAUGCCAAUGCAGGCAGAUGGGAAGAUGUCGCCAACGUGAGGGAGCAGAUGAAUGAUAGAACAUUGAAGAAAAUUCCAGGAUCGACGGUGAUUGAGAUCAAUAAUAAAAAUUAUAAAUUCAAAGUUGGUGAUAAAACCCACCCACAAUCGAAGGAGAUAUACGAAAUGUUAAAGACUCUUAGAGAGAAGUUAGAAUUGGCUGGAUACCUUCCUGAUACGAAUUUUGUGCUUCAUGAUGUGGAUGAGGAACUCAAAGCAGAGUUCUUAUACUCUCACAGUGAGAAGCUGGCGAUCGCAUUCGGUUUGAUUGCUACAACAGAGGGCAGUACGAUACGAAUAACUAAGAAUCUUCGAGUUUGCGGUGAUUGCCACACAUUUACUAAGAUGGUUUCGGCAAUCAUGCAUAGGGAGAUUGUUGUCCGAGAUGCAAAUAGGUUUCAUCACUUUAAAGAUGGUUCUUGCUCUUGUCGAGACUAUUGGUGACAAAUGGGAUUUGCUAAGGUCUUUUGCAGUCCUCUCCUAUCUGUGUUGCCAUAUGAAUCCAGAUGACAUUUUCGGGGUUAGUUACAGUUUUAAUCGCUUAAGUUUGUCCUUAGAUUCAAGUGUAUCCUCAUAGUUUCAGUCGUAACAAAUCGGUCCCUGAAGUAUGCUCAACAUUCAAGUCCUAUUAGUCAAUCAUCUGAAAAAGGUUCCACGUUAGCACAUCACCAAACUUUGCUUUUUUGAAGGUGAAAUUUUAUGGCAAAACUGAAAUCUGGGUAAUACUUCAUGGACUAUAUUGCUAAUAUUGAAAUCUGGGUCAUACUUCAUGGACUGUAUUUGGCUUUGGAAAUUCCGAAGAUGCCAAAGUAUCUGAUUCUCUUCUUCUUGUUUGCCAAGCCUCCUAGUUGUUGCCAUUUUGGGUUAGUAAUCACUCCACAUGAAUCUAAAGAACAAGCAAACUGCUAUUGUUAUUUCCUCCAUCUGACAGCUGUAUCAAUAACAUAGCCAGACAACAAACAGGAUUGCGAGCCAUAAAAUUACCUAUAAAUACACAACAUUAUUGCAAUGCUUAGAAGAACAGGCAAAAAAACAAUCACCAACAACCCAAUCGUUCUAGAAACACUUUCUGGUGAUAGAAGAUGGGAUUUAACAUUUUCUCUCAUGCCUUGCUCAUUAUACUUCUCUCACUGUCAGCCUCUCAUGUUCUUGUCCUAGCAGGGGAUCCCGACAUCACCUCAGACUUCAUUAUCCCGCCAAACUUGAACAACUCGCUCGUGAACGGCACCUUCUUCACCUUCACUGGACUUCGUCCCUUACUCACGUUGCCCCCACCGACAAACUUCACCGUCUCCAAGGUGACAAUGGCAGAAUUUCCCGCCCUAAAUGGCCAGAGUGUCUCUUUUGCCGUCUUAAUGUACCCGCCUGGCAGCGUGAACCCACCGCACACUCACCCUCGGUCUGCGGAGCUCUUAUUCCUUGUUGAGGGUUAUCUCGAAGUCGGAUUCGUUGAUACUACAAAUAAGCUAUACACUCAGAAAAUGCAACCGGGUGAUAUGUUUGUGUUCCCGAAAGGGCUUGUUCACUUUCAGUACUGCACCGGGCCGAAGCCCGCUGUCGCAUUUUCUGCUUUCGGAAGUGCGAGCGCGGGGCUUGUUUCUGUCCCUGGAAGUGUUUUUACGAGUAAUAUUGAUGAUGGAAUCCUUGCCAAGUCCUUCAAAGCGGAUGUUGGUACAAUUCAGAAGUUGAAGGAGGGGCUUGCAGCAAACAAGUGCUGAGUGUGGGAUUAUUAGAGUGCAUAAUAUAUAGUACGAGUGUGGACUACACAUAGGAAAUCAUUACCUAUGUUUAAGUUACAAAAAUAAAAUAGCAUUAGUGUGUUGUGAUAACUACAUUUGGACGUGUAUUCAUAAAGUGCAAUUUUUUGGUUGUUACCAGAAUUGCCUCUUUCAAUAAAUUUAUCUUUUUUUUCUGUGUGAAAUUUAGGACUGUCAGAAUUAUAUCAAAGAUAAUACAUAAAAGAUAAUUUUUAGGAAUAAAUAACCUUUCUCUCAAGGUUGUGCAAUCUGCCCGCCCCUUCUUCUCCGACGAUGAUAACAAUUCGUAACAAUUCGUAAGGAGGCCUCACAGCCUCUUCUUUCUUCUUCAUCGCUGGCGACAACGACGACUCCAAGACUACUCCCCCAUCAUGACUACUCCGCCAUCAUGAGGACAACAGAUUGGUGUAUCGGAGCAACCAGCAUAGUAGCGAUUCUCUUGUCGGUUUGAUCACAUGACCGUCUUCCUGACAUGCUCGACUAGUAGAAUCAGGCAUUGGAUUGUUACUAUAUCGUGCGCGUGUAUUCACUACGCGUCAGUCUCUCUAAUCUCACUUCCGUUGCCGUGACUACGAUAGAUCAACGCGGGCACGUGAACGGCGCGACAAUAGUUAUCUAACUUGUUUGAUUGUGCGGUCAUCUUCGCGAUAGGUUCAACACGGUCAAAUACUCAUUUAAAUAAAUAAAAUUAAAAUAAUUAAAUAAUAAAUAAAUAAAAUAAAAUGGAAUAAUAAUUAUUUGUCACGAAUCGUCAUCUUUAUAAUAGGCUUGAUCUGAUUCAGCUUAAAUCAAAUUGUCGUUUUCUUGAUAUGCUUGAUUUGGAUUUGCUUUCACCGAAUCGCUGAUUUUAUAAUAGGCUUGAUCCGACUUAAAUCAAAUUGCUGUUUUCGUGAUAGACUCAAUUUGGGUUUGGUUAAACCAAAUCGUCAUACUUGUAAUAAGGUAGACUUGGGUUUGCUUUCAUCGAAUCGUCGUCUACGUGUUCGUGAUAGGAUUGAUCCAGUACAGUUAAAUCAAAUUGCCAUCUUCGUGAUAGGCUUGAUUUGACAAAAGUCUUGCAUGCCGGCCUAUCAAUCCAUCUGUUCAUACUAAGGGCUUAGAGGAAGAGGAAGAUGUCUCUCUAGAAAUUAAAGAAACGUCUGAUAAAAUCAAUCAAGAGAUGACUACAGUUAUGUAUUGAAUUCAUUCAUGAAAUCGGAGCAUCUAAUGAUCCUCCUACGUAGAUCUAAUUAGAAUCCUCCAUCCCAAAGUUUAAACAGCUCCUUUUGAGAUUUUAGUAUUAAAAAAUGAAAGAAUAGUGUGCUGAAUGUCCUUCUAUUGGAUUGCAAUUUCAUUUAUGUCUCUUCAAAUUUUUUUAAAAAAUCACCAAUAUCCUCGUUAACAUCAGCAAUUCCCUCAGAAACCCUUUAUUAGUCGAAAUUAACGUAAAUUGAAUAGAUUAUUCAUAAAAUUCUGUUUUACCCCCUAAUAAGCUAAAACAUUAUUAAACUUGUCAUCUGAAAAGUAACAUAGACUUAACAAACAAAAGUGAUAAAUCUCCUACUUAAUAAGAAAUUAAAAAAUCAUACUAUAAUCUAUAAAUAUAUAUAUAUAUAUAUAUAUAUAUAGUUGAGCUAGAAUACUGUCGAUAGCAAACGAGCUCCGUUGUCACCCAUUUAUUUUCGAUGAUGGAGCAUCCAAAUCGACGAUUGGCAUCAUUGAACAUGAUCUAUACCACUUGAAGUGUUUAGAAAUCAAAUUUCAUACAUUUUCGAUAUUGUUCUCUUAUCCAUUGAGUAGACACAAAAAUGAACGGUUGAAAAUGAAUAUUCUUUAAAAACUGAUGAUAGGAGUCUUGUAAUCAAGAUCAAGAGUAUAGAUCUUGUUUUAAAUAGUUUAAAGAAUUUUCUAACAAAAAUUCAAUUAAUUUGGAUAUCUUUACGCUGUUAAACGGAAAAACGUAUCAUAUCGACCAUUAAAAUUACAAAUUUUGAAAUAUUUUGAUCAUUAGGCAAAUGAUGUCGAAAAGAUUUGAAAUUUGAUUUCUAAAUACUUCAAGUGGUAUAGAUCAUGUUCAACGGUGUUCUAGCUCAACUCUAUAUAUGUAUAUAUAUCUUAAAUAAAAAAUAGAAAACAACAUGAAUUAUUAUUUUAUCCUAUGAAUAUUAGUUGAAAAUAACUGUUAUUUCAAUUAACUACUGUUUAACUCUAUUUUAACUUGGAUUGUGGAUUCAUAAUAAACUACUAUAGUAGCCCGCACGUUAAGCGAAUAGAUAUUUAUAAAGUGAGAAUUCAACAUAAUAUACUACAAUACUAUAAAAAAGAGAAGGGAUUAGAGACAUAUCCUCUUCAAAUUUAUUUAGUUGAUAUAGUGUAGUGACAGAAAUUUUAUAGUGAGUAGGUGUUAUUGUAAAACUAAAGAUAAGUCAUCUACUAAACAAAUAGAAAAUAAAAUAAAAAAAUAAUAUUCUUACUUGAUGCAUAAAUUCGAUCAAUAUUCUGAUCUCUACUGUUUGGAAAUUUACAAUAUUAAAUUACAGAGAAGGAAGGAAGGGUGAAAGAAAUGGCAAAAACAACAAUGCAUCGGGCAAUAGCAAACAUUCAUGGAAGAAAUGGCGGAAAUGAUAAUGCAUCGGGCAACAUUCAUGGCGAUGAUGGUCCAUCUUCAGUCAACAGGAAAGAAUAUAGAGAAAAAAAAAUCCAACAAAAAAAAAAUAAUAAAAAAAAUCGGCAAGGAAUAUUAUUUUCAUAUGUCGUUGAUGAAAUGAUAUACCUUGUCUAUUAUGAAUAAAGUAAAUUACAUAUUAUGAUCAAUAUAAAAGUUUUCAAAGUAUUUUGUUUUUUCUAAAAACUCAAGCUACUAUAAUGAAUUUCUCAUACCAUUUUUUUUUUACUCUUUUCAUAAAAAAAAAACUCAAACCACUAUAAUAACAUAUUUUAUAAUUUUUAAAAUAAUUAAAUAAAGAGAGAAAAAAUAAAAUUAUGUGUAGAUGGGUAGAGGAUGACAGGCAUUGUUGGUAGGAAGAGCUCAAGACUUGAUAGUAAUGAUCCAACUGCGCCAAAAAAAAGAGAGCUCACCAUUUGUUGUGGCGCUUCAACCGGAAAUGCUCCUCCCUAACAUUGCCCUUCGCAAAAUAUCGGCUGAUACACCAAAAGAAACCCAUCAAAAUCAAAACUUUCUGAAUCAAAUCAUCAAAUUGAAUCAUCCCGACUUCCAAACACCAUAAAACUUAAAAACUUUUCGAAUCAAAUCACCUCAAUUUCAAAUCUUACUCGCAGUGGACGCAAUUGAACUGCCCCAUCCCUGGAAGGUCCUCAUCCUGCGGCAGCAGCUUUGGCUCCUCCCCCUCCGCCAACUUCAGUAUCUCGCUAUACAUUGCAUCAUUGACAGAUCGAUCACCCCAAAUCAAUUUGAGUUAAAGAAGAAACAAAAAUAGGAGAUAUAGAUGGAUCAAUCAAUCGAAAUAAAAAAGGAGAUUAGAGCCAAAAAAAAGAAGAUAUCUUUGUGGAGGAAUUUGAUCAUCAAGCGCUCUCGUGGGAAAAUCUCCGCUUCUUCACCAAAAUUGCUGCGGACAUAGGUGAGAUGAGGGGAGAGGGAGAGAUGCCUGUUGUCUGUUUGGGAGAUAGAGGGAAGUUAAAGAGAUGGGAGAAAGAAAGAAAGCGGAGAGAAAGAAAGCUGAAGGAAUUAGAGGUGAGAGAAGAAGAAAGGAAUAGAGCGAAAGAUAUAGUAAAAAAAUAGAGAGAGAUGAAAUUUUUAUUUCAUGGCGAUGAUAGUCCAUCUUCAGUCAAUAAAAAAAAAAGUAAAUAAAGAAAAAAAAAAAAACACCCAACCAAUUUGAAAAAAAUAAUUAAAAAAUUGGUGGGGCCCACAUUCCCAAACUAAGAAGAUGAUGGUUCACCUUCUCAGUGGGGCCCACACCCCCAAAUUAAAAAGACUAGUGAAGACCCGCGCUUCUUGGCGGUAAAUUUUCGCAAUUUUUAAAAUAUUUUGAAUAAACUAUUCAAUAUUAUUUACCAAAGUUGGGGUAAAAGCAUAUAAGAAUAUAUUUCUAUGUUUCCGUUGUUAUCAUUUAAAUUUUUAAAUUUAAAUUUAAAUUUUUUAAUUUUCAAAUCUAAUUUUAAAUUUUAAACUUCAACAUUUUUGAAUUUUAAUUUUAAUUUUUCAUAAAUUUUAUUAGCACUUUUUUAAUUCUCUUUUUAUUGUGGUCCAAAGAUGACGUGGUGAACCUGGUUCAUCGAAAUCGCAACUCGCCACGUGAUCACGAGGGCUGCACACCUGUGACACACGCAUCUAUUACACCGAGAGAAAUCCCCUUCCUCUUCUCGUCUCGCGCAUCGUCUCCCUCCUCCCACCGCUCGGAGCUCACAUCCAUGGUGUCGCCGCCGACGCCACUGAGAAGAAAAAAAGAAUGAAAAAGAGAGAAAGGAGUGGGUUGCCCGCCCGCACCCGCUCGCGCCUUCUUCAAACGAAUUAGCGUUUAAGCGAGAGUAAAUAAUAAACCCAAAUUUUCAUUAGUUAUAGAAGAAACACUCAAUUAAUUGCUAAUUAUACCAUACAUAAUUAUAAAAAAACCAACUGAUUUACCCUGCAAAAAAGAAAUCUAAGAUUCACGCACAUUGAUCACCACAAAUUCUCACUAAACUAUCAUGAGAAAUAAAAGAAACCUUCAAUUAACAGCUAAUUUUACUCGUAAUAAAAGUACCAAAAACAACUAAAGUGUUAAGCACAUGAACAAUAGCCACUAUUCACAUUUUUCGUUACUUAUCAUCAUCGCCUCAAAGAAGAGCUAGAAAGAAGGGAGUAGUCAUGAAACUUAGUAAAUUAAACUUAAGAAUAAUUAUAUUUGACAAAUCUAACUACAUGUUCAAAGAAACAGACAUGCAAAAAGCAGUAUUUGAGACCUUAGUAAUUAAACUUAGUAAUUUGGCUGUUGCUGCUGUGACAACAUGGGUGCAUUCUCAAAGAAAAAUAUUGUUCUCUUGUCAAAAUAACUUAGUAAGUUGACGUAGUUUUUUAAUCUCAUCACACAUCCCUUCUUGCUUCAGGUUUCUACCAAUCUCUGCGAUGCUAUUGUACUGAUACAGGGUUCAGGAUCUGUGUAUGAGUUUAAACAAUUAAAUAUCAUUUACAAUUUAUGGAUCUAAAAUAAUUAAAUUUAGCUGAUGAUUGAUUUGAAAUUUCUAUACAGUUACAAGAUACAAAUCAAAAGCUAGAACAAUAUCAUGCGCAAUGCCACAAAUAAGACUCAUAGACAUCUUACUAUGAAAAUUUAUUUUUUUUAAAUAAGAUAAAAGAAAUAGAGCACACACUAACCCACCUCUUGAAAACUCUCACUCAAGAUGCCGAGUAUAAAUCUUCAUAUAGAUAUGGCCGAAUUUGACCCCCUUCCUUUCCGUCUUCCUUCCAAGCGACAUAAAACAAGCACAUAAAAACCGAUGCCCUGAGCGCCUCGCGAUCAGCUCAGGCAUUUGUCGAACAGGGACUGGCGGAAUGAAGAGAGUGCGGGGCUUGCAAGGGCGCGACGAUGGAGGGGGAGAGGAGAAGAAGAUCCUCGCCAGAUCCCCACCGCGAAAUCCGCGCCGCCCAGAUUCCCCGACGGAGAGACGAGAGAGUAUUUGAAUAAGAUCGAAGGAGAAAGGCGGAAAAGUAAAAGAGAGAACAGGGGAAUCGAAAUCCUCCACUGCGAAGAUCGUGCCGGGAUCCCCGGCGGGAGGCUUCGGAGAGAGCACGCGGACCGGCGGCCGAGAGAUCUGCACACAUUUUGGAGGGAGAGACGAGAAGGUAACGUCGAAAAGUGAGGCCGUACCCGGUGAAGAUCGCCGGCGCGAUCUCGGCGGAUCCGCGUGGAAUCCGGGAAAGAGAAGACUCGUGAGAAUCGGGAAGAGAAGAGAGAGAGAGAGAGAGAGAGAGGAAGAGAGAGAGAGAGAAGUCCAACAAAGCCAAGGGGGGGAAGGAGAGAAAAGAGGGGAGAGAGAGGGGGGGCAUGUCACACCCAGGACUCGUUCCCUGGGCACGCUAACAGACCCGCCGUAUACAUAGAAAUUUUUUCUGUAUACGAAGCGAAAGCUGUACCUGUACCUGUAAUCAUACAAAAUUACAACCAGUAGUAUAGAGCUGCUAAAUAAAAUAUAUAUAAUAACAAGAGUCCACAAUACAUACAUAGUAUCCAGGUAUAACAAAAACACUCGCUCUAGCGAGCUACAAUAUCGAUCAGUAUGUAUAAGAACUCCAAAAACUGAUACUACCUGUAGUGGGUAAAUCUCUAGCUCAGCAGCAACCCGGGAAAAGAUCUAACUCGCGACUCCCUUUCCACGGUCAGUCUCAGCAGUAGCAGUAGCAGCAGCCGCAACAGUAGGCUCUGCAAAAGUCACCAACUGAGUGUGAGAACUACUGCAAAAAGAAGUAGUCCAUAGUGUGUACCACUACCGACCUCAAUGGCUCACCCACUAAGUCUACAAAAUGAAUGCUCAAUGAUAGUAAAUAACUAGAAACAAUCUACAGCUAUAUGUCAGUAUACUAUCAUGCUUCAAUACUAACUAUUUAUAGAAUAAUGCAAACUCUGACCCAAUCUCACCUAGGGACUGUGAAUAACCCAUCCCGCCUGUCAAAUCUACACUAACUGCCACCAUGCUAGGUCAUCAGCGGAGAGCAAGUCUAACCAGGACAAACCGACAUCAACGCAAAAGCACUAAGCCCGACUCCGGAGUGGCACUCAUGGGCGCUACCCAACUGAGUAUGCAAGCGUGUCUCUGUCGAGCUCAAUCAGGCUCUCACAGGCUAUAGUCAAGUAAACAGGGUCUAACAAUCCAACUCACUGCCCUCGGCACAAUCUGAUGCAAAAGUGGCAAUCUGGGUCCACCGUCAACUCCAACGGCACGACAAUCCGAAACAGCCUAGACACUGCUGUAAAAAUAAGCUCAGCAUCAUCCGAGCACGAGCGUAAAUGCAUUCUACACUAUUCUGGGUAUCCACCGCCUACAAACUGCGGCGAUACAAACAAACUACGGCUCUUAGAGCUAAAUCUGGUAAUUUCAGAAUAUGACGGUGUAGAAUCGAUAGUUUUCUCAUAAUUCAAUUCCAAGUCCAACAUGUAUAAUUUAGCUAAAAUACUAACAUUGCUCUAAAUUCAGAUUUCAAGAAAUCUAUGCAAAUCAAUGAAUUCGAGCUAAUUAACAGGAUAAACAAGACCAAGAUACAUGUCGACAAUAACUAGGCUUAGGAGGUUAAUCCGCAAAUUCCGGCAAGCAUCAUUAACCCACCUCUAGCGCUAAUCCACGGCAACCCGAGGUCACGAAGUCGCUGGAAACUCUGCCGAGACCAAUCGAAAUCCCCCAGAACCAGCAACCAAACCACUCCAAUGAUCUAAACAUCGAAAACACAAAAACUUGCAUUAUAACUCCCAAAUUUCAGCACUUAAGCUUAAACCUUCAAUUCCAAUGUCAAAACUCACCUAUCAAUCCCCAAAUCCACAAUUCUGGUGAAGAAUACUCUCAAAACCAGUAAGGAAAGGUGGAGCAACUUCCUCUGGUCGAAAAUCCAGUUCUCUCUAAGAAUUGGUCCAAAAACAAUCAAAGAAAACUCACUUUCAGGACCAAAACACCAGCAGCUCAGUAAAAUACGAAAUUGACUAUACAAACCUCAAUCAAUUUUUGUCAAACAGAGUUCCACGAAAUUUUCAGGAAGUCAACUAACCACCAAAACCAAGUUUCACAGCAAUCCGACUUUCCUACGUCGCACACGAGCCAAAACGCCAAAGGUCGCUGCUGGAAUCUGCUAAAACUGCACCUCUCAAGCUUCAAAUUGUGAAAUUUGGAGUAAUUUAAGGAGUUUAGAGGGGUUGGAAUGCAAAAUAUGGGUUCACUGUGAAGAGAGGUGAAAAGAGCUCACUGGGGUCGAACACUACCUAUUUAUAAGGAGGUGGAAGAGUCAGAUAAGCCCCAAGAACAAAUGACACUAGCCUGCUGUCCCAGCAGAAACAGCCACUUUUAGGCGCCCAGAACCCCUUUCUGGGCUUCCGAAACCUCCACGCUACACAAUUGCUCCUCUUCGGUUCCUCCACCAGCAUUGUGCUGCGCCCAUAUCCUGGUCCGGCAGACCUCACCUACCACCAGCCACGUGCCAGCGCAAACAAUAUUCACGAAAUAAACUUUUGGACCCUCUUCUGGGCGCUCGAAACUAAGAUCCGAAUUGGCUUCCAGUUCAGCACUCGAGUUCUGGGCGGCCCAAACCCUGUUCUGGGCGCCCGAAACUGACAAAACUUCAGUUUUGCUCUUUUGAGUGCGCCAAGUCCAUUUCUGCAUCCAUUUCGUGCAAAAACGACUCCGAUUCAGCCCGACACUCUCCAGAUGUGUCGACCAGUCACUAAUACUGUAGCCAAUCCUAUCCAAACCUCUGGAACACUACAGGAUGAAAAUGAUUAAUUUGUAUGAUCUAACGCGAGUGAAACAAAAUUCUCGUAAGCACUAACUUCCUUCAAAGCGCCACCAUCAGACAGACGUUCUCUCUUUCUCUAUAUAGUAUAUGAAUAGGCUGGAAUACUAUCAAUAGCAUGGCUAUUGGGUUAUUAGUUUUUUAUUUCUUGGAUAGAAAUGUGCGGUAUGAUGAUGUGGCCCCUAGGGUUGGUGGGUGUGUGGUCUGGUUGAAUAGUAUAAUCUAACACAUAAAAUAUAUCAAAGGAGUUAAAUCUAACGGCGGAAAACUCGAUAGCCGAAGAAUAGAUAUCCUCAGCCGCGACUUCCUCUCUCUUUCUCUCUCUUGCUUCUCUCUCCUCUCCUCUCUCUCCUUCUCUCUCUCUCUCUCUCUAUAUUUAUAUAUACUAUAUAUACUAUAUAUAAAUAUAUAAUAUAUAUAGUAUUAUAUCCUAUAUAUAUAUAUAUAUAUGGCCAUGGCUACUAUACUAUUAUGAGUAUUGGAGCCCUCGUACUCAUAAGUUGUUUCCAAUGAUGGAGCUUCCGAAUCGACGAUCCACUCCAUUAAAUGUGAUCUAGAGUAUUUGAAACUUCUAGAAAAUAAAUUUCUUAAUUUUUCGAAAUCAUAAUAAAGUCCAUCAAGCAGGCAUAAAAUGAACGGUCAAAAUCGAACAACAUCCUAAAAAUGGAUGAUCGGAUCCUACAAUUUAAAAUUGGAGUUAUUAAUCUUUACCUAGGUAGUGAAUAGAAUUUUCUAUCAAAAAUUCAACCGAUUCUGAUUCUUUUACACCGUUAAACUAGCAAGUGUCCCAUACCGGCCGUUAAAAUUGUCAAUUUUGCGAAAUUUCGAUCGUAAGGUAAAUGAUGUCAAAAAAUUAUAAAAUUUGAUUUCUAGAAGUUUUAAAUGCUCUAAAUAACGUUUAACGGUAUGGAUCGUCGAUUCGGAAGUUCUAUCAUCGAAAACAACUUAUGAGUACGAGGGCGAUCGUACUCAUAAGAGUAUAGUAGCUGGACUCUCUCUCUCUCUCUCUCUCUCUCUUUCUCUCUUUCUAUAUAUAUAUAUAUAUAAAACUAGGUUAGAAUACUAUUAAUAGCAUCAAGCUAUUGGUGCUAUUAGUAUUUUAGCCCUUGGAUUGAAAAAGGUGUGGUUAGGAUGAUGUGGGCCCCCUAGGGUUGAGUGAGUGGCGGGUUGAAUAAUAUAAUCUAACGGUAAAAAUAAUCACAGAAUUAAAUCUAACGGUAGAAAACUAGAUAGCACCAAAAACACCUUGUGGCUAUGCAGAUAGUAUCACAGUCUCUUCUCUCUCUCUCUCUCUCUCUCUCUCUCUCUCUAUAAUAUAUAUUUAAUAAUUAUAUAUAUCCCAACUGUUCAAACUAAAACUUAAAAUGUGAUGUGAUCCAAUUGUUCUCAUUUGGUCUGUUGCUUCAACGUAUUAUUUCUCAUACCUAAUCGCUCAAUCGCCUGCAUCGUUCUGCUCACCAUAAUCUUCUUCUUCUUCUUCCUCUUCUUCUUUAAAUUUUUCAUCUGUCAAUAUUCCUCUUCUUCUUCUGUAUCCUCAAAGUCAACCAUUCUGCUCUUCAUCAAUGGAUAAAGACAGUCGAGAUGACGAACAAACUUAUCCUUUUUCUUUUUUAUUAAUCCCUUUCUUUUUUCUAUUUUCUUUCGCUUUUCAUUUCUUUUUCAUUUUCAAGUGCCUUUCAUUAUAGUGUAAACCGUGUAUGAUAGGCCAGGCUCAUUAAACCCUUAGCUAGCCUCUAACACAUUACACCCAUAGUCAAAAUAUCCUCUUCACCAACAAGUCAUUUCUUAUUAUCCUCUCCAUCCAGCUAUCCAUCUCACUCAAAGUCAACCAUUAAUUACUAUCAAUUCAAUAUUAUUAGUAAUAAUGGAUUUAAUGUAUCCAUUGCAAAUUGUAACUAACGAGUUAGUGCUCUAUUAUAUCUUAUCUGUCACGCCCCGAGCCCGCCUCUUUGGUCGGAUUCGGGCACGCCAACAGACCGCCGAACGGACAGGGUUUCCUCUGCACGCGGACAGAGUCUCCCCUGUACGUUCAAGGCGUCGCAAUCAAUACAAGUACAAGGGGUUCCAAACAGGAAUAAUUUUCAACAACGAUUUCAUAAGGAAGGUAUCAAACAACAUAACACAUCCUAUGUUAUUACAAUCAUUCAUCACAUCAUUUUACAUCGCAUUUUUCAUUACAUUGAUCCUCAACUUCCAAAUAUACAAUCGAUUUCUAAACAUAUUAUUACAACAUCGAUUCUUUUCUUUUCUUUUCUUUUCUUAUACCCCUAAGAAGCCGACUCAGGGUGCUGCUAUCUGGUCUCUGUGGUAGGGCGCUAACUACGGAGCUACGCCCUUUCCUCGCGCCGCCGCGCCGCUCGCGUGUGAACCUGUACCCCCAAAAACAACAACACGGGGGUGAGACUAUUGUCCAUAGUCGUCAGUGGGUACAGCCACCCAAGUGAAAAGCUCAACCCACCAGGUCCAAAGGAGGCACUGCAACAUGUUAGUCCAACAGAUAUAUAUACAUAUAACAUCAUGCAAUACAUGUUCAUGCCUCACAAAUAUACAAAUUAUGCAACUCUUAGUCAUUCUUUGCCAUUAGCCUUUCUUUAGAAUAUGCAAUUCUCUAUCAUUAGUCAUUCUUUAUUCUUUAUGCUUUAUUCUUUAUGCUUUAUUCUUUGUUCUUUAUCCUUUACUAAGGGCACUCGCACCUUAGGCGCAUUAUACACUUUUGCCAUUCUUUAUAACAUUAACAAGUCUUUCUCAAUUAUCAC
rnacentral:lncRNA from 1 species